GAUAUAAAGUAGAAUCAAGUAAUCUACUUACAUGAUUUACAGGUAUUGCAUAUUGCAUAGCAGCGAGGCAAGGUAUGGUUUUAUUUGUUACAUAGUCAAAUAUCUAUCUAUCUAUUUGUUGAACUAACCUACUGUUGCCUCCUUUGGACCUGGUGGGUCGAGCUCUUCUCUUGGGUGGCCGUACCCACUGGGAACUAUAUUUAUAUAGUUCUCACCCCCGUGUUGUUUUGGGGGUACAGGUUGCACGCGAGCGGCACGGCGGCGCGAGGACAGGGCGCAGUUUCAUAGAUAGCGCCCCACCACUGAGACCGAGAUAGUAACACUUGAAGAAGUCAAGUUCAGAGUUCAAAUUGUAAUGAAACAAAUUUGUAGUAAUUUGUAUAAGUUUUGUAAUAAGUUAAAGGCUUAUGUAAUAUUGUAAAUGUAAAAAUCUGAGAUAAAUGUUGUAAUAGCAUAGUUUGCACUUUAUGUUUUUGAUACUUAUGCAAUUUGUGAUUGAAUACAGUUCCUGGUUGGAACCUCUUGUAUUGCAUAGUAUAGAUUGUGAUGCCUAGAACGUACAGGGGAGGCUCUGUCCCUUCGGCGGUCUGUCGGCGUGCCCGAAUCCGACCAAAUAGGCGGAGCUCGGGGCGUGACAUAGCAUCAUCAUGAAAUCAAUGCAAUACUAUACUCAUCACUCUAGUAUUCCAUAUACACUAAGGUUCUCAUAUGCUACUCGUCAUGGGUUAACAUUAAUUAGAUGCCACUCGUCAUAGCUUAAUGUUCUCAAUACACUACUUGCACAUAUUCACCCGGUUGUCAUUUACUUAGGUUCCAAUCCACUAUGCACUAUCACAUAUAGGGUUAAGCUAUGUCACAUUAACCUCAUGCAUACUAGGUUCAAGUACUAAAUCAUUCAAGCUACAUUAACACUAGCAUGCAAAUACAAAUAUAAACACCUAAGCAUCCUAUAUGUAUUAUGCUCAAUAUGCAAAGAUAGUCGACAUAGAACUUAGACAUAGGGAGCAGCUCAACUGCUUCGGGAUGGUCACCACAGUAUGGGCCAUUAUCAGUUCCGGUAAUCCGUUGGGCUUAUAAUGCCGGCAGAGUUUAUGGACUUGAUGAAUGAGCGGUCUUUAGGGCAUUGUUGGUCGAUGCGUCGGCGGUGUUUAUAGACGCUGUAUUGGUUAUUCGAAAGAUGCGAAGAGGAGCAUGGGAAGAGCAUCUGAGAGCUGUGUUGCAAAAUCAGACAGAAGAAGCUUUAUGCAAAGUUAAAGAAAUGUGAUUUUUGGCUAAGGGAGGUACAUUUUAGGUCAUGUGGUAAUCGGGCGAUCGGAGUUUCGGUAGACCGAAGAAAGUAGAGGCGAUCAAGGAUUGGCCUCGACCAACGAAUGUACGAGAAUCCGAGUUUUUGAAUGGUUGGCGGAGUUAAUACCGGCGGUUUGUGGAGGGGUUCGCCAAAUAACCCUCCACUACGCAGCCUCACGCAUAAAAGGAGUAAAAGUACGUGUGGAGCGACUGAUUGCGAUCGGAGCUUCGAGAGUUAAAGAACAGGUUGAGUCGACCCCGGUGCUAUGCUUUUCACUCCGGGGAGAGACCUUUGUAGUGUACAGUGAAUGCCUCGUAAUUGAGUUGGGUUGUGUUAAUGCAAAUAGUGGCGAGUUAUGCAUAGCAUCGCCGGCCAAUUGAAGUACGAGGGCAGAACUACCCGAUUCUACGACCCUCGAGUUAGCGCGGUGAUUUUCGCGCUAAAGCUUUGAGGCGAUUACUUGUAUGGUGAACCAUUGUUGAGGUAAUAUACCGAUCAAGAGCUAAGUUGUAUUUGUUCACCAGAAGAGUUUGAAUAUGGCGACAGCGGCGGUGGUUGAGCUGUAAGGUACUAUGAUGUCAGCAUAUUUAUACCACCCGGAAAAGCAAUGUCGUGGCGAUGCUUGAGUAGAAAAUCGGCGGAGACAAUUUAGCGACGGCGAUUAGCCUCAAGCGCCUCAUUACAAAGAAUGCAAGAUUUUGGUGUUGGGAAGUUCGGUACGCGGAGUUGCCGCUUACACUUGCACAUUGGUUGUGCAACCGACCUUAUUCGAGAGAAUUUUAAGGUUACAAGCUUGGAGCCUUAUCAUCAGAAUGGCUGGAGUGAUGUUGAGUAGCGUAAACGAGACUUUGGCAUUGAAGCUGAUGGGCACUUCGAUUUGAAACGAUGGUGUUGCCUAAAGGAUGAGUUGCGAGGUGCGAUUAUGCAAGAAUGGCAUAAUUCCCUAUUAUUAUACACCCCGGCGGACUAAUAAUGUACAAGGAUUUGAAAGAGCACUAUGGUGGGGGUAUUAAAAGAGAUAUGGGGAGUCGUUGGACGCAAAUGUUAACGUGGCCAACAAUGUGAAAGCUGCAAGCGCGAUUUCCGGCGGGAAGUUACAAAAGUUGACCAGGAUACGGGGUUUUGAAAUGGGAAAAUAAGCGAUGGACUUUGUUACCGGUUUGCUCGAUCACCAAGGCGGACAUGCAUGCGAUAUGAGUGAUAGUGGAUCGAUUGACAAAAGUUCGGACAUUUUGCUAGAUACUGACUACGUGGUCGGGAGAGCAAUGCUAGCGCAAGUUUAUCUUCGACUGAGGUUGUGAGGCCUACAUGGGGUUCCAGUAUGAUAGUUGGAUUCGGACCCAUGUUGCACAUCCACUUUUGGUAAGAGUUUGCAGGAUGCAUGGACGCGGCUCGACUUCAAGUACAGCGUUUCAUUCAGAGUGAUGGACAAUCAGAGGGACGAUUACAAAAUCCUUGAGAUUUACUGAUCGAGACGUGUGCUAGAUUAUAAAUGGAGGGAUGGCAUGAUUUCUUUGCUAGGCGGAGUUCGCCUUAAUAAAAGGUUAUCAAGAAACAAGUUAUAGCGAUGGCCGCUUUUUGAGGACUGUUAGUGGACGUAUAGUGUCGUUUCCUAUCUAUUGGAGCGACGUGGGAGAGGCGGCUCUUGGCAAGCCGGAUGAUAGUGGGAGAGGCGGUAAGGAGAAAGUCGCCUUUGCGCCGUUCAACGGUUGGCGAUGGGCAAUGAAAAAGAGUAUGCGAAAGCGGAAGAAAAGAUUUAGAGUUCGCAUUGGUUCUGAAGACUGGUAUUUUUAGAGUGUCAGCCAAUGCGAGGAGCUUAAAAACGAUUCGGGCUGUCGUGGAAGCUAAGGUCCCCGUUAUGUGGACCAUUUUGAGGAUAUAUGGACGUGAAGACAUUGUGGGUAGCGGUGGCAUACAAGCUCGCACUUACACAAGACUCGCGGGAGUUCACAAUGUUUUCAUGUGUCGAAUUCCAAGUUAUAUCGAAAAGCGGCAUAUGUUAUUGGAAUACGAGCCCGUGGAGCGUACAUGAAGAUAGUGUCAUGAGGAGUUACCCGUGUGCAUCCUCGAUCGAGGAAGUUAAGAAAGUUGCGGAUAGUCCAAAAUUCCAUAUGUAAAAAGUCCAAUGGAGGCAAGCCACGCGGCGCGUAGAGGCACUUGGAGCUCGAGGAAAACCAUGCGGGAGAGAGUAUCCGCAUUUAUUCGAAUCGACGAGUUAAGCAGGUAUUGCGUAAUUUCGCGGACGAAAUUAUUGUUAAGGGGAGUGGAGAAUGUAACUAUACGAAAUUCGGAAAUAAAAUGUCGAACUUUAGUCAAUGACAAAAGUGAUGAGGAAAUGGAAACAGCUUCGGAAAUCCGAAAGGUAGUAAAAAUGAUUAAAAAGUGAGUUGUGGCAAGAGUUUCAAGAGUCCUAAAGAAUUGAUUCUGCAAAACUGGCAGUAUUUUCAUGCUCUCGAGGGACGGUCUGAAGGGACGAGACGGUCGCGAACGCGUUGCAGAUAUGACGAGCAGACCGAAAAAUCGGCUUAAGUCUUGAAGGAUAGCUUCUGGGAACCGUUCUCUGACCUGAGAGACGGUCCCCAGGAGACGAUGCCCUAAGAGAGUACGGUUGCCCUGCGGCGCAGCAGCUCUCGCUGGGCAUGUGGUGGGACGUUCGGGGGAACGCGUCACUGCUCGGGAGAGACAAAAAAGCGUCUCAUAGCAUCUGCAGCGAAAUGCCCGAGUUCGGCAGUGUAAUUAAGUUGAAAGUUGAGGAGGUUUAUGAUUUUUGCAGAACCAUUGAGUUUAUAGUAUUGGGGUAAAUGAGAUUUUCUUUCAUUUUCACCCUCUCACACUUUUCUCUCCCUGUCUCUCUAGAAGAACAAAAGAGAAGAAGUUUUUUUUAUUUGUUAAGUCAUUAUUAGACAUUAUAUGUGUAUUAUUGGAAAAAGAAUUAUUGGGUAAAGAAAGUGGUCGCAGUGCUGAUAAUGGAGAAGAGAAAAGAAAGAAGUUGAAGGAACGUGCGGGGUGGUCUCCUUCAUCUAGCUGGGAAAAGAAAAGGAUAAGCUUGAGUAUGUGGCCUGGCUUCAAGCCCUAAUGUUAGAGGUAAAACCCUAGGAAAUGGUGGGGAAAAUGAACGUGAAGGAUGGUUUAUUAGAUGACAAUAUUCUGAGUAGUGGGGGUUGAAGCUUCAAUUUUGCUUCUUUUAGAUGACAAAUCAAUUGGUUGAGCUCUAAGUGAGCUUGUGCCACCUUUAAUGGUGAAUCCAAACUAGGCGUUUUGGAAAGGCCUAAGAAUGGUUCUAAUGGGAUUGUUUAGAGUAUAAUUGAAAGGCUACUUAUGUUGCCCAAUGAGAAUCAAACUUGAGGUUUGUAUGUGUAUUGAGUUAGUGGCCACAAAAAUUGGGGCUUUGCUCAUGAGGGUUUCUAAGCGCAAUUGACCUCUAAAAACCUAAUUGGGGGUAAUUCCGACGCGUUGGCGCGCUCGGAAUUAGAUUUCGAAAAGUGUUGAUGAAAAAGUUAUGGGCGAAUGUCCUAAUAGGUUCGUUUUGCCGCAGGAAUAGAGAACGAAGCAUUCUAAAAAUCCUAAAAAAACGUCGGGCACCUAAAUAGACUACAAGGUGGGUGGUGCUUUCCAAAAUAUUGAAAUUCUUCUAUGCUUAUAGUGUCAUUCUUGAGAUAAUGUUUAAUUGAUAUUAUUGUUUGCAUGCAUUUUAGGGUAAAGUAAUGAAAAGAAUGUGAUGUAUAGAUUGAUGUAGUACAACUUGCAUAAUGUGAUGGUUAAGGAAACUUAUGAAAGUUAAAAUCCUAUAUGUAUGCAUGAGAUGGAAAUUGUGAAGGACCAAGUGUGAGCAAAAGAACAGUGAGUGGACAAUGAAUAGAGUCGAGUGGCAUUUGAAAAAUGUAAUAGUAAAGAGACCUAGAGUUAGUUGUGAUGCAAACGAUCAAGGUAAUGUAGAAUGGAUGAAAAUGACAAUGUUGAAAGUUAAUAGUAAUGUGUGGAAUUAAAGAAUAUAAUUGCUAGAGCUAGCAAAGUAAAAGAAAUUAAGAAUGUGAUUUGCAUGAGUUAUGCAACAUUAAAGUGAUGUAAAUGUUAACACUAGAGUAGUGUAGGCAGAUUCGAACUUAUAAAUCUUUUGAGUUAGAUUGGUCAUACUUGUUAUGAGUUCCAAAAGUGCUCAAAACAAAAAAAAGAGGAAUAAGUAAGGAUUCAGCUACAAUCCAAAAAAAAAAAUAAAAAAAAGAAAAAAAGCGCUUGAGCAAAACAUCCGAAGAUUACAUAAUGCAUAAUCCAAGAGGUUGGCAAGUAAACGCGAAAGGACGCGUUUAGCUGUAGUAGUUCUGCGCAUGAUGGAUUAAUUGUGAAGCAGUUAAAAGUGGCGAAACCCCGGAGUAGCCUUGGAGUUAAAGCAACAAAAGUAUGCCAAGCCACAAAGUGGUAAAGAACAAGGAACAAGAGUAAGUUAAAAGAAUAAAGAACUUGCAUAAUAUGCAUAUAUUUUAAUGCGAGAUAUUUCUUGCUAUUUGUUCGGAUAAUUUAGAUCAUGUUUAGAUUGGUUAUAUAUCUAUGUAUCCUUUUUUUAUGCCUGAGUUAGAGUCCUGUGGGAAAGUCGGUGAUGUUGGGGCGAACCACUGGGAAUUUGUUGUAGUUAUCACCCCACUAUGUUCCACAGAGGCCAGGUGACCGGAGCGUAUGGCCGGCGCGACGCACCGAGUGAAAGAAUCGCGCUUAGUCAGGGGCACCAAGGUUGAGUUAUAUUUUGUUAGUAAAGUACUUUAUGGAUCAUUUUUGUUAUUUGAUGAUAGAAAUGAAGAAAAGAAGUGUAAAGCUCAUUUUGAGGAAAAUGUGAUUAGACAGGAAAUAGAUGAAGUUAUGUAAUGGAAUACAAAGAAUUCAAAUUACUAGAGAAUGCAAUGUAUAUGAUCGAAUAAUGAAAUCUGGUUAUCUUGUGAAUGUUAGUUCCUUUUUCUUUCACUAAUGGCUAUUGUUUACCCUCGUGUAAGCGUUUGUGUAUGUUUUCGCUAGUGUAUUUCUUAUGAGUUGGAAAUGUGCAUGUGAUGACUUGGCGUGAUAGGGAACUCUGUCGUUCGGCGUUGUUGCGUUGCUGGGUCGGGCAAAUUGGCAUCCAGGUCCCGGGGCGUGAACUAGGGUUGGUUUUUAUACUCUAGAGAUGUUUUGUUGGAACUAAUGGUGCUAAGAAGAUGAUUCUUGCAUGGAUUUGGGGUUUUUUGGAGUAGAUUUGAUGAUGGAACUAAGGUCCAAAUUGGAUGUUUUAGGAAAUCUAGAGUUUUAGAUCUCAUUUGAGUUUGGUUGUAAACCAAUUGCUUAGGUCACUAUAAUGCAUGUUGGCGGUGACAGUCGACGAUUCGUCGCAGUCGUGUGCGGAGAUAUUUGCCAAGCGGGAGGCGUUUCGGCUUCAUUUCCGCUGAUGAGGCGAAAGAUGUCUGACGAGAUGAUGACUUCCGUUCUUUGAGUCGCGGGCAAUGUCAAAAGGUGGGUGUNNNNNNNNNNNNNNNNNNNNNNNNNNNNNNNNNNNNNNNNNNNNNNNNNNNNNNNNNNNNNNNNNNNNNNNNNNNNNNNNNNNNNNNNNNNNNNNNNNNNGCGUACCCGCUUGCUCCGGCCUGCCCAAAAGAAGCUCUAUCGGAAAGACCCUCCCGCAGAAGGUUCGGCGACAGGCUUCCAAAAUGCUGCCCGGCUUCUUCAUAAAUCGGGGUUGAUCCUCGCAGACAACCAAGACACCAAUCCGCCCGGUUCCCGAUAUCACGAACAACAUCGGGGGGAAACGCAAUUCAAGUUUAAUGUGUUUUUUAAGAAUUUCUUGCUCUUACUCUUCCCAGGCGGAUCGUCACCCUGUUUAACUUGCGGAAAACUUGUCUGUGUUUGUUAGCUUCCGCUUCACCGUGUCGGGGAGUAGUUCGCGAACACCGCGUCUCUUUGAACUCCUCCAAACAUAAGCGGAAGAUCCGUACGGACCAUCCGCUUCACUCGGCUUCCCACCACCCACCGUCGCCCCGCCUUCCCUAAAACAAGAUGGUGGCCGAAGGUACACUUUAUAUCCUUUCUCCAGACUGAGGUAUUCAAGUCCUCGGAAGAGCGUCUCUUCCAUUUUGAGUCGAUCCCACCGACCUCCACGAUCGGCGGCUCCACCAAACGCCCUCGAAGGUAGUGGUCGAAACUUUCUUGAAGCUUUGAGAUGAGAGCCGCCAGACGUGCGCUUCGCUCCGCAUCGACUGGGCCACGCUAUCGGGAUUCGAGUUCCCGACCCCGGUCGGUACUACCGUAAACUGGAAACAGCCGCCUGCCGCCGCCGCCUCCUCAACAACACUCGGCACUACCCACAGGGGCGCGACUUGGCUCGACGCCCGCCUGGGCUGCGGCCGCCUGCGCGCGCUCCAAGGUCUUCCUGGCCGAUGAAUCUGUUCCCUUGCGGCUUGAACAGACUCCGCUUGGUUGAGGUUAAGUGGCGAAUACCCCCGGGCUAAGCUUAAUGAUUAAAGAACAAAGAACAAAAACAAAAGUGUAAAGUGUAAAGAACGAAAGAACAUGCAUAAACCUGCAUCUUAUUUAAUGGUGAGAUAUUUCUUGCUAUUUGUUCAGGCAUAUUAGUAUCAUGUCAUAGAUUGGUUACUAUAUUUACUUAUCCUUUCUAUUAUGCCUGAGUUAGUCCUAGUGGGAAGUCGGUGAUGUUGGCCGAACCCACUGGGAACUUUGUUGUAGUUCUCACCCCACUAUUUUCACAGAGCCGGGACCGAGUGAGCCGCGAGCGACCGCCGGUAAAGUAUCGCACCGUAGACAGAGGCCACCAAUGUUGGGUUUCAUUUUGUAGUAAGUACCUUAUGACCAUCUAUUGUAUGUGAUGAUUAGUAAUGUAAAGAAAAAGAAUGUAUGUUCAUUUUGAGUAAAUGUGAUGUAAGAGAAGAUGAAAGAAUGUAAAGAUUUUGAUGUUCGAGGUGGAUAGAUACAAUGUAUAUGAUCUAAAUGAAUCAUAUUACUUGUGGAAUGUUUAGUUUCCUUUUUCUUUCACUAAUGGCUAUUGCUUACCCUCGUGUAAGCCUUGUGUAUGUUUCGUUAGUGCACUUCUUAUUGAAAAUGUACAUGUGAUGAGCCUUGGGCGGAUAGGGGAAACUCUGUCCGUUCGGCGUCUGUUUGACGUGCUCGGGUCGGGCAAAUUGGCACCGGUCCCGGGCGUGACAUGUGGGUCAAGCUCACCUCUAUAGCAAACCAAGGUUUUGAUCUCUUAGAAGCAAAAGAAAGCUUUCAAACCUUUUAAUCAUUUCAUUAAAACCCAUUUCUAGGUCAUUCAACCCAUUUUAGGGUUCUGAUCAAGAUUAGGUUCAAAGCUUACCUUGUAAGCCCUCCUUUCUUGCCCUAGAGAGAAGAAGAUGAAGCCCCUUUUGCUCUUUGAUUCUUCUUCUUCACUUUCUCUCCUUCUUUUCUUCUUUUCCUUGUCUUCUCUUCUCCUUCUUUGUCUUCUAGAGAGAGAAGAGAGGAGAGAGGUGAGAGGGUGAGGGAAUGAGAGAUGAAGGCUCCUCAGCCCAACAUAACCCUGGGUAGCAAAAUUGCUAAUAAACCCCCUCACCUUUUACUCCUUGAACACAGCCUGACUGGGCAGAUUUCGGGCUCGGGGAGCCGUUCCCCGACUAGGACCGGGUCUCCGAGAGCUCUCCCAGCGCAGCCAGAGCUGCUGCGCGCGAUGCAUCCGGUCUCUGGUCUCUCCUAGGGGGACCGGUCUCUCGGGGACCGGUCUCUGGGACAGGGACCGGUUCCCGAGAGCUACUUUCUCAGGACUUAGCCGAUUUUUCGGCUGUCUCACUUCAUACGCGUUCGGGGACCGGUCUCUCCUUUCAGGGACCGGUCUCCGAGAGCUGAAAAUCUGCAGUUUGCAGAAUUCAAUUCUUUAGCUCUCGAAAACCUUCCACAACUCACUUUUAAUCAUUUUAACACCUUCGGACUUUCCGAAGUGUUCCAUCCUCGCACUUUGGUCAAUUUGACUAAAGUUCGACAUUUUUAUUUUUCGAAUUUUCGGUAUAUUACACCCUCACCGCGCAGCCAGCCAAAAACUUGAAAAUUUGGCUAAGUCUUGGAAACCUAACGUUCGGGAACCGGUCCCUGGUCGAGGAGACCGGUCCCCGACUACGAAAAUUGCCCAGUAUGGGCUGAUGUAAUUGUUCGGAGUUGACGGGUUUAGUUGCUAUUGUUGCAACAUGUUAUAUGCUUAGCCCUCUUUCUCCCACAGCCCAUUCUCACCUUCCUCUCAUUUUCUCUCUUCUCUCUCUAGAACUCUAGGGUUUGGUGGAGGAGAAGGAGAAGAAGCAAGGAGAAGUGGAUUGUGGUGGCUUUGGUGGGUCUAGCAAGCUCUCCUACAAGAAGGACUUGGAGGAGCUUUGGGCUAAGGUGAGGUAUUUGCACAAAUGAGUCUAGGGUUUGGUUUUGAUCCCUAAGUUUUGGAGUUUUGAGUUGUUUCUAGCUUUAGGAACCCUCUAUAAGCCUUGAACUCUAUGGAACCCUUGAGAGCUCAAGUGCUCUCAUGGUGGAUGGUUAGGGUUCACCAUAGAUGCCCUAGGGAUGGUUCCAUAUGCUUGGGAACUUUAUUAGAAUGCUUCCUAGGUGAUUCUAAGCUAUUAUUUGCUUAGGGUUGAGAUCAAGCUAGGAGAAGUGCCAAAAUGACAUCAUUAGGGCUCAAAUUUGGGUCUUUUGCCCUAGAAUUUUUCAGGAACAAAUUGACCUCGUGGAAACCUAAUUGGGGGUGUCCUCGACGCGUGGGACAACUCCGUUUAACAUUACGAAAAUGUUUAAAAAUAGUUUAUGUAUAAGGGGGCCUAAUUUGGCACUAUUUUGACUAUAGGACGCGGAUUCGGCGUUCGUAACGUUCGGGAGUCUCCAUUUUCAUCAUCUACUACCACUCAAGGUGGGGGGUGCACGCCGGAAUCGUUGGAUUCCCUUCUAUGUUUGUUUCACUCUUAUUGAGCAUAUUGUAUAUAGCCAUUCGUGCAUAGUAGGCCAAUCUUACAUGGGACUAGAAGAUAGAGUUUCAAUAUUAUGCUUCUAAUAUAGAUGAACAUAGUGAUUGAACAAGAACCGAAAUGGACAUGUAUGAUUGAACCCGAGAGAUGUAUGAAUGCAAGACUUGGACCUUGAUUGUAGUAAACAAGGUGACAAUGACAAUAGAGACGUGAUUGGCCUUGAGAAUGAAAUUGUUACACAAGGUUUAACAAUAAGGGUAAUGAGACAAGAACUAUAUAGAACAUGACAUGAACAAUAGGUAAGAACCUAUCAAGACAUUGGCAUUAUGACUAGUGGCUAUGUAUCCUCAACUUGAGGAUUGGAUCGAGGCUCACAUGGACUUAGGCUUGAGGGAGGUCGCUCCCCCUCAAGCGGUGUACUUCGAAGUGUAGACACCAACGGGGAAGUACCCCGUCAACGAUCCAUCGGGUGGUUGUGCUUAAAGCCUCCCCCGGUAGACGGGAGAUGGAAUGGUGAGCUUUUGGGGUUAACAAAGUUAACCGGUAAGAUUGGGUACAGAAAGAUAAAGUAAUGAUAAAGAACAUGCAUACAUGCAUACUAUAUAUUGUUAAUUAUCUAUAUCCACUGACAUUCUUUUGCAGGCAUAGUAUUAGAUGCAUAAGUACCGGUUACUUUUCUUUCCUUAAAAUACUUAUGCUUGGAUAGACCUAGUGGGUAAGUCGGCGAGGUCGGAUGCCGAACCCACUGGGAACUUCGUUGUAGUUCUCACACCACUAACCCUACAGGUCCUAUGCGAGCGGGGCAGCGGAGGACCGUGGCAAGGGUUUAGCGCCGUAGAUCGCGGCCACCAGGAUUAUUUCACAUUUUGCAGUCAUUCCCUUUUUGGGUUUACAUGUAUCAAUUUCUUUCGCUGAUUUAGAAAGUUGUGAAGUUGAUAACAAUUAUGUAAUUUGGUGAAUGGCUAAAUGUAAAGAAUGAUGAAUGAAAGUAUGAAAUGUAAUAGCUCGGUUUACUUUUAUUUGGUGCAAAAGCAAUCAAGUAUUAUAUAUGGUUGAUUGUAUUAGCUUAGAGCUUUCGCUUCCGUUGUUGCUUGCCCUCGUGCAAGCCUUGUAUAAGUGCUAAUCUCAUUGUUUGAUUGCUUUAUUAUAUAUGUUUUGAGCCUUGGGCGGACAGGGGAGGCUCUGUCCGUUCGGCGUCUGUUGACGUGACCCGAACCGGACCAAAUUGGCGGGGAUUGGGGCGUGAUAGAUAUAAUGGUAGCAAAGCGAUGGAAGAAAGCAAAAGUCUAGGAAUGACCUAGGAACCAUAGGUUUGGAGACCUUAGGAACUUAGGAAAACGUUUAACGUGAACUUGGUUGAUGUGGAAGCGAAUGAUUGGGUUAACGGUAACACUUCUCUUGAAGGAAGUAGAGAUGGACUAGAAAGCUUAAUUGUUGUCUACUUAAGGGACUUUGUGGGGCGGCCGACCACAUGACACCGAGAGUGGAAAUGAUUAUGCUUGUUGCUUUCGCUUAAUUGGGUAGUUAUUUGGAACAUGUAACAGUUGCGUGUAUCGAGUACUAAUGCGGGUGAUGCGUUUCAGGAACAAUGUCCUCGAGGCGCUACACGCGUAGGGCCACUUCGGCAUUGACUGAGGAAGUGCCCGAGCAGGCAGGAUCGGAUGAAGUGCGCGAGCUGCGAGCCCAGGUAGCGGCUUUGGCCGGGGCUAUGCGGCUACAAGGGGAGCAGAUUGGACAGCUGUAAUACACUGGAUCUUAGCAAAUUGCAAGAUUCGAGUGUUUGAUCUGUGUGUGGAGCCUUUCCACAGUUUUUGGAGGGUCGUUGAUAGUGUUCCGACCCCUGGCGCGCAUCCCGAGGAUGUUGGAGUGAGACUUGGCACCAAAAUUGUAAUAUACCGAAAAUUCGGAAAAUAAAAAUAUCGAACUUUAGUCAAAUUGACCAAAGUGCGAGGAUGGAACACUUCGGAAAGUCCGAAGGUGUUAAAAUGAUUAAAAGUGAGUUGUGGAAGGUUUUCGAGAGCUAAAGAAUUGAAUUCUGCAAAACUGCAGUUUUUGAGCUCUCGGGGACCGGUCCCUGGUGGGAGAGACCGGUCCCCGAACGCGAAAGAAAUGAGACAGCCGAAAAAUCGGCUAAGUCCUGGAAGGAUAGCUCUCGGGAACCGGUCUCUGCCUGAGAGACCGGUCCCCCAGAGACCGGUCCCACAAAGAGAGACCGGUUGCACUGCGCGCAGCAGCUCUGGCUGCGCUGGGACAACGUUCGGGAACCGGUCCCUGCUCAGGGAGACCGGUCUCUGCCUGCGCGGAAUGCCCAGUUCGGGCAGUGUAUUAAAAUAAAAGUUGAGGGGUUUAGCUGCAAUUUUGCAACCCAAUAGCUAUGUAUUGAGGGGUAAUGAGAUUUUCUCUCAUUCCCACCCUCUCAAACACUCUCUUCUCUCCCUCUCUCUCUAGAAGGCAAAGGAGAAGAAGAAGGAAAGAAAGAAAGGAAGGAAAAGAAGGAGAAGAAGGUGGAGAAGAAGCUUUUGGAGCAAAGAGGCUCCAUCUCCUUCCUCUCUAGUGCAAGUUAGGGAAAGCUUUGAGGUAAGCUUCAACCCUAAUGUAGUAAAACCCUAGAAAUGGGCUUGAAUGAACCUAAAAAGGGUUUUAAUGGAAUGAUUAAAGAGUUUUGAAGCUUUCUUUUGCUUCUAAAGAGAUCGAAACCUAGUUUUGCUAUAUAGGUGAGCUUGGACCACCUCUAAUGGUGAAAUCCAAACUAGGGUUUUGGAAAGCCUAGGAAUGGUUCUAAUGGAUUAUUUAGAGUAUAAUGAAGCUACUUUUGCUUCCCAAUGAGAUCAAACCCUAGGNGCUUAUAUAAGCCCCAUACUCUCUCCUCUCCGAUUCACAGCCAAAGAACACCCUCUCCUCUUAUUUUUCUCCUUCUCUCUCUCUAGAAACUCUCUCCCAAGGUGGAUUGGAGGAGAUUGGAGGAGGAUUUGGAGGAGAUUUUGGAGCUUGAAAGUGGAUCUUCAUCUUCUUCUUCUUCCUUAGCUUGGAGAAAGAGCUUGGUUGAGGUAAGCCUCUUGCCCUCUUAUGGUAGAUUGUUAGGGUUUGGCUUUGAUCUCUUAGAACACUUGGUUCUGAUCCUCUUACAUGAAAGGAAACCUAGGAGAGAUCUUGGAAUCUCAUGCAAAACCAUGUUGUUCAUGCUAUGGAAACCCUAGGGUUGAAAUUGGGGUUUUCAUAAAUAUGAGGUUUAUAGUUAAAUUGACCCCAUAUAACUUCAAUUAAAGGUAAAACCGACAUUGUGGACAACUUGAAUCGAAGUCCCUACGGUAGUGUGGCGAGUUAUUGAAGAAAAGGAUCGUUUUCGCUUCGUUUGCGCUGAGACGGGCAGAAGCAACGUCCAAAAAUUACGAAAUUAGAAUCCUAGCAUCGCGGCAUCACCAAAAGGUGGGGUGUCACGUCCCGCGGUCGCCAAUUUGGUCGAUCCGGGCCCGUACACAGACGCCGAACAGACAGAACCCCCUUUGUCCGCCCAAGGCUCAACAACAACGAGUACAUGUAUAAAGAAAUAAACAGUUCCCAUGAUAACAUUUCAAUAUACAUGGCUUGCACGAGGGCAAGCAACAAACACAAGUGAUAGUAAGCUAGCUAUACUGAAAAUUCACUGUAAUUUAAAACUUUCAAACUGAACUGGAUAACUGAAAUAUUUAGCUAUUUACAUGCUUUAUAAUACAUUCAUUUACAUGUCUCUGUACAUCAAAAUGUCUCACAUGAACUCAAAAUGGUAAACUACUAUACUCUGGUGUCAGCUAGCUAAGCUGCGGGGCUCUUGCCACGGUCCUCGGCCACACCGCUCGCACUGGAACCUGUAUGGUUAGUGGUAUGAGAACUACUGAAAGUUCCCAGUGGGUUCGACCGCCGAAUUCGCCGACUCACCCACUAGGUCUACUCAGGCAUAUGUAGGCAAGAAAGUAAGCAGAUAGUAACCAACUAUCACAUGUAACUACUACAAUGCCUGUACAAGUUGAAAGAAUAAUAUAUAAACUGUAAAUAUGCAUGCAUGCUUUUACUAAGUUUACCCAAUCUCUUGGUUAACCUUUUGGUUAACAAUUACUCACUGACGCUAUCCCAAAUAUCGGGGAGACGCACCUGCACCCGGUGGGACCGUCAACUGGGGGAGACGCACCUCCUGGUCCAGUAAAGAUGACUACUCCGGAGCUCAUCGUUCAAGGAGGAGCGACCUACCUUGAACCAAACGAAUGUGAGUAUGAUCUGAUCCUCCUUUAGAGGAUUCAAUGUUUAAACAAUGCUACACUUUAACUCUAACUAGCUCUUUAUACUAGUUUCAUAAUUUCCAAUGUCGAUGCUAACCAAAUCUCUAGUCAUGAUGUCACCAAGUUUACUAUUGUUAUAGUCCAUGCAUUCAUAGGGUUCUAUGUCUAGAAUCAAUGCUCAUAUGUUCAUAUUAUUCAUAGGAAUUCAGAUAUUCAAGUUCACUUGCAAUAAGCCCAUACCCUAUAAUGCAUGAAUACAAUUCAAUUUAUAUGAAUAUGCUCAAUGAAAUAUCAUAGACAUAAAAGGUGAUUCAAAAAUUUCGGAUAGCACCACCCACCUGUAGUGGUGUCAACAACUAGAAUCCACGUCUCGAAAUGCGUCGACAACUAGCUCUCGCGAGUCAGUAUAAAUAGAACUAGAACCCGUAGUUAGCGCGUCGUCGACCUGUCGGAAUGUCAAUUUAGACUUCCGGGCGUAUUUAACUUUCAUUAUAUAAGAGUAAAAGAGAUGAAACUGGGGUCACAUUUACAUAUUUUUCAAGUUAGCCUUUCAAUUCCAAGUAUCUAUGUAUAUGUUAGAUACUAUCAUUAUAUAUUCAUAUCAGCUCAAUGCUGAUUUCAGCAUUAAGCUGAAAUCUAAUCUUAUGCUGCAUUUUCAGCAUUACACCUCCUCUUUGGGCAACAAUUAUGAGCAUAGGAUCAUUAGCUCUUAUGCUCAAAACUCUAUUAGAGUAACUAGUCUAAUUCUUAGUCAUAAUUAUCUCAAUUUAUUACUUAAUUAAUUUGCUUCAGCUCCAACAGCACCUAAUUUCAAUGCUGAAUUCUAGUUUGUGCUGAAAAUUACUCUACUAGCUCUCUCUUUACAUUUAUUACAGCAUGGCCUAUCUAAUUCUAAUGCUUUACUUAACCCUAUGCAGCCAUAAUUAAUUCUCAGCUGGAAUUUAAGUUCCUUACCUCAAGUCUUAACCUCUCCGAGUUGAACUUUUCAUUUCGGCAGCUCCAACCAGUCCGAGCUCCCAAUUCUGCCACUCCUGACAGCAACUUCCUCGAUAUAUGUCAGUCCUAAUACGAUUAAUUCGAUUAUAGUCACAUAUACUUUGUAUUGAUCAUUUAUGAUACAAUCAACUUAACUUGAACUAAUUAUUAGGUUCAACUACCUUGACUUGAUGACCAAUUUGAUUGUUCUCAGCUUUAACAGCUCACAAUUUCCAUUCCUAAGCUCUCUUUUCAUCCCAAACUUCCUGCUGCUGCUCCACCACUNAGAAAUUCCUUACUACAGGAAUUUCAGCACUUAACUUCUUUUUCCUUUUUUCCAAUUCCUGCAGCAGUAAUUAAUCCAUUUCACAAUUGCUACUAGUUCAAGCUCAGAACUCAAUUGCUUGUUGCCUUCUUCAACUUAGGCAAUCAAAAGAAACACUCAAACCAGGGAUAAACAUUCAGCUUACCUCAUUUCCGAGCUCUACCAGGUUCUUCACAAUUCGGGUCACAAGCAGUUUAAUUAUUGCAUCAACUCCACCAAAUUUUAAUUCCUGGCAGCCAAUAAGGUCCUUAUUACUUCACUUUAAAGCAAGUAACCUAAUUACAAUUAAUUAUAGAAGCAACUUGCCUCAAUUUAAGGUUCUUCUACUUUCUUUCAACAUCAACUAACCCAAAAUUCCCCAAUUCUGAAAUAUGAAAUUUCAGCAACCAUGAACCCCUUUUAUGAAUUAUUCUCAGCUGGACUUCCACUUAACAGCUUCAAUUAGCCUAAUUUCCUGCAGUUCGGCAGCAUCCCACAAGCCUUAAGCUUCAAACGAUCUAAUCCUCCAAUUCGGCAGCAUCCACUGCAGAGAUUUCCUUUAAAUCUGCUUCAUAGAUCCACUCAACAUUAACCAAAACACUUAAGUUAAAGCAAUCGAUUCAGUUAGCAAUCAAGCUCACCUUAGUUCACAACUCCAUCAGUAGGAAUCCUGCUCGGAUCAAAACCUCCUCCUCAACCCGCAAGCCACCAGGCUGGAUUGAAGGCUUCCCCAAGGUCUGCUUCAGUUCCAGCAGCAAAGGUAAUCCCUUUUCUCUUAAUUGUUUACUAAGUAGAGAGAGAGAGGAAAGAGAAGUGAAAAGGGGCUGAGAGGAUAAACAUCCAGUACGUAAGCAACUUCAGGUGAGCUGGUUUAGGUGAUAAGCUUGUAUAAUUGCCACUUAGCCCUUUUAUUUUCAGUAUUUGCCCUGUUGUCCUAUGUGGCAGCAGCAUCAGCAGCAGCUUAGUUAGCAUAAUUCACCCAUUUAGCUCACUUCCAAUUCAUCCAAAUUCUUCUAAAACAUGCCAAGGAUCCUCCCAAAGCUACAAAUUUAAUUUGGAAGCAUUUAAUUUCCAAUUUGGCAUCAAUUUUGAUUAUUUUGGUCAAGAUUAACUAAAAUUUCAGCUUCAUGAUAGUAUUAGCAAUUGGAGGUCUUUGGCACAUCCAAUUCAUUUCGAGUCCACUCACACACUUCCAAAACAUGUCAAUUGCUGUUUUCAAGCUACUAAUUAAGUUUAGAAACACUUAGUUUGCAUUUUAGCAUUAUUGUGACCAAUUUGAUCACAAUUAGCUUAAGCUGAAUUUCAGCCCAUUACAGCCUUCCACUCAGGGUGAGGCCAGGGAUCGCGGGAAGGGAGUUGCUUCGAGCUAGCUUCCUUCGAGGACGAGCUGCUAGGUGGUCUACCUCUCGACUUUUAUUUCUUUUUGCGAGAGGUUGAGAGUUUUACCAGUGUACUAGAGAUCACCACUUUUGUAUUUUGGAGACAGAUUUUGUAUUACUUAUGACUUCUUUCAUUGUCUACUUUACUUCUUUCCUUUGGAGUAGAUGUAGAACUAUACUCGUUCUGAUAUCAUUAGUUGCUAGUUAUUUCACUUCUUCUAUUUGUUCUACUGCUUGCCUUUACUUCCGCUUUUAUUGUAGACGCCUUAUAUGUGUAGACAUAUGGCGGGUCUGGGCACGCUACCGGGAGGCCCUCCGCCGGUCCCGGGACGUGACACUUCCAAUCCAAUCUAGAGGAAGGUUCUAAUUCAAGGAAUCAAGCCUCAAAUGCCCUAAAACGAAAAUACCCAAAUAAACCCUAAAUUUUCAUUUCUAGGGUUUGAUCUCACAAAAACCUCAAAUCAAGGAUCAAAGGGAGAAAUCGAGUCUCUAACCUCUCAAGAAGCUCCAAACUUAGCUCCAAUCCAAGUGAUGUUGAAGAUCUCCGCAGCCACUAGCUCCUCUCCAAGCUCUGAGCCAUCAACAAUGGUGGAGAAGCCACCAAGAUGCAAUAGAGGAGAGAAAACCCAAUAAAAACCAAGCAAAAGGAGUAAAAAUACAAGGGAAGGGAGAGAGAGCUCCUCCUACCUCAACUCCUACUGGUCUCAGCACAGGGGAGGCCCUAAGGGGCGUGGGGUGCACUUCUAGAAGUGCUACAAACGCAAAAAGCCCCCUGCAGUUCAAACUGCUCAAAAUCUGCCACCUUGUAUCGGUACACGGGCCCUUGUACCGGUACAAGGCGCACGAAACUGCCAAACCCGAGCUGCGGGUCUGCUGGAAAACUGCCCUUGUACCGGUACAAGACCAGCCUUGUACCGGUACAACCAUCAGCCCUGUACCGGUACAGCCAUCAACCUUGUACCGGUACAGCACCCUGCUGAGGCUAACCCGAGAGCUGUCCAAUGAAUCCAAUUUUUGGAUUUUGGUACCAAGCUUAAAACCACAAUUCUCGGGAUGCGAGCCAUAGGUCGGAACACUGUCUACGACCUUCCAGAAAGUCUGAAAAAGCUCGACACACAGAUCAAACACUCGAAUCUCGCAAUUUGCAAAGGUCCAGUGUGUUACAAUUAGUGUAGGCAAGGGCUCGAGAAAGCCCCCUGGCUACUAGCGCUCCACCUUGUCAUGUUGGCACACAAGGCAAGUCCGCACGUAUGCCUCUACGUCGUCGUGCAUGCAAGGCCAAUAGUAGGCGGCCUUGAGUAGCACCAGGGUUCGCUUCUGCCUCGGAUGUCUAGCCCAGUUGGAGUCAUGACACUCCUUCAUGAGCUCUCGACGAAGAUUGCCCUACGUGGGCACAUAGACGCGACGCCCCUUGGUAAGGAGUAGCCCAUCGCUAAGUCAGAACUGCUGCGCCUUGCCUUCCUUGACGAGUCACACGAGUCCUUGGCCUUGCCGCUAAGUGCAUCAGCCAUAUGGUUUUCCUUCCCGGGUUUGUACACAAGCUAAUGUAUGUCAAACUCUGCUAGGAAGUCUUACCACCUCGCCUGCUUGGGUGACAGCUUCUUCUGAGUGAGGAAGUAGCUCGUUGCAACAUUGUCCAUUCGCACAACGAACUUGCUUCCAAGGAGAUAGUACCGCUGUAAUAUACCGAAACUCGGUAGAGAAUAUCGAACUUUAGUCGAAUUGACUAAAGUGUGCGAAAGAAAUAGUUGGACAAAGUCCAUUUAACAUUCCAACAAUGUUGGAAGGGUUAAAGUUGAUUUCUAAAGAGAUUAAAGUAUUUUAGCAUUGAUCGGAGCGAAACAAUGCAAAAUUGAAGUCUGGAGCAUUGUUAACCUGUUAAGCAUCGAGGUAAUACCGGUACCAGGCAGGCACCCGCGAAUGGUUGCUCUCGGGUUUGAAAAUUUUAGGCUGUUAAACCGGUGACACCUCUGGUGCGUACCGGUACCAGGUCUGCUACUCGAGAGAGCAGCUCUCGGGUUUGGCUGCUGUGUAAACGUUAAACCGGUGACACCCCCUUGCGUACCGGUACGCAGUGCCCCUCGCAGCAGGCUUUGGUCUGCUGCAGAUAUGAAAAGAGGGAGGGUCUAGAUGCAAAUGUAACAGUCUAUAAUAGACCCCACACCUAUCUUCUCUUGUUCACAGCAAACAACACUCUCCUCUCUCUUAUUUCUGUCUCCCUCUCUCUCUAGAAGCUCUCCCAAGGUAGAUUUGGAGGAGUUGGAGAAGAAUUUGAAGGAGAUUUUUGGAGGUUUAGAAGAUCUAGAGCUCACCUACAAGGAGGAGCUUGUUGAGUUCAUAGGCUAAGGUAAGAUUUCUUGUAAGAUUGAGGUUAGGGCUUGGUUUUAUGCCCUAGAUCUUUGGUUUUGACCUUCUUACAUAGAUGGGAAACCUUGUAGAGGCUAUGGAACACAUAAAAAUUUAUGUUUCUUCAUAGAGCUCUCAUGGUGGAUUUCUAGGGUUUGCUUUAGAUGCCCUAAGAAUGGUUUAAAUGGUUCUAGAUGAGUUCCUAGAGGUUACACAAGCUUACUUUUGCUUGUUUUAGAGAUCGAAACGGUGUAUUGGGCAAAUGGCAUUGUUAGGGCACCAAAUUUGGGGCUUUUGUCAUAGAUGGCCGGGUUUAAAGGCAAAUUGACCUUAUAGAAAUCUAAUUAGGGGUAUUUUCGACUCGUUGGUGAACUCGGUUCGCCAAUCCGAUGAGUCUACGUAAGGAUACUGGGGAAAAAGCCUAAUUUGGCUUCGUUUUGCCGUAGGCGAGAGAAUAGAAGCCCAAAAAUCACAAGAAUUGAACCAUAGCACCUUUACAACCAUACGAAGUGGGUGGUGCUUUCCGAAAUCCUCGAAUUUUUUUUUAUGUCUAAAGUAUCAUUUCAUGUGCAUUUGUGUAUAUUGAUCAUUAUUCAUGGUAGGGUGAUUUGAGAGUAAAUUAUUGCAUGUUGUGAGUACAAAUGCAUAUGAGAUGAUUGUAAGCUAAUGAGAAUUUGUAAAACCCUAUGUAUGCAUGAAUGAUGACAAGAACCUAGAAAAAGUAAGAAUCAAGUGACAUUGUGACAUAAUUGGUUGAGUGUUGAAAGUGUGGCAUUAGUAAAUAUAUAUUGAAUGUUAGAAUGAACACCUAGUGUGUGUGGCAUUAGAGAGUCAANAGUAUCCUCACUUGGAGAGGAUAGAUCUAGCUCACAGUCUGCGUUUGGGAUGGUAUAGCCAUCCAAUCCCCACAUGGAGGGGAUUGUCGUCGAGUACUCCGGAGUGUCGCGCGACUAGGACCACUUGGAGGUCCGGACCACAUGGAGGUCCGCAGACGGUCCCGGGCUUGGGUGCACUUGGAGCUCCCUCCCCACUUUGGGAUUGAAAGGUGAGUUAUUGGCGAACCCUAGGGCUUCGCUACAGAUUGGGUAAAAGAACAGUGAACAAUGCCAUUGAACAUUAUUAUUCGAACAUGGAUCGAAUUUGUUAGCAUGAUAGUUGUCACGCCCCGGGGCCCAGCGGAAGCCCGCCCGGCGCGUGCCCAGACCCGCCAUAUGUCUACAACAUAUAAGGCGUCUAAAAACAACAAUAAUAAAAGCAAUAAUAAAAGACAUCUAGGAGUAUCAGAGCAUAAUAAAUGUCUAAAUGCUACAACAAGAAUUAAGGAUGGAACUGUAAAUUCACUACAUAAGACAUAAAGUAAAUACAAUAGGAAAUCUCAAAUACAAGUGCUAUAGGUAGGUACAUAGGUGGUCUCUAUACAUGGAUACAAAAAUCUCACACUCUCUCAAAAUACAAAAGAAAGAGCAAACCACCUAAGUAAGAACCGCUCCUCGCUAGCUAGCUAAGCGAUCCCCUUGCCGCGAUCCCGUGCCUCCGCCGGUGCCGAAGGCUCUGAAGAGAAAACCAGAAAACAGGGGCGUGAGAACUAUUAAAAAUAGUUCCCAGUGGGCAAUUACUGACUUCAGUGAACUGUGCCACAAGGCCCAAAAGCUACAAGAAAAGGGCAGUGACUAACAAUGUAAUAAUUAAACGGUAAGCGAAAUGUAACCUACUAUAACAUAGAGUCUCCACUUAGCAUGAUUUGCAUAAGUAAUAAAUCAACUAUAACAUGAAUGUGCAUGGAUGUGUAAGACAUGCAUAAGCGUAGAAAUGCAACCAGUCCAAUGUCCUCAAUGCAAAGAUAGUAAAAAUUGUCGUCGUUUACUAUUCUAGUCCAAGUCCACUUUAAUAGUUUUAAAGUUCACGUUGCAUGAUCUGUCACUAAGUCUCAAUCAUAUAAGACCCACCCGAAGGCUGUCUGGCCUGCGCCGUGCCUAAUGGCCCCGUGGUAGUCAACAUCCCCACUCUAGGGAUGAGCCUCCCCCACGGCGAUCCACUUCGGCGCCCAAUCCCGCACGGCGAGCAUGUGUCGCGAUGGCUAUCUCCGGAGUGCCGGCUUGUAGGGAGCGACCCUCACAAGCAUGUGCGAAUGAGCACAAAUGGCAAGCAAGCAAUGAUCUGUCUCAAGUACCAAGUCCUCAUGUCUAAAACAUGGAAUAUGUCAAGUAUCACGAUGGCCUAUCUCUAUGUCGUCAUGUCUCUAACAUGGAAUAUAGCAGAUAUGUAGUGGCCUACCAAUAUGUCUCAAUGUUGCAGUUUCAUAGUUUACUAGUUUCAAGUGCCCCUUUAUGACACUCUGGUUCUCUAUGUCAAAACAUGGUAACUAUGUUCCAAAGUACAUAUUCCGAGUCAUAAUUCUCAUAAGAGAUGUAUUUUUACUUGCACAAUAAACACUUUUCCGUAUGCAUGCAUUCUACUCAUAUAGCUCUACUAUAUAGUAAAAUUUUCAUAAUACACGAGGCAUGCAUUUUAAGUGCUCUAAAAUUCAUAUAAAUCCCAUUUAGCAUAGAAAUGAACUUAAAAAUAUUUUACAAUAAGUAGAAAGAGCAUAGGGGUCAUUUCGCCCCAUUUCCCCGAAGCCAAACCCACCGAUGGCAACGAAACUCCUCGUGCGCUCCAACGAGGGUGUCCUCUAGUCUCCUAGUACCCUAGAGGUAGAGAAACAUGCGUCACAUGAACGAAACGAACCAUCAAUAGCUCAAUCAUUAAGCUAAUCAAGUAUAGGUGAGAAGAACUCACCUCUAGUGCAAAAAUCUCCUCUAAAGCUCCAAAAUGAAGUUAGGGCUCAUCCAAUCCAACCUAAUGGAAGCCUCUAAUCCAAUCAAUCUAGCUUCAAAAGCCCUAGAUUCAAAAUGCCCAAAAUAAACCCUAAUAUCACAAUCUAGGGUUUCAUCUUAUGAAAUCCAAUGAAACUCAAAUCUAGAGGAAGAUAGUGUAACGCUUACCUCUUAGAAGCUUCAAAUCAAGCUCUAAAUCCUUUAAAUCCCAAGAUCUAUCCUCCACUUAGCUCCAAAUCCAAGCUUCUAGCUCCAUCAAUGGUGGAGAAGCAUAAAAGAGGAAAGAAAAGGGAUUAAUCCUUCAAAAUCUAGGCUAGAGGGAGAUUAAAAUCAAAGAGAAGCAAAGAGAAGCUCUCCUUACCUUGCUCCCUGCAGUGGCAAGCUCAAAGAAGAGCCCUAGGGGCGUGGGUGCUGUUAUAGUAUUGCUACAAUAGCAAAAACACCCCUGCAGAACAAACUGCACGAAAUCUGCCUCCUUGUACCGGUACACGGGCUCUUGUACCGGUACAAGGCCGACGAAAUUGCAAACCCGAGGCUCGGGUCGCGCGGUCUGCGGCUCUGUACCGGUACAAGCCCGAUGGCUGUACCGGUACAACCAUCAACCCUUGUACCGGUACAAGGCCAGUCUUGUUCCGGUACAAGCCCUGCUGCAGGCUACCCGAGAGCUGUCCAAAAAUUUCGAUUUUGGAAUUUUGGUGCCAAGUCCCACUCCAACAUCCUCAGGAUGCGUGCCAGGGGUCGGGACACUAUCAACGACCCUCCAAAAACUGUGGGAAAGCUCCAAACACAGAUCAAACACUCGAAUCUUGCGAUUUGCUAAGAUCCAGUGUAUUACAGGGUCAUUUGUGCAUAAUUUCUUUAUAGUUAAGGAACGGAUUGAACUUGACAUCCCUAGAGUUAAGGAUUGGAUCAUACUCGCUAUAUGUCCUUGCUCGAGGGCGGUAGCUCCCCCUCGAGCGAUGCGCUCCGGAGUUUAUCAUCACUGGGUUGGUGCUAUUCCCCAGAGGACGGUCCCCGUCGAGUCGUAGGAGUCUCCUCGACGAUUUGGGAUUUUGAGUUGGUAAGCUAAUGAGGCGAAACCCACGGGUUAGCCAUGAGAUUGAACAAGAGAUCAAAGAACUUGCAUUCUUCAUGAGUUUUACAUUGAGCAUUCUUAUUGACAGCUUUGUUCAGGCAUAUUAGUUGCAUUGUACAGUUGGUUACUUAUCUGCUUUCUUUCUAUUAUGCCUAAGUUAGACCUAGUGGGAAAGUUGGUGAGAUUGGGGCCGAACCCACUCGGAACUUCAUUGUAAUUCUCACCCCACUAUUUCCACAGAGCCCGAACCGAGCGAGUCGGCGAGCGACCACGGUAAAGUAUCGCGCCGUAGACAAUGACUACCAAGUUGGGUUUCAUAUUUUGUUAGUAGCAUACCUUAUACCAUCUUUUGUAUUCGAUGAUUUGAGAUGUUAAAGAAAAGAAUGUAAUGUGUUAUUGUGAGCAAAUGUGAUGUAAAAAGAAAUGAUGAAAAGCAAUGUAAAGAAUCAUGAAUGUAAAUGGUUUAAAGUAAAUCAUUGUAUGUGUAUGUUGUUAGUCUCCUUUCUUUCACUCAUGGCUAUUGCUUACCCUCGUGUAAGCCGUUGUGUAUGUUUCCGCUAGUGCUUUUCUUAACUUGAAAUUGUACAGGUGAUGAGCCUUGGGCGGACCGGAAAAACUCUAUUCGUUCGGCGUCUGUUCGACGUGCCCGGACCGGCCCAAAUUGGUAUCGGUCCCGAGGCGUGACAGGAUCAUACUCACAGUCUGUUUUGAGCUUGUGGUGGUCGCUCCACACAAGCCGUGCACUCCGGAGUUUGUCACACGAGGGGCAGAGUUGAUGUCCCGCAGACGGUCUCGGGUUUGUGAGCGAGGUGCGUCUCCUUACUUUACGAGACGGCAGAGUGAGUCGUGGUCGAACCUUAGGGUCAGCCAAUUGAUUGGGUAAAAUUAUGAAUGGCAUUACUUCUUGGAUAUAGUAGUAUGUUAGCGGAUUUCCUACUAAGUAGUGCAUGCAUUCAUUAUAGUGGAUUGGGCAUAGUAGUGUAGCUUUUCUUACUAUGUUGUCAUUGCUUUCAUAUAUAUAUAUAUAUAUAUAUAUAUAUAUAUAUAUAUAUAUAUAUAUAUAUAUAUAUAUAUAUAUAUAUAUAUAUAUAUAUAUAUAUAUAUAUAUAUAUGUCUGUCUAUCUACUUAUGACCGCUUAGACCUAGUGGGAAGAUCGGUGGAGUCGGCGGCCGAAUCCACUGGGAACUAUAUUUAAAUAGUUCUCACCCUACUUUGUUGCAGGGCGGAAUACGAGUGCUCCAGGUGAGGAUUGCGGUAAGGGCAUAGCGCCCUAGUAGUAGAGACUUUCAUUUUGCAUUAGUGACGCCCUAUGUACAUGAGUGUAGAUGAUGUAUAGGUUGUGAGAUGCUUUUGGAGAGUUGUAUUCAUAUUUAUGUCAUAAUGAGAUGAACUUGUAUCCAUAUUUUGGAAGUUGUAAAUGUAAAUCAAAUGUGGUUCAUGGUUGAAUGCGAUGUAAUAGAUAGAAUGUUCUCUCUUUUACUCACUUGUAUAUUACUUGUGUCUUGCUCUUUCUUGUUAGCGCCUGUGCGCUUCUCGUUGAAUCAUGUAUGUUUUUGAGUUUUCCUGGGCUACUCUUGUACAUGAUUAUUGAUGCUUAGCCUUGGGCGGGUAAGGGAGAUGCUGCCCGUCCCGCGUCUGCUCGACGUGCCCGAACCGGCCAAAUUGGCGAUCGCGGGGUGUGACACCGGACCCCGAGAGCAAGUUUUUCGGCACUCAAGCUGAAACUUCUCUAGCUUGCUCUCCUAUGUCCACCUACCCUAUACAACUCAUUCCAAAGCAUUCGGAAUGAUUUACGGACCCUUCCAACUCCUCUGAAUCCGCACUUCGGUCGUUUUGACGGAAGUUCGGUAAAACUCGACGGGGGUACGAUAUGUUACAAUAACCAAUAACAUAAAAUUCAUGCUAGUUCUACCAAAUAUAUGCCAAUUUUAACUUGUCUAUACAAGUAGGCUAACCAUCAUAUAAUGCAUGUUUCUUAAGUUUAAUGCAUACAACUCUCUACUUUAUAGAGGUAUAACCUUGUCCCAUGAUGUAAAUACACCUAAGUUACCCAACAUCUUAUUUAUAAUGCUACUAGCAUAAUAUGCAUGUCUAAUAACAUAACCGUUCACCCAUUUCGGUGGGGUCAAACCCACCGAAUAAUCGUCGACUUGAUUCUAUUCCUUGAGCGAAGGUGCUCUCUAGCCUUCAAAUACCCUAUAACCAUUUUAGAUUAAUUAGGAGCUUCAACAAAGACUCCAACCCAAAACUCUCACAAUAGAACUCAAUAUACGUAAAACAUACCUAAUAAAAAGCAACCUCUAAUCCCCAAUUGAUCUCAGGUUGAAUCCUUCAAAAACAACCUGGAAAAAAUGUGAAAUACUCAACCCAAAGAGUUCUACAACUCAGCGAAGUGAUAACCCAAAGAUUAAACUCGAACUCAGCCACAACAUAUAUAUAGGAUAGCAAUUAAAAGACUAACCUUUCCAAAACUCCAAGCCGAGCUCACUCUUGAGCUGAGGUUGGAAACUCUCCUAUGUAAGACCUCCUUCUUCCCUUCUAUAGUUCCCCCAAAGCCCUCAAUAUCAGCUGGCAUAAAGAGGAGAAGAAGAGAAAAGCUUAAUCCAUCAAUUUUCACUCAAAAAUGGAAAUUAAAUCUAAAGAGAGAAAGAAGGGAGCUUACCCUGUUUCCCUCAAGCUUCGGCACAGAAAAUACCAGCUGGGGGUCGGUUGGACUUUUAAAGGGAUAAGCAUGGCUGCAAAAUGACUAAAAACUCCUUUACCAACUCACUCUGCCACAUCGAGUAUCGGUACUCAUGUUGAGGUACCGGUACCCGGCCUCUAAACAGCUAAAACCCGAGAGCUACGCAGCUGGAUUUAUUACAGAGCACCGGUACCCGCGCAAUGCCAUAGCGGUACUCAGCUCCAGCUUCUCAAAUCCGAGAACUACGCAUCUGGCAACCCUUUGAGGUACCGGUACCACACUCAGGUACCGGUACUCAACACUAAAACCUGAGCGUUCCAGGUUUUAGUGUCAGUAGCUCUGUCAGAGCUCUGCCUAACACUUAAAACAUUUAUGCCGCUACACUCUCAAAGUAUCUAGAGCAGCUCCAAUUACUAUUCUAACACUAGAACUUUACAAUUUGCUAAAGUUCAGUAUAUUACAUAAAUUUUUGAGAAAAAGUAAAUAAUAUUAAAAAUAAAAAUAAAAAAGGUUAUGUCGGGCCACUAAGCCAACAUGGUGGCCUUGCACAGCACACGCCCGCAUCGUAGGCCAUGUUGUGGUUUGAAUCCGUUGCCUUAAAACAAAAAAGAGGUAUAAAAUUAUCUCUACUACUAUGCUAUUAAAAGAUCAAUCCACUAGAAGCAAGCUCAGGAUUAUAUGUAUAUAUAUACAUUCAUACAUAUAUACAUACAUACAUAAAAUAUCGUAAACAACUUACGUUUUAUUUGACAUUAUUUUUUUUAUUUUCUUAAAUAAAAUUGAUAUAUAAACGAGUAUGAACAUGAAUCGCACGUAGCUUGCAAUCCUUUCAGGGGUUUGUUUGGUAAUUAAAAAAAAAAAAAUUGAAAGUAACCUUUUCUUCUUUCUUGAGGUUUGUGAAAAAAUUAUCAUCUAUCAUCCAUUGGGAGGCAUCAUUGGAAGCUAACUAACCGUGAUUAACAAAAAAUAAAAUAAAAUAAAAUUAUUAACAGUAUGUCCAAAUAUACAAAAUUUCUAUUGGACGAAAAAAAAAAGAAAAAGAAAAAGGAAAAAGACACCAAUACCCAAAAGGGCCUUUGAUUUUCUCUUCACUCACAAAAUUAUGAUUCCAUUUUGGUUGGAGUAAUUAGUUUCCACUCUGGGCUCCUGGGACUGCUAGAUGUGGAGUGGAAGACUGUUAGUACUAAUUCUCAUUCAUGUUCCGAGUGGAAGACAGUCAUUCUAAUUCUCAUUCAUGUUGGUCUACAGGGCACGAGACUUGAGCCAUCACCUCCUCGUCCUACCUGCUCUCAAUGCGUCGUCUAACUAUAGUUUUAUGUUGUGAAUUGUCGACUUAAUCUAUCUUUCAUGUGAUGAUGACUUAUUAUUUUAAAAUUUUAAUUAAAUUCUUAAUUAUCAAGUUUAAAUUAAUUGAAAAUUUUAAUGUCAUGUUGUGAACUGCUAAUACAAUUUUACUUUUUUUAUUUUAAAUUUUAAAAUUUAUAGCUUUAUUUUAGAUUUCUGAUGAAUAACUAAAAUUGCCUCAACUAGACAAGAAAAAUGGGAAUCGUCUAUUCCGGCUGUGAACCAACACUUACAAGAUUUUACCACUCUAUUUCUAAUUCCAAUUUUUAAUCCAUUUUUAAUUUGAUUUUAGCUUUAAUUCGCAUCUUUGAUACAUAUAGUACUUCAAAAAAUAUUUAUUCUUUCGUUAGUAUACUUAAACAGUAGAUUGCGGAAUGUCUUCCAUGUUGCAUGGAUUCUAAGACAGAAGGUAUAUGGGACGAAUCUAGAUGUGCACUCAAACAUAUAGAUGCACAGUAAUUUCAGAUUUGAAUAGGUAGGGAUGCAAGACAUUGUUUUGGUACUUUCGACGAUAGAUGCAGAGCAUUUGAUUGGAGGCUAGGCGCUCAAUAUGGAAUUCGAGUAAUAGGAAAAACUUUCCCUGACAAAGCGUUAUCACCAAACCCUAACGAGGAUCACCAACAGAAAGAGACUGAACCGCGCGCUUAUUUAGUUGGGCGAGCAAAUAAUUACCUAGAUAAGAAAAGUACCCAUGCCCUUUCAGAGCGGGCUCAAUAGGCCAUAUUUGAAUAAAAUAUAUUUUUUUACGUUCCAAAGUUAUUUCAAAUAUAUCCCCUAGAGUUAAAUUCUAUUAAUAAACGGUUAACAAUAACCGCUAUCUCUUUGAAAUUACUAUUUUAUCUUUUCAAAUAUAUCUUUCGACCAUAACCAACUUUUCUUAUUUGCCCUUAAGUUAGAGACAAAAAAAUUAUUUUAAUUUUUAGUCUUUUCAAACAUACCUCUCUACCAUAACUAACUUUUCUUAUUUGCCCAUAUUUUAUUUUAUUUUUUAACUUGGUAAAUAUUUAACUUAUGUAUAACUUAACGGGUUGUAACUGUGAGAGUAUUUUUGAAUAACGAAAAAGCAUAUAAAGAGUAUAUUUGAAAAAAAAAAAAAAAGUUAAAUAUUUUCAAAGUUUUGAAGGAUAUAUAAGCAAUUAUCUCAUGAAUAUAUAAACAUCUUAUUCAGUACAGUUCUUUUACUUGAAAAGAUUAUAUUAGUUAGUAGAUAAAAAAUACAGUCAAAUGUCUAAAAAGAGAGAUCAUAUUGAAACUUCCAAGUUAUUUUUCCAAAAUUUAAAAAAUAAAUAAAUAAAUAAAACCACCCGUAGGUGAAAGUGAAACACACUGUACUAUCACAGCUUUCCACUGAACGAAACAUGAACUCCUUGCUUUUAAUCACAAGAGAACAAUCCUUCCAAGACUUUUCAAAGAGCUAAAAUUAAACAAACUCCUAACUUGUAGUUGCACAAAGAUAAUCUUCAUAGCGCACAAGUCAUCCACGGAUAAUUUGUUCAGAUAUCCAAAAGGACCAUAAGCAAUUCAUAUAUACUAUAUAAUAUCAGACCCUUCAAGCUCAUGUUUACUGCUGGAAAUAGAAAACAUAUACACCAGAAAAUAAGCACCAGAAGAGAACACAAAUGGAAGAAGAUAAAAAGAAAAAGAAAGAAAACUUAGCUGUAAUACAGAUUGCACCAAGUAAUCUUGCUGAGGGUAGGUCUAGCUUUCACCUUAUUUUCUGUACAAGAUUUCUGUUUAAUUUAUAUGAGGCUGGAGAAUUGCUCAAAAUUGCUGCCUCCGGCACAAGUCUCGGAUGGUGUUGGAAGAUCCUCCACGUCAACGAGACACUGGUUGAUGGCCAAACUGCCAACUCUCGGGGAUGACGACGAAUUAGCCAAUCCAUCAGCACUAACAACUCUAUCGCCAUCCCCGUAUACAGAAUCUUGCUCCUUGCAGUUGGAUAUUCUGCUCAGCCAGGCUUGAAGUGGAAAAUUACCAUCCGAUUUCCUCACCGGUGUGAAAUUGACAUCCAAAGUAGAAUCUUCAAAAUUCAGAUUCAAGUUAAAAGCCUUUUGGGAAUCUCCAAUUUCUCGCUCGACUCCACAAUCUUGGUUCACAGAGUUUCUUAUCGAUGGUUCACCAGUGCCAAAGAUAUCAGCAAAUUGGCUGGAGGAAUGCAUCAUGGAGUCCGUGCUGCUCCCAUCCGACAAGUAGACCUCAACUUUACUUCUGAUGAAGUUCUCAUCAAAGCUCGAGUCCGAGCUGCUGUCCUCAAUCCAUACUCUAGCAAAACGGUUCAUGUAAGGGCCUUCGCUGGCAGCUUCCUCAGCAUCACUUGUUUUGAAGGAAAGACCACCACGCCAUGUGUUUUCUUCACCUUCAUCAGAGCAGACAUCAAUAGGACGCAGUACAUUAUGCAUGGGAAGUUGCUUUACAUCUGCUUUACCCGCUAUCAAAUAACUGGCACCAUUACCAUUUUGUUCAAACUUGAGAUUCAAUUCACCAUGCUCUUUUACAUUGUUUCCACUGCUGCCACUGUCUGAUUUCUCGACUCCAAACUGAGUCUUCUCGGCAGUAAAGAGCUCAGGAUAGUCUAACAUCGUUGACUUGUGGCUGGAAGAGUCGACCUUUCUUGAAGAAAGAAAUUUUGCCAAUGCUAAAGUCAGUUGAGUAUCAGGGUUCUCAUCAGUAUCCGACGCACCACAAAGGUCUAUAAAUUCAUGUUUUGAAUAGUCAAGCAUGGGAACUAUUAAACAAGAAGAAGAGUGGUGCAGAGGCACAAAAGAACACAAGUCACAGGCCAAACCUGACGAGUCAAAAGUAGAAUCCUUCUUUGCUUCAUCUGAUUCACAACAGUUCUUAUUAUCAAAGUCGGAUUUAUUGAGAGAACAGUCAGGAACUGCCUCAACAUUAGCAGGUAAUGGUGAGGCAUAAAAAGCAGCUUCUUCAUCCUUCACUUCAGCUGAUACACGAGCAGUUUGUUCAUCUGAGAAAGAUGUAGUAGAUAUAUUACCAGCACCUUCAGGAAAGACUAGGGAAUCAGAAUUGUAGUCACUGUCCGCAGGAAACUUGUGAGGCAGGUCUACAACACAUGGACUAGAAUUGCGUGAGGGGACUCCAGAUGAGGUAAGAAAUGCUGCCAAUGCUGAAGCUAAUGCACCAUCAAUGGAUAAAGGCUUUUUAUGACCAGAAUUGUUCAUCACACUUUUCUCUUGAUUAUCAUUAUUGUUGGUACAAUCCUCAUUUUCACUGGGAAAUUCAGGCGCCUUAACAACAAGACCUUGGCACAUCUUAAAUUCUUCCUCAGAAGCUGCAACAUUAUCAGCUGUGUCCAGAAGCUCUUCACUAGGAAACUCAGGAGCCUUGAUAAUCAGACCAGGCGAAGUUUUAGACUCAUGCCCACAAUGUGAAACAUCAUUAUCUUGUAGUUGCGAAUCGUAAAGUUCCUCAAUGGAAAAAUCAGGUGCCUUGACUACAAGGCCCGGGCUCAUAUCACAUACAUCCCCUUCUGUGCAAGAACUUUUCCAGGCUUUAUUCUCCAAAUUGGAUUUUUCAAUUGAAGAUGCUGAAGGCGGUGUCUCUGCAACUUCUUUUAAAGACUCAAUUUCCAUUUGAAAUGCAUCAAACUUCUCCUCCAAUCGCCUAAGCCUCGUUUCAAUGCAACUGAGGGGUUUCAUCAUGUUUUCUUCAAGCCUCGAACAGCAUGACUCUAUCCUUCCCACCUUGCAAAGAAGAUCAUUCACCAUAUUCUCUAUGCGGCUGUGGGCUAGAGUAUCUUCUUUAGUAACACAGUUUGUUGCCUGAUCUGAAUCUAUUGCUUUCUGGCAUGAUUCAGAGGGUACAUUCUCUGGAUUUACCUUGCUUUCUACCUGCAUUGGGCCCAAAUCUUGAUUCUCCAUAGAGUAUGACUCUUGAUCAUUUAAGACCUGGAUAGAUUUUGAAUGGCCAUCGACAUGUUUUGUGUUGGCUUGGUCCUGCACCGACCUUAUGUUUAAAUCUUCCAGAUCAAAGUGUGGUUCUAUCCUCGUACUCAUUGCAUAUGAGCUGCUAGGUCUCACAGAUUUGGACAGUUGCAGAAGAUUAGGAACAAGCAUGGCCAAUAUUGAACUUCCUGCUGAUCCCGCCGUCACAGCAGGCGAAUCUUCAGUUAGGGAUUCCACAGGAUCAGCAUAUAUAUAAAUCUCCUCAACAUGAACAGACGCUUUUGUUUCAAGUGAGAGCAGCCGCAGAGUGAGUGAAAUACAAGGACUAGCAUCUGAAAUCUCAGCUGUUGCUUCGUAAUGCAUCUGCAAGUUGUAUUUAGCAAAAAUCAGUACUACGAUGAGUUAAUUAAAUAUAUAACCCUCCGUAGUUUAGUGAAUUGAAGAACAUUACCUGAUUGUUUGCUCGGGAAAAUCCAUUACUUUGCAGGGGAGAGUCUGGAAGCUUCACUUCAACCCAACCAUCUUCAUCACUAGUAGUGCUAUCACUUUGAACUAUAUUUUCAUGCUUUCCUUCAGCAAUCUUCCCCUCAGAAGAACUUGGAACUUCUUCAGCAGCAGGACCACAGCGUACUGUGGCAAGGUACUCCUUACCACCAUACUUCAGAUCAGCAGCAUAGUAUAUUUCAUAAACUCUGGCAGUACUUUUCACAUACAACGUGUGGAUUUCAUGUUUUUCCUGGAAAUAGACUGCAGAAGAGAUGAAACUAGAUUAAGUUGUCCAUUGGGAGGAAAAGAUCAACAGCAUAACACUACAUAUGUUUCGAAAGAUCAAUAGAGCAUUUUGCGCCAGUUAAUUUUAGAGAACCAUAUAGAAAAAGAUAAUCCUUCAAUGGUUGACUGCAGCAACAAGCAGUUCUACAGUUACAAAACUAAUCGAAAAUUCAACACAUCUUGGUUUACUCAAAAACCAGAUAAUUCUAAGAACCCCUAAUAAAACAUAGCCGACUUUCCAAAUGUUUUCUAAACUUCUAUCAAUCUGUCAAAAUCCAAAAUCAGGAACCUCAAAGUGGCAUCUUAUAUAUAUGAUCAUAUCAUGGCAUUGUUUCAAAGCUUCCAGUUGGAAAAUAACAAUUUGAAGCCCUAAAGUUGUUCUCCAUCUCUCCUACUAAAGCACCCUAGCACUGCUACUUGGGAAACUGGCUGAAGAUGCAGGAUAAAAAGCUACACGUUUCUACAAAUUGAUAAUAGCAGUAAAACUUCACAAACUUAAAGCAAGACCAGCAGAAGACAGACGUGCUUUUACACUUGAUUAAUCAUGCCCGUAUGCAUAUUUAUAGACAAGAAAUAUCAUUUAACUUCCGAAAAGGCAGACAUGUGUAUUAACAUAUAAUUUUUACUGCAGAAAUCACCGUUUCAUCUUUACUUUACUCCAUUACCAGCACAUAUUCAAAUAAUGUCCAUUAAGUAUCAUACAUAUAUAAAAAACUUUAUUUUUAUUUCAAAAUUUUGACUAAUAAAUUUAACAUUCCUGUAUAUACUCCUAACUGUCCUUUUACCAUUUCACUUUCUAGCCAUAUUAUUGUCCGAAUAUUAUAGUUACAUUCUCUAUUAUUCCAGCAUGAAUUGCAGCUGUACUGUUCUACAUAUCACACUAAUUACCUUUUAUUUAGCUUGAACUAACUGGAUAUAAUAAUUCAACCCCAAACAGCACUAUGUCGUCACACCCUCCAUAUUUCCAAGUAGCUCAAUAAAGGGGAAGGAAUGAGGCAAAGAAACGAAAAACAAACUUAGCUCCUACCCACAAAGUCUAUAUGUAAAUAUAAAUACAUGCUGUAUGUGUAUGAUCAAUUACAAAUUAUGGUUUUGGUAUAUGACCAUGUCUGUGAGUAUAACUAUCAUCACAUUGGCCAAAACAUGAAGGUAUGCAAGUAGAACAACAGACAUGAAUAACUAUGCUUUUCCCUUUUGAACAUCAAUUUUUUCGUAAUAUAAGUAUUUAACUAUCUCUACACCCUUCUAUCAACUUCGCAUUCCAUUAGUUAGUGUGAGAAGUUAUUCCUCUUAUUACUAUAAGUAAUGCAAAAUCUUCUAACAAAGUCACACCAUAUAUAUGUCAUCUUAUGUGCCAGAAGAGAAGUUUUUCAGAACUUCCACUGUUUUACGAAUAUAUAUCUAUUAAGUGUAACUAGCAUCAAAAAAUUUAUUCACUAGAUUAUGCAAAACCUUCUCGAUCAUCCACCCUUAACCUACUUCUAAUAUUGCCUGAUUAGGGAAUGUCUAUGCCAGUAACAAGAACACAUUAAACUCUGUUCAAGGUGUGGUCCAGGUCAUGUUUGGUUGGGGAUGAUGAGGCAUUGAGGCUAACUUGAAAACUGCAGCGAUAAGCUGACCAUGCAAAUACCACAAUUUCAUCCUAUGCCCAGAAAUAGGGUAGUGGUUGGAGUCCCUUACCCAUUUCCACGUUGUAUUUCUAGUAGUUCCAACUGUGAUUAGUGGACCCUCACUUUAUCCCUCGAUAAAAAAUGAUCAUCUCUAGAAAUUGUCUUAGGUAUAUAGAGAAGAAGCCAUUGUGAGAACUCUAGAUUAACGACUUUCCUUCUUUGUAUUUAGCAUGAAAUAGAAAGGACAACCUGAAAUAGUAGUCAUUUAUAUGGAUAGUACAAUUCCUUGUAUAUUCCCUGAAAUCACAUAAACUCUGCUCAUAGCGGACAGUCAAAACAACUCAAAUACUAAGGAAGGAAGAACAUAGGGAUCACAGAAAAAAAAAAAAAAAAAAAAAAAUCUAAGCAAUAUUCCAAGGUAAAGGAACAAAGUGUCAUAAUGUGAAUGUACGACUGUGUGGCCUUCCUCACUUGAGUUUUGCACCAACUCACCAUAGAAACCCCUAAACUCUUUUAUAGAACACGAAAAAGCACUACAAGUAGACAUCUGCAAGACGAAGAGAUUAAGAGCAUCUCUACAAGGCACCUUUCUAUAAAGACGCCUUUUCAAUUCUUAUGGUAAAUAAUUAACACACGGUUGCUUCGUCACACAUUUCCAUACUGAUAGGCACCCGAAUAGGUGCCUUUUCAUAAAGACGCCUCUUAACAUGGCAGACACCUCUCUAUACACAAAUUUUGAGUUGCUCCUGACACAAUUAAUAUUAUACCAUAUGUGUGCUAUUGCCUAUGGUAAGACUAUUCGCGGAGAUAUUUUUGGAUUGAUGUGAUUUCCAUCAUAAGUUCUAGAAAAUGCUAAGAUAUUCUUGGACAGUUCUUGCAUCCAAUCAAGAUCUAAAGGAAAAGAGAAGGAGCACUAUUGACUUCUUACUCUUUGGGAACUUCCAAACACCUUAAAGCUGAAAAGGAAAAGUAGUAUAUAUAUUAAUCGGUUUUUUCUAUGUAUACAAUAUAUAUCCAGGCGUCUCUAAUCUAAUGGUAUAAUACAAUCGAACAAGAAAGAUUCCAUAUACAUGACAAAGUAGCUAGGAGCAUUCACGGGUAAUUCGCAAGAACAUCUUGAACAAUAUCCAAAUAGAUCAUGGUUAUUUCACUCCAAUUUCACCAGAUAGGAUAAUCAUACGAAUCUAGCGAAACACCUACAUGCACCAUACAAAAUUUACAGAAAUUCCUUCCCACGACUACUUAUAUAAUAACAGUAACCAAAAUCUCCCUCUAGUUCCUCACUCUUUCUUUUUAGAGAUCAAGAACCCAUGAAGAAACCCAAGGGAUAUUGAUUAGUCACCACGCACAACCAGCCAAAAAACAAACAGAUCAGACACAAAUCAACGCGACUUCACCACCAGCGAAUCAUAAGAAGAGGCAGAUCAAGGGCAGUGCAACAAUCAAUUCGAAAUCAAGAACAGUAAAAGUCGAACAAAAACAAGGAGCGGCACAGGAAGAGGUCCAACUUGUGAUCUCGCAGGGCGGGGGGUCGUCGGAGUUGGGGCGGAGGAGGAGCGCGCCGGCUGGCGAGGGCGAGGGCGAGGGCGAGGACGAGGACGAGGACGAGGCGGGAGCGUCGUCGGCCGAGGUCUCGAAGGAGAUCGAGCCCUCCAGCGAGCCCUCGCCCGCAUCCCAGUUCGUCGAUGCCCGCCAGCUCCCGCUCGACAACGCCAUCGUCCCUUCCUACCUACUCUCUCUCUCUCUCUCUCUCUCUCUCUCUUCCUACAAUGUGAUCUCACUCGUGCCUUUUCCCCUCGACAAAUAUAAUAUUAUUAUGAUACGUAAUUUGGCACAGAGAGAGAGGGGCGUUCCUAGACGUGAAUUAUAUAGCAAGCAACUGUUUGGCCGAUACGGAUAUCGGACCGUCCGUUCGUUCGUGUGAUUGGCGUGUUGUAAGGUUGAUCUGACGGCUCAGGGUGAAGUUAAGAGGCAUAGGGUUACGUUGUGGUUCAGGUGCAACGCAACACUGCUGCACCUUAUCAAUCUUAGGCAACAGUUUAUAUUAAUUUAGUUUUUCUGUUUUUUUUUCACUUAAUCCUCUUGCAAUUCGAAUAAUUUCGAGAGCCGGACGCCCAAUAUCAAGGAUUAGGCCAAAAAUCAAAGGUUUUUAAGCGUUGUAUGAUGAGUACUAUUUUGAUUAUUAACAGCCUGCUUGGUCUUCGUGUAGGGGUAGUAUCUGAAUCGGUCUCUAUUGUGAAGUGACCAUCGAUGAUUGCGCCCAAGACUAAAUCAACCGAUUCGGUUGAUAAGUGAUCCGCUCGGCCGAGUUCAACCGCUCAAGUACAUUAUCAGCUCGGUUGGAAUGAACCAAAUGACUUUGACACCGUAGAGAAAAGAAGUUCAAUAUCUAUUCGGCUUAAAUGAGCCGAGUGAUCUCAAUAUGCUUUUCGGAAAAAAAAAGAAAAAAGAAAAAAAAGAAAAGGGGUUUACAAGUGGACUACUCUCACUUGCAAAAAUAUCUAUUUUAAAAGCUACACCGAGAAAAAAGCAAAAAAUAUGAUGAAGUAAGAGAUUAUAAUUGGACUACUCCUAAAAGGCGAAAAAAUAUUGAAAAUAGAAUGGCCUUCUCAUUUGUAGGGAAAAAGACCCUUUUAGCAAGCAUAUUCUAUUUAUUUAUAGUCUUGCCUGCCAUUAUUCAGUUAUUCCUCAUUAUAGGGUGUGUUUCGGGCACGUCCCUGUUUCUGUGGGCCACUUCGGCCGAUCUUAACUGCAUUUUCGCUCAACUGAUUUUCGGUUUUUUGCACAUUCUUCCCAGAUCCUAGCGCACCACAUGUCGCUCCAGGUUCGACUUUGGGAGCCCUCCACGUGGUGUAGAUCAACUUACCACGUGGCACUAUUUUUAUGAUGCCUACAAUACUGUCACGCCCCAAUCCCCGCCAAUUUGGUUGGGUUCGGGUCACGUCAACAGACGCCGAACGGACAGCAUCUCCCCUGUCCGCCCAAGGCUCCAACAACAAGUAUAAUUAAGCAAUCAACAAAGAGAUAUGCAAUUAUAUAAGGCUUGCACGAGGGCAAGCAAUAACGGAAGCGAAAGCUCUAAGCUAAACAUACAACCAUACAUGAUAUUUGAUUAAAUUUAAACCAAAUAAAAGUGAACUAAAACUAUUACAUUCAUUUUCCAUUCAUUCAUAAUUUUUUUUACAACUUAAUCAUUCCACCAAAACACAUGCUUGUUUACAACUUUACGUUUCUCUAAAUCAACAAAAGAAAGUUGAUACAUGUACAAAAGGAAUGACUAAAAAUGCAUGUCCCGGUGACCACUAGCUAUGGCGCAAUACUCUUGCCUCGGUCCUCCGCCGUCCCGCUCGCGCUCGGACCUGUAGGGUUAGUGGUGUGAGAACUACAACGAAGUUCCCAGUGGGUUCGGCAUCCGACCUCGCCGACUUACCCAUUAGGUGUCACACUCCGGACUCCGCCAAUUUGAUCGGAUUUGAGCGCAUAACAGACUCCGAAUGGACAGUACCUCCCCUGUCCGCCCAAGGCUCCAACAACAAGUAUAUUUCAAGCAAAUCACUAAAGAGAAUUGCGAAAUAUACAAGGUUUGCACGAGGGCAAACAACAACCCCAAGUGAAAGCAUCGAAACUAUCUAAGCAUUCAAUAUACAAGUCAUUUGAUUUCAUUUGAAUCAAACACAAGUAGUCUAAUACAUUCAUUUACAUCACAUUUCCCCUUUAACCCAUAAUACAUUGUUUACAUUAUUCUUACAUUAGCCUAAACAUAAUUUACAUUUCUUGCUUUACAUUAUUUACAGUUCAACACCUACAGUUGAGAACACCAAAAUAUAGGGUAUGCCUCUAUCUCGAGGGCCGCUAGCUACGGCGCAACACCCUUGCCUCGAUCCUCCGCCGCCCCGCUCGCGCACGGAUCAGCAGGGUUAGUGGUAAUGAGAACUAGAAGAAAGUUCCCAGUGGGUUCGGCCGCCGACCACGCCGAUUCGCCCACUAGGUCUAAUUCAGGCAUAUGUAUUUCAAUAAAGAAGAAUAACAAACUAACUAAUGCACUUCUAAUACAAUGCCUGCAAGAAAAAUAAUUCACAGAUAGAUAUUCAUAUUCAAUACAUGAUGAUUAUGCAUGCAUGUCCUUUUUACUUUCCUUUGGCCUUUACCCAAUCAACCCGGGGUGCUCCUGGUUUAUCCCGACUCACAGUCCACAUAUCCCGUCUAACGGGGGAGGCACAAGGCACAACCACCCGAAAGAUCUUCGCCGGGCACUCUCACCCGUGGUGCAUUUUCACUCCGGAGUACACCGCUUGUGGAGGAGCGACCUCCCACAAGCCGGAACCAAUACAUGUGAGUAUGGUCCCAUCCUCAAUUUGAGGAGGUAUGGUCAACCGGUCUCAAUACCACAAUGCCGAUGAUAGGUCUUUACCUAAUCAUGUAUGUCACUUCACUAAGCCACAAUGGUCAUGAUGCCAUAAUACAUAUAAUGCCACUUGGGUUAAACUCUACUAAGCCACAAUGGUCCUGAUGCCAUAAUAUACAUAAUGCCACUUGGGUUAAACUUUACUAAGCCACAAUGGUCCUGAUGCCAUAAUACACAUAAUGCCACUUGGGUUAAACUUUGUUUAACUAUACUCAUUUCAAUGCCAAUCGAGUCACUAUAGUCAAUGUCACCGUUAUUUACUAUGGUCGUAGUCUUUUCUCACAUUCACAUGNCAUAAUGCCACUUGGGUUAAACUUUACUAAGCCACAAUGGUCCUGAUGCCAUAAUACACAUAAUGCCACUUGGGUUAAACUUUGUUUAACUAUACUCAUUUCAAUGCCAAUCGAGUCACUAUAGUCAAUGUCACCGUUAUUUACUAUGGUCGUAGUCUUUUCUCACAUUCACAUGCAUAUAGGGUUAUUCGUCUUCUUGUCGACAUGUGUCUAUAUCAUUCACAAUAAUCUUAAGCAGACAAUUGAUGCAAUCAACAUAUACCAUUCAUUACCCUACAUGCAAGAAUGCAAUAAUAUCAACAUGCUCAAUAGUAGUGACAUAGACAUAGAAAGAGACUCGGUGUUUUCGGAUAGCACCCCCCACCUUUAUGUGAUACUAGGAUGCCGUGGUUCUGUUUUCACGAUGUUUAAACACUUUUGCCGCGAGCUGCGGCAAUCUGUACCAACUCGGCUUCUUUUUCUAAUAUCUUCGCGCACGCUCGUCGUAUCGUCGAACCGAGCGCACCGAUGUGUUCGUUGACAUACCAAUUAGGUUAAAAAGAGAUCAAUCCCAAGAUUGAACCUCAAAAUCCAAAAACCCUAAAGUUAGGUCCUUGCAAGACAUCAUCUUCUCCAACUAGGUCCCUAACAUAAAUAAUCAUGGGGGAAAAUACCAUAGAAGAUCCUAGAUGCAACAACUAGAAGCAAAAACCCAAAAUCUAACUUAAAAUCACAAGAACUCACCUUAGGAGUCUAAAGCUUUCCUUCAAAGCCUUGCUCUAGCUUGCUCUACACUUUGGAGAACUUCUUCUCCAAGCUUUUCUCCUCCAAAAGCCCUCUUGGUCCAAGCCCUAGAGAGAGAGGGAGAGAGAAAGGAGAGGUUUUUAGAGAGAGGGAAAGGUUUUUAGGGUUAGAGUGUGAGAGAAAUAAGAGCCAACCCCAUCUCUCACCUCUAUACAUGCAACCCAUAUCACUUUUGCACAUAAGCCCCUCACUUUUUCAUUUUUGCAAACAGCCUUUACUGGGCAAUUUCGGGCUUGGGGACCGGUCUCUCCCUUCAGGGACCGGUUCCCGAGAGCUAUCCUGCAAUCCACGCAGAAGAGGACCAGUCUCCCCACGAUGCAACCGGUCUCUCGGGACCGAUCUCCCACCGAAGGACCGAUUCCCGAGAGCUCGAUUUCCAGGACUCAGCCGAUUUUUCACCUCGUUCGGCUGAUCAACGUUCGGGAAUCGGUCUCUCACCCAAGGGACCGGUCCCCGAGAGUAAAAUUUCUAGGACUUCUCCAGAAUUGCAGUUUCACUCUCUCGGGUCCCUUUAUACUUUACAUAUAGGCUCCAAUACACUUUUAGCCUAUAGUAACUCAUUCCUUUCCGCGUUACGCACAUUUCGACGGAACUCGGCACGACUUACGGGGAAUUGCUAUUUACAUUCUUCACCCCUUAGAAAUUAUUUCGGCCGCGAAACUUAAACACAUACCUUAGUCCACUUGCUCAAACAAGUGAGGAUACACCUCGCGCAUUUUCCCCUCGAGCUUCCACGUGGAUUCACGCCUCGAGUGAUUACUCCAUUGUACUUUUACAUACGGAAUAGUCCGAUUCCGUAGCUUCCGCUCCUCUCGAGCAAUAACGCUUAUCGGAAACUCUUCAUAAGUGACAUCUUCGCGUAACUCCACCGGUUCAUAAUCAAAUACAUGCGAGGAGUUCCGAAAAUACUUGUGAAGAUUCGAAACAUGGAACACAUUGUGCACUCCUGCAAGCUUCGGCGGUAAUGCUAACUUGUACGCCACGUGUCACGCCCCAGCCCCGAGACCGCUACCAAUUCGGUACAGUUCGGGCGCGGCGGACGGACCGCCGGACGGACAGCACCUCCCCUGCCCGCCCAAGGCUCAAAUGACUAGAUUGUGUACAACAAGUUCCCAGGAAAACAACUUGAAUGCAUACACAAUCAUGUAACAACAACAAGAGCACGAUUAGUACUAUAUCAUACGAGAGCAAGCAUCACAAGUAAUAAAACCAUACAUGUGAACAAAAGAGAGAUGUACUUAACUAUUAAUUUAUUUAACAUAAUACAAUUAUUUCAUCCUUUACAUUCUUCCAGAGUAUAUGUACAAUCACUCCAAAAUCCUCACUCUAUACAUCAUCUACUCUCAACAUAGGUACAGGGUGUAACUAAUGCAUAAGGAAGUAACCUAUGCUAAAUCACUAGGGCGCUAUGCCCUUGCCGCGAUCCUCACCAGGGGCGCUCGAACUCGGACCUGCAACAUGGUGGAGUGAGAACUACGAAUAGUUCCCAGUGGGUUCGGCCGCCGACUCCGCCGAUCUCCCCACUAGGUCUAAGCAGGCACGGAUAGACAUGCAGACAGAUAGAUAUAUAAAACUGAAAGCAUUAACAGUAAUGAGCAACUAUGAACUAUGAUCUAUCAAUGCCUGAAUCCAGUAUGAUGCAUGCAUGAGACUCAUGGUAAAAAGGCUGGCUAUCAUACUACCGUGCUCAAUAAUGAAAUCAUUCAUCCGGUUACCCAAUCUCUCGGCGAACGCAAGGUUCGCUCACAGUCUCACGUCUCUAAGUCUCAUAGGGGAGGUGGCUAGCUAUUCACCUACCCCGAGACCGCCUGCGGAUACUACACUGGUCCAAGGGCACUACACUGGCCCCCUCGCGUGCCAAACUCCAGGUGCACUACCUGUGAGGAGCUACCUCCACAGGUGCAGACAGGCUAAGUGAGCUCGAUCCAAUCUCAUAAACUGGGAACACCCUAACCAACUAGAAUUGGUGUCACUAUAACAUCAGGUGUUCUUCUGCUCAAUCUCACAGUGUCUCAACCACACUAAAGUUCUCAAGUUCAAUAUCAACUAGGUGCCACUCGUUCUGGGUUCACUAUUAACUAGAUGCCACUCGUUCUCCUGACAAGUUCUUGAUAUACUAGUUUCCAAUAUACUAGGUUCUUAUUCACACAGACAUAUUCAUCACAUAUAGGGUGAACUAUCUCAUAGUAUUCCACUCAUGCAUACUAGGUUUUCAUUCAUUGUAUCCACAACCUAAAUCAUCACUAGCAUGCAAGGAUAUGCACAAUCAUAUUUAACACCCUAUAAUACUAUAUCGCAAUAUGUAAAUGAUCGACAAUGAUACUCAGACAUAAAGAGCAGCCUGACUGCUUUGGGAUGGCACUCCCCCACCUCGUGGCGAUGCCGUGACUCUUCGAAUGCGAUUCGCCGACGCUUCGACGCCUCGAUGGCCUUCCAGGCAAGAACGGAGCUCCGAGGGUCGCCUUUGACAAUAACUCCGCACCUACUCGACGGAUCGACGAACCGUCUUCGCCGACGCGUUCAGGGACCUGGCAAUUAGGUUUACAACCUCUCAAAUUAGAUCAAAACCUUAGAUUCGCCAAAAUCCCAAAUCGAAGCCCUAGACCUCGAUACUGGAGAAAUCCGCGGUGCGAGCUUCCAUUUCGAGCUCGAACCUUCUCCCUAGCUUCAAUAGGUUCCAUUCGAACCAUUUCUAAACCAUAAAACCUUAGUUUACAAAAUCCACCAUUAAAGGGUUUGAGGCUUACCUUCAAAAGCUUAGUCCAAGAAGAAGAAGUAGAUGAGAAAGGUGAUCUUCACCUUUGUCUUCUUUUUCUCCUACUUUUUCUCCUUCCUCUCCUUUCCUUUCUUCUCCUUUCUCUCCUUUCCUUUCUUCUCCUUUCUUUUCCUUUCCUUCUUCUUCUCCUUCUUUUCCUUUCUAGAGAGAGAGCAAAAAGAGUGUGAGAGGGAAAGAACAACUGAGAGAGAUAAAGGGUCCCCCAAGCCUUCAUAUAGGCCAUAUUGCAAAUAAGCCCCUCAGCUUUCCAUUCUCUGAAACAGCCCUCACUGGGCCAUUUUCGCAGUGAGGGACCGGUCCCAGGUCUGGGAGACUGGUCCCCGAGAGCUGCAAUUUCGAGCAGAGGGGUUUUCGUGUUCGGAAACCGGUCCCUGCCUGAGAGAUCGGUCCCCGGGAGACCGGUCCUUGUUCGAGAGACCAGUUCCUGAGAGCAACACUUUUGGGACUUAGCCAAAUUUCGGCUAUUCUCGCUAGGCUAACGCUCGGGAACCUGUCCCUGCCUGCCAGGGACCGGUCUCAUCAGAGAUCCCCGCAGCCCAGCCCGAUGGGAUCGGUCCCUCCCUGCCAGGGACCGGUCCUCCAGAGCAUUUCUGCCCCAGUGCAACUUUUGCACUGGUGCUCUCACGGACAUUUUCUUAAUGCACUUUAUGCAUUCUAAGUAUCUUCGGACUUUCCGAAGCUUACACACUCGACAAUUAGUCGAUUCCCAUCGAAGUCUAAUCCCCGGAUUUCGAGAAUUCACUUCCCUUACAUUCUCCCCACCUUAAAAGAGUUUCGUCCUCGAAACGAGCUCGACAACAUUAAAUUCAUUCAGAACCUGAACCUUUAAAUUCAUACCUCAGCUCAGUCCUCGAAUAAGUGAGGAUGAUUCGCUUUCAUCUCCUCCUCGAGCUCCCAGGUGGCUUCGCGAUCGCCAUGAUUGCUCCACCGGAUUCGAACAUAAGGAAUUUCACGACUUCUCAACUUGCGCACCUCUCGAGCUAGAACCUCCAUCGGAAACUCCUCGUAACUCAUAUCUUCUUGCAAUUCCGGUGGCUCGUAGACCAAGACGUGCUCAGGGUCAUGCACAUACUUGCGGAGAUUGGAGACGUGGAAUACAUUGUGCACACCCGCAAGCUUGGGUGGCAACGCAAGCCGGUAAGCCACCGUCCCAAUCCGCUCCAAGAUCUUGUAGAGGCCAAUAUAACGAGGACUCAACUUCCCUCGCACCCUAAAUCUUUUCACGCCUCUCAUCGGCGAAACUUUCAAGAACACACGGUCACCCGCCGCGAAUUCCAAGUCUCUACGGCGUUUAUCUGAAUAACUCUUCUGUCGAGAUUGCGUCGUGAGCAAUCUCUUGAAAGCAAGGUGGACUUUCUCCUCCGCCUCUCGCAACACGUCCGGACCGAACUCUGUUCGCUCGCCUACAUCACUCCAAUGAAUGGGAGAUCGGCACUUCCGCCCAUAAAGAGCCUCGAAUGGUGCCAUCCCCACACUCGCGUGAUAGCUGUUGUUGUAGGCGAACUCGGCCAUCGGCAGGUGCUUACACCAAUUCCCCUUGUAAUCAAUGGCACACGCCCGCAACAUAUCCUCCAGGGUCUGAAUGGUUCUCUCUGUCUGCCCAUCAGUCUGAGGAUGAAAGGCGGUACUGAACUCGAGUCGCGUGCCAAGGGCUUCCUGCAGGCUUCUCCAAAAGUGUGAAGUGAACUUGGGGUCUCGAUCUGAUACAAUCGACUUCGGCACCCCAUGUAGCCUCACAAUCUCAUCGAGGUACACUUGCGCGAGCCUCUCACCUGCCCAAGUGUUGUGGAUCGGCAGAAAGUGUGCCGAUUUCGUCAAACGAUCCACAAUCACCCAAAUUGCGUCGUGGCCACCCGUCGAACGAGGUAAGCCAACGAUGAAGUCCAUCGAUACGUCAUCCCAUUUCCAGACGGAAAUAGAUAAACUCUGAAGCUUCCCCGCUGGAAACCGACGCUCCGCCUUCACCUGUUGGCAUACUAAACACUUCGCUACGAAGCACCCAACAUCAGUCUUCAUUCCCGGCCACCAGUAUAGUGUCUUCAACUCGUGAAACAUUUUUGUGCCGCCCGGGUGGUCAACAUAAGGAGACCAAUGCGCUUCUUGCAAAAUCAACUUGCGAAGCUCCUCGUCAUUUGGCACACACCAUCGGUUUCGAAAUCGUAGUGCACCACUAGCAUCCACGCUGAAAUCUCCGCCACACUUUCAACAUUGUGCCGCACCUUCUGGAGAUUCGGGUCCGCGGAUUGUAAAUCCUUGAUCCUCUCCAAUAAGGUGGGUUGGACCAUCAACGUCAUCAACCUAGCCGGAAUUUUCGGAGCCACCACCUCGAGAUCCAUCCUCCCUAUUUGUAAUCGCAGGGGCGUCUAACUUGUAACCCACAAAGCGAGGUUCUCCGCCGACUUCCGAUUAAGUGCAUCUGCGACCACGUUCACUUUCCCGGGGUGGUAAAGGAUAUCAAUAUCGUAAUCCUUAAGCAAUUCCAACCACCGCCGUUGUCGCAUGUUCAGCUCCUUCUGGGUAAACAAGUAUUUCAAACUCUUAUGGUCGGUGUAGAUCUCGCAAUGAGCAACAUACAGAUAGUGUCUCCAAAGCUUCAAAGCAAAGAUCAUCGCCGCCAAUUCCAAAUCAUGUAUGGGGUAGUUCUUCUCAUAGCUUUUCAAAUGACGGGACGCAUAAGCAAUGACCCUCCCGCCUUGCAUUAGCACACACCCCAGACCCAGGUAGGAUGCGUCGCUAUACACCACAUAAUCUUCACCCUGCACCGGUAAGGCGAGUACCGGAGUCGAAGUUAAUCUUUCCUUCAACUCUUUAAAACUCUGGUCACACUCGUCGCUCCAAAUAAAUCGGGUGCCCUUCUGCGUCAGACGGGUGAGUGGAGUCACAAUCUUCAAGAAGCCCUCCACAAACCGUCGGUAAUAACCUGCUAGGCCUACAAAACUUCUGACCUCAGCAAUGUUUGUCGGGCGCGGCCAAUUCUCAAUAGCCUCUACUUUCCUCGGGUCAACAGAAACACCGCCCUCGGAAAUAACAUGCCCGAGAAAAGCAACUUCCCGGAGCCAGAAGUCACAUUUCUUCAGCUUUGCGUACAACUUCUUCUCCCGAAGGAUUUGAAGUAUUGUGCGCAAAUGCUCCGCAUGUUCUUCUUCAUUGUGCGAAUAGACCAAGAUGUCGUCUAUAAAAACUACGACAAAUCGGUCUAAGCACUCCCUGAACACUCGGUUCAUCAAGCUCAUGAACGCAGCCGGGGCAUUUGUAAGCCCAAACGGCAUCACGGUGAACUCGUAGUGUCCAUACCGCGUACGGAACGCGGUCUUCGGAACAUCCUCUGGCUUAAUCUUCAACUGAUGGUAGCCGGAUUGGAGGUCAAUCUUCGAGUACACUCACGACCCCUGUAACUGAUCAAAGAAGUCGUCGAUGCGGGGUAACGGGUACUUGUUCUUCACGGUGACCUUAUUCAACUCGCGGUAAUCCACGCAGAGUCGAAAGGAUCUAUCCUUCUUGCGCACAAACAAUACCGGGGCUCCCCACGGCGACACGCUCGGCUUGAUGAACUCUUUGUCGAGAAGAUCCUGCAACUGAUCCCUCAACUCCCUUAACUCAGUCGGCGCCAUGCGGUACGGGGCCUUGGAUAUCGGCGCGGUCCCGGGAAGCAAGUCUAUCAUGAACUCAAUUUUCCGGUCCGGCGGUAUCCUCGAUAACUCUGUCGGAAAUACAUCCGGGAAUUCUCGCACAACCUCCAACUCUUCCAGAGCCGGCACCACUCGGUCGACUUCCAUAACGGUCGCUAAGUAAGCCGUACAACCGCUAUUAACUAGCUUCAUCGCUCUUGUCGCCGACACCGUCGCGGCGAAACACGAACUCUUGCAAGCUCGAUACGUGAAUUCCUCGUGUCCCGGCUCCCGAAAUGUGAUCACUCUAGUCUUGCAGUCAAUAGACACAUAAUACUUCGAGAGCCAGUCCAUGCCCAAAAUGACAUCGAACUCCUUCAACCUCUUUAGCAUUAAUAGGUCGACCGGCAUAAUCCAGUCACCUACUUGUACUGGGCACGCCAAACACCGCUUCCUAACAAGGAAUGCUCGUCCGGGUCCUUCUACACGCCACACAUUCUCCCCCAGACUAAUCUCAAUAUCAUGCACUUGUGCAAACGAUCGGUUAAUGAACGAGUGUGAGGCGCCAGUAUCAAAAAGAGCUCUUGCUCGAACACCGUUAACCAACACCAUACCUGCCACACACAUUGCCUCCCGCUUCGGUGACUCCUCUCUUGUCACUGAGCGCAACAUCCUUUCCCGCCGAAGCCGAUCGGUGCAGUUUCAGGUUGAUCUGUGCCGGGCGCGAUCCGCCCAGUCGCUGACCCGGAGCCAGGUGCAUUGCAUAACGACCGAAUAGCCACGAUGCAAACAAGGAGCAGUAAAGCCCCCCUAGGGCAGUCGCGUCCGAUCCCUGCUUGCACCGCACUAAAGCAUUUCCUCGCCGAUCACAUGCAUAUGGCUCGUGGCAUCGCCGCAAAAGAUAUCACCGAUCCCGCACCUUCGAUUGUACGGGAACUUCGGGGCCUCUGAAACCGAAUGUCCCCCAACACCGCCGUCGCUUCUUCCCUUUCCUCCUCGAACCCCAAUCCUCCACGACUCGCAGGCGUUCCCAGCUCAGUCCCAUAAGCCGUCCAAAGCCCCACAAAUAGAAACUGAAGCAGCACCAUAAUACGAAAACAGCAUGGUUCUAGUCCCUCACGAAGCAAUCCGCUCGAUCUGCCGUCUCGAGCCGAACUCCGGAUCCAGUCAAAAAGAUUUAACUCCGCUCCGUACCUCCCGAACUGUGCGUUUGCCGCUGCAACGCACAACUUUGCCCCAAAUUCUACACCUAACAGCCUAGCUGCCGGUCCGCCGGGGGGCAACAACUGACUACGCACCCCUGUGUGCCGGACAUCCUACCACAUACCUCUCGCUGCCAUUAAAUCCUGAAACGCAAACAAUCGUCAAUUACUUAACCCAACACUUCUUCGCAGUAGAAACGAUACAAAUUAAUUACGUAAAUCAACGACAGCUCACCAAGUGAUCCCCGUCAUACUUCAGCAUUGGUGUCGCCAGCCAAACAACGCCUAAGCCCAAGGACAGAAUCAACUCAACCAUCGCUACAACUAUUUACAAGACCGAACACCAAACUUCAGAACCCAACGAAUCAACUUCCGCGCGCUGUCAAAGUUCACAGCGCACAUCUCGCAGCACCUAUAAUCCCUAAGUUCACCAUCCAUUGAGUCCACAAUCCAGCCAUACUCUCUCUUUGCCGCUCUCACACGUCUGAUGACACACUGGUCAGCCCCCAGCCCCGAGAUCCGGCUAAACCAUUCUACGGUUCGCAGCGCGACGACCGCAGCGACAGCACUACCCCCUGCCCACACCAAGCUCAAAGACUAAUUGUGAAACAAUUCCCAGAAAACAACAUGAAGCCAUACACAACAGUAACAACAACAAGAGCACGAUAUCUAAUCAACGACGAAAGCAUCACAAUUAAAAAACUAUUAAUCAUUAACUAUACAAUUCAAAUCAUCCUUACAUCCCAUCUCCAAGAGUAUACUGACAAUCACCCAAAAUCCUCACCACUAUACACUCAUCUACUCCACAUAGGUACAGGUAACCAUAAUCAUAAGGAAUAACCUCUGCGAAAUCACUAGUGCCAGCCUUCGCGAUCCUCACCAGCGACCGAACUGGGACCUGCAACAUGGGGAGUAGUAACUCACAAUUCCAGGGGUUGGCUGCCGCCGGACUCCCGGGCCGAUCUCCCCACUAGUCUCAAGCAGCAACGAUAAAUCAUGACAGACAGAUAGAUAUAAUAAAACGAAAGCAUACAUAAUAAACAACUAGAACUAAAAUCAUCAUGCCCAAUCACAUAGAUCAAUGUAAAUGGGACUCAAUGAAAAAGCGCUACAUNNNNNNNNNNNNNNNNNNNNNNNNNGACUUAAAUCCUUGCUUUAAGUAUUCUAAUAGCCUCUAAUAGCUUUGUUAGUCAUGUUUUAUGUAUGCAUUUAAUUUUGAGAUUAUUUUGAGGUUAAUUGCAAUAUUAGGCUCGAAUCGGUUUUAUAUAAAAUAAGGUUUGAUCUAAUUUGACUCUCGUAAACCUAAUUUGCUACGUAAACUGAACAGCUUGGCGAAGUCGGUUGUGGCGAUUCGUCACGUUGUAAAAGUUAUUAAAGAAACGGACGUUUAGGCUCGUUUCCCGGCUGGAGGGGAGCGACAUCGUAAACCAUGAAAACGGGAUUGAAGCCACCGGACAAUAACCGAAGACGCUUUAAUUUUCAGAUCGUGAAAUUGGGAGCUGUUCGGUGAUCGGUGCCAGAUCGGGCCAAAACCGGGUUAGGCCGGCCACCCGGGGACGCGGAGGCCGGAUUGCAAGUUUCGACAAGCAUCGGAAAGCGCAUCGGUGUGGUGCUUACCGAACGACGUAGUGCCCCUUUAUGUCUAAAACAUACAAAUUAUAUUGAUGAUGUUAAUAAAAUGAAUAGCGUAAUGACAUGCUGGACAAAUGAUGCAAAUGCUAGAGUUAGAAUCAUGAUGUGUGAUAUAAAUGAUGCUAGUAAAUCCAUGAGGUAAAUGGCAUUUGCAUGUUAACGAUAAAGUAGAAACAUCUAGUUUUAGAUGCAUUAAUGUAGAUUAAAUGCUAAAGAGGCAUGAGAUGCUAAAGUAUAAUACUACUUUGGAUGAUGAUUAUAUGUAUAUUACAUAUUAUAUACUACAGUAAUAUAGGUGCAUGUAAUGACAUAUUGUGGAGUUAACAUAUUUGGAUGUUAAAGUAGAAAUAUACAUUGAAUGAACAUUAUAUGUCAUAUGAUAGAAGAAUUAUGCAUGUUGCCAUAUUAUGUGAACAUGAGUGAUGAAUUAUGGAUGUUGAACUUGUCGAUAUUAGAGAAAUUGACUUGGAAAACAAGACAUAUCGUGAGCAUUAAUGUAGUACUAUUUGACACUAGAAGUUGAACUAGGGUAUACGGUGACAUCUCUUAGAUAAGGCCUUGUGAUAAAGAACUUAGCUACCUAAGCAUCUCACUUGAGAGGAUUUGAUUAGGUUGAUUGACUCCAAGUUGCUAGAGCAUCCUCACUUGGAGAGGAUUCGAUUGGUUUUGACUCUAGUUGUUAAGCCUCCUCACUUGAGAGGAUUUGAUUGGGUGUUGCCCUAGUUACAGUGUAUACACUCACUGGAGAGAUAGUUACUCACAGUCUCGCGUUAGGUGUUAUAGAGCCAUCCAAUUCCCACACUGAGUGGUUUCGUCGAGACUGGUUCCGGAGUGUCGUGCGACUAGGACCACUUGGAGUUCAGACCCACAUGGAGUCCGCAGAUCCGGCUUGGUGCACUUGGAGCUCCCUACCCCACUUGGGAUGAAACGUGAGUUUUGCGAACCUAGGCUUCGCUAACAGAUUGGGUAAACAGACUGAAGCAAUGCAUUGUAACAUAAUUAUUCGAACAGAUCGUAUUUUUAGCGAUGAAUAGGAAACCUUACUAUUUGACUGCAUGCUAUAGUUUUAAUUGAUCCCAGUUGAGUGGAUUUAGGCGCAUCAUGUGAGAACUCCGUUCACUUGAGCACUGGCUUUGUGCGGUAUUCGGUUAUAAUUGACCUUCAAGCGGGUCGAGGGAUCAGUCCUUAUAAAACAGGUUAAACCCUAUGAGCAGAAUAUAUAAUUGACAGCUAAUCAGAUAGAGGAAACUAGAAGUCAAUGGUUAUACUGUGAAUCACAGGAAAUGAAAGUUAUAUGUAUCGAUUGCAACUACUAGUUGGUUCUUCAUGGUUGCAAAACUGCAUGAUUUCAUAUUGCAUAUUGUGGGCUACAACAUGUUUCAUACUGGAUAUUAAAUAUAUCGUUGGAUAUCUGCUACUAACAUGUUGCACGAGGGCGCUCCUUGACCUACUAUCGGUCGAGCCUUUUCCCUUGGGUGCCGUACCCACUCGGAACCAUGAUUUGGUUCUCACCCCACGUUGUUUGGAUGUUUCAGUUCGCGACGUGAGCGGCGCGGCGGCGCAAGCGACAGGCCGAAGGGCGUAGCUCCAUAGAUAGCGCCCUACCCCAGAGACCAGAGAUAGAAGUACCCCGAGUCGGCAUAGCCUAGGGGUAGAGGGAAAGAAAAAGAGCAAACUUGUAUUAAUAUUGCGAUCAUUGAUUGUAUUUGGAAGAAAAUGUAAUGUAAUAAUGCUAAUGUGAUGUAAAAAUGAACCUAAUGAAUGCUUGUAAUAACAUAGGAUGUGUUAUGUUGUUUGAUACCUUCCUUAUGCAAUCUUGCUUGAAUACUGUUCCUGGUUGGAACUUCUUAUACUUGUAUUGAUUGCGACGCCUAGGACGUACAGGGGAGACUCUGUCCGUUCGGCGGUCUGUUGGCGGCGCAGCUACCUCGGCCAAAUAGGCGGGUGGUUGCGGGUCGUGACAACACUAGUUUCCAAUAUACUAGGUUCUUAUUCACAUAGAGAUAUUCAUCACAUAUAGGGUGAACUAUCUCAUAGUAUUCCACUCAUGCAUACUAGGUUUUCAUUCAUUGUAUCCACAACCUAAAUCAUCCCUAGCAUGCAAGGAUAUGCACAAUUACAUUUAACACCCUAUAAUACUAUAUCGCAAUAUGUAAAUGAUCGACAAUGAUACUCAGACAUAAAGAGCAGCCCAACUGCUUCGGGAUGGCACUCCCCCACCUCGUGGCGAUGCCGUGACUCUUCAAAUGUGAUUCGCCGACACUUCGACGCCUCGAUGGCCUUCCAGGCAAGAACGGAGCUCCGAGGGUUGCCUUUGACAAUAACUCCGCACCCACUCGACGGAUCGACAAACCGUCUUCGCCGACGCGUUCAGGGACCUGGCAAUUAGGUUUACAACCUCUCAAAUUAGAUCAAAACCUUAGAUUCACCAAAAUCCCAAAUCGAAGCCCUAGAUCUCAAUACUGAAGAAAUCCGCGGUGCGAGCUUCUAUUUCGAGCUCGAACCUUCUCCCUAGCUUCAAUAGGUUCCAUUCGAACCAUUUCUAAACCAUAAAACCCUAGUUUACAAAAUCCACCAUUAAAGGGUUUGAGGCUUACCUUCAAAAGCUUAGUCCAAGAAGAAGAAGUAGAUGAGGAAGGUGAUCUUCACCUUUGUCUUCUUCUUCUCUUACUUUUUCUCCUUCCUCUCCUUUCCUUUCUUCUCCUUUCUCUCCUUUCCAUUCUUCUCCUUUCUCUCCUUUCCAUUCUUCUCCUUUCUCUUCCUUUCCUUCUUCUUCUCCUUCUUUUCCUUUCUAGAGAGAGAGCAAAAAGAGUGUGAGAGGGAGAGAACAACUGAGAGAGAGAAAGGGUCCCCCAAGCCUUCAUAUAGGCCAUAUUGCAAAUAAGCCCCUCAGCUUUCCAUUCUCUGAAACAGCCCUCACUGGGCCAUUUUCACAGUGAGGGACCGGUCCCAGGUCGGGGAGACCGGUCCCCGAGAGCUGCAAUUUCGAGCAGAGGGGUUUCCGCGUUUGGGAACCGGUCCCUGCCUGAGAGACCGGUCCCCGGGAGACCGGUCCUUGUCCGAGAGAUCGGUUUCCGAAAGCAACACUUUCGGGACUUAGCCAAAUUUCGGCUAUUCUCGCUGGGCUAACGCUCGAGAACCGGUCCCUGCCUGCCAGGGACCGGUCUCAUUAGAGAACCCCGUAGCCUAGCCCGAUGGGACCGGUCCCUCCCUGCCAGGGACCGGUUCCCGAGAGCAUUUCUGCCCCAGUGCAACUUUUGCACUGGUGCUCUCGCGGACAUUUCCUCAAUGCACUUUAUGCAUUCUAAGUAUCUUCGGACUUUCCGAAGUUUACACACUCGACAAUUAGUCGAUUCCUAUCGAAGUCUAAUCUCCAGAUUCGAGAAUUCACUUCCCUUACACCACGAGCCCGAUUCGCUCUAGAAUUUCAUAGGGCCCAAUAUAUCGGGGACUAAGCUUCCCCCGAAGAACAAAUCGCUUCACUCCUUUCAUAGGCGACACCUUGAGAAACACUCGGUCGCCAACUGCAAAUUCUAUGUCCUUCCGGUGCUUAUUCGCAUAGCUUCGUUGCCAGGAUUGUGCCAUCAUCAGCUUCUCACGAGCAGUGCGGACCUUUUCUUCCGCUUCUCGCACCACAUCUGGACCAAGGGGGACUCUUUCACCCACUUCGCUCCAAUGGAUAGGAGAACGACACUUUUGUUAAGGAUUUUAUAGGUUGGCGGAUUUCGUAAUGUUGAAUGAAGUCUUGAAGAGUUGGUUGUGGAAGAUUGAAGAAAAGAUCUAAAUUGAAGGAAAAAGACUCACUCGUAAAGUUCGACACCUAAGGUAUGAGGAAAAGAUCAUUUGUGGCUAACUCCAUCGGAAGGCGUCACGAAUCCUCGGCUUCACCGCGAAAGUCCACACGCCCGAACUCUAUUCCGGAGCUUGUAGAAUCUGAAGAUUGGUUGAUGAUUGUACCUUGAUACCAUAAGCUGAUGAGGAGUUUUCUUCUAUCAACAUGCAACUUGCAAUUCUCGAAGAAGAUCUCGAGUAAAAUCGUAAGAUCACGUCGGAUUGUUGAUUUUCCCGAAUUCGUGAUGUGAAUAGAAAUCAAUCAAACGUAAAAACAAGGUUUCAUCGGGUUUUAGAAUCAGUAAAUAUUCAAGCCUUAAACUUUUAGAUAUCCCAAUAGCUUAUGUUUAUAUGUUUAGAAGACUUAGCUAGAGUUAGCAGCUAGGAUUGCAAAAGUCCUUUCUGAAACCUGUGUCGUCCUCAAGGAUCGGUCUUCUCGAGAGACCGCGUGUCUGUGAGACGACCGUGUCUCUCAAGUGAGGAACGGGUGCUCGCUGUCGGUGACCAAAUCAGCAACGUUCAGGAACGGUCUCUCAAGCUUGGAGGGCCCCUUGCUGCGCGACAGAAAAUACCAGGUUCGGGAACCGGUCUCUAUCUCGGGACGGUUGCCAUCAAAGCUCAUUGUAAUUGAGGACCUUAGAGAACCGGUCUCUUGACCUCAGGGACCGGGUCCCUGAACACAGAAAAGGUUCAGUAUAGUAUUUUUAAAACAAUCUAAUUGCCUUCUUGAACUUAUUCUAGGUUCAAAUAUCUCACCANNNNNNNNNNNNNNNNNNNNNNNNNNNNNNNNNNNNNNNNNNNNNNNNNNNNNNNNNNNNNNNNNNNNNNNNNNNNNNNNNNNNNNNNNNNNNNNNNNNNUGUACCGGCGGUACAGCAAGCAGAAAAAGGGUGUGCAAAUCUUCGCCAUUUGAUUGCAAUUCUCACUUUAAAUUCCAAGACUCCUUACUUUUCCAAAAACUUGUUACUAACCUUUAGAACAUGUAGGAGUGAUCUCACGACCAUUCCACAUACUCGAACUCCGCAUUGCGAAAGUCCAGUUAUAUAAGCCUAAUGCCUGUGGUUGGUAGCCCAGACAAUCACUACUCUUGGAAAUGUGUCUUUCCACUCGACCGCUAGUAUAGAAUUCUCAAUAUCGGCACGAGCGUACAAAAUGCACUAGGCCAAACUCGGAGAUGCGGCCUUGUGAGGGAGGGAGGGGGAGCGACACCUCAACAAGCAUGAUGCGGAAUGAAGUACAAAUGGCAAACAAGACAAGGUCACCGGUCUCAAGUAACCAACUCCCUUCAUUGUCUCUAACAUGGUAUAGUCAUAGUUAUCCCGCAAAAAUCUAAGCUCAAGUCAUAAUGUGAAGUCAAACACACAUUGCUUAGUGCCAUCUUUAUGACACUUUUAAGCUCACAACUAAUCAUGUUCCAUUAAGACAUUAACAUUAAUUGCUCACUAUGCCCGGGCCAAUGCCCUUCAUGACUUGGCCCAAUCUCACAUAUAUCCUAAGUCCUAAGCCUCUGUAGGCUUUCAAAAAUCUAAUGUUAAUCUGGUAUAUGGUCUUGAAUGCCAUGAAGAAGGUUGUUUCGCAUAAAUAGGGAUUACAAAUUUCAAAAUCACUAUGAAUGCUAGGCCACAUGCAUGCUCUCUACUAUAAAAGAGGGAUCCCAACAAUUUUACCGUACACUAACCUAUGCAUGUUAAAUUUAAAAUUUAUAAUAUAAUACAUAUAACCAGAUAUGCAUGCUUUUUCAAUUUACGGCACAAAAUUAGACAAAUGAGAAUUUUUCUCAUUGUGUAGGCUAGGUAAAACCCACCGAACCGUUCGGUAAGGGGUCUCGAUUCGGCGAACAAAGUCUGUCCACGAGCCUAAGAUACUCCGCUAAAAAGUAAUGAGCGACAAGCAUACUACGGGCAUUACUGAUCAUCGGCAUAAUUUAUCAACUUUACACAAAUUUAGCAAAAGGGCUAAAACUCACAAGCGUGGAAAAACUUCGCAAGCUCAAUAUGAAGCUAAAUCCCUUUUCCAAUCAGCCAAGGAAGUUCCUAAGACCAAUCAAUUACAUCAAAGGCCUAGAUAAAAUGCCAAAAUAUGAGCCUUAAAACCAAUUAUAGGGUUUCAAAACAAUAAAACCUCAAAUCAAGUCUAGAUGGAGAAAGGGCUACCAACCUCUAAGAGAAGCGGCCAACGAAGCUCAAGAUGAAGAUCUUCCUUUGGCAACCAUCAAGUCAGCUUCAAGGCACCAGGAAGAUGGAGAGGGUCGAGGAAUGAUGCUCAAAAAAAAAAAAAAAAAAAAAAAAAAUGUCCACUAGUAGCUUCCACACUUUUUUUCCCUCCUUCUCUCUCUUCUUUCUUCCUUUUCUUCUUAACAAGGGGUAUGGAGGGAGCCUGUGAGGAGAGAAAUGAGAAAGUACCGCAGAGGGUGGAGGGGUCAUAUAAGACCCCUUAAAUGUAAGACAAAAAUUCCAACCAGGCCCCUCAAAAAAUCCAAAAUUUGCAACAGCCACGGACUGGCAGUUUCGCUAAGAGGGACCGGUCUUUGCUCCCAGCUAGACCGUCUCUCGCUGCGAAACCCGAAACCAGCGUUCGGGAACUGGUCUCUCCCUGCGCUGGACCGGUCUCUCACUGCGAGACGUGCAGUUCGGGAACCGGGUCUCGCCUGCCAGGGCACGGUUGCUCAGGCUGCGCUCAAACAUGCUCACUGGGGAACCGAGUCUCUCUUCCAGGGACCGAUCCCGAGAGUUAAAAAACUCUCAAGGACUUGUCCAAAGUUCCAGGCAUGUCUCGAACUUUUCGGGUCGGGGGGACAUCUAGACCUUCCUCCCAAGUGUGGAAAAGCUCAAACACAUCCAAACCACUCGAACCUCGCAAUUUGUAAAGGAUCCGAUGCUGGUCACAGGUACGACCAUUAAGGGUACCGGUACACAAGCCUGCGUGAGGCUAAUCGAGAGUACAUCCAACAAUCCACUUUUUGUGGGAUUUUGGGUACGGGUUUAAACCCUCGAUUCUCGGGGUGCGAGCAUAGGUUCGUAGAACACUGUCUACGACCCUCAGAAAGUCUGAAUAGCUCGGCACAAGAUCAAACACCUCCGCACCACUCUCGAUUUGCAUAGCGGUCCAAGUGGGUUACAUAGAGAAGGAAUGUGUCUUUUAUAAAGAUAACCCUGAACACUCUAAGCGAUAGUGUUCAUCGGGGAAAGAGCUGAGGAAGUUUGACGUGUACUGAAGAUAUGAGUCACGAGAUGUUGAAUUCCCGAGGAGGAUUUUCCUUAUAGGACGGUGAGCGUUUCGAAAAUGAAAAUCUGAGUUCCAUGAAUGGAUGGGACUUUGCAUUAGCGCUUCUAUUCGCUCAGUGAGGCAGAGAGAGCCUACAGAACUCGCUGGGGAUACGUGUGGGGAGCGAUUUACCUUUAGAUGGGAGGCUCAAUUCGAGGGCGCGCAACGUGAUAGGCAUUCCCCGAUCGUCGUUUGAGAUUGAGGAGGAAGCUUUUCAAUUGGUUGCUGCACUGUUUGUGACUGAGCCUAGAUCCUUCAAGAGGACUCUUCAUUAACCCACUUAUAAGGAAUGGAUGGAUCAAUGAUGGAGGACCAUAGAUCGAUGAAGCGUAAUCAUGUCUGGACUGGGGCUUGACUGCCACAAGGCGCCAAAACAAUUGAAUCAAUCGGGUUCUCUAAGAUUAGCCAAAAGCAGAACAGUUCUAUCGAUGAGGUAAAAGCUCGCCUUGGUACACAAUGGGUUUACCCAACGAAGAAGGCGUGGAUUACGAGGAAACGCUUUUCGCCUGUCGUGAGGUUUGCUGUCGAUUCCGCUUAAUCCUUGGCCUUGUCACGUAUUUGGAUUUGGACUUUUACCAAUAUGCGACGUUCAAAACCUGCAAUUGCUCAUGGCGGAAGAUCUGGAUGAGGAGAAUCUAUAUGGAUAAAUCAGCUACUUGCUCUCUCUGUAAAGGGUGGGCAGCAAUAAAGUUUGUAAGCUCAAACAUCCAUUCUUGGAUUGGAAAGCAGUCUCUCCUACAGUGGUAUAUCUCGAUGUCAUCGAGCAUCACUGAACGAUGAGUUUCGAUGAUUUGAAGAAGUCACGUGUGUAUGUUAACGGUCCAAAGAAUUUUUCUAUCCUUCUUUAUAUGUGGAUGAAUUUAUGGCUGGGAAUAAUAAGGAGAUGAUUGUCGCCACUCGACGGUGGAUGUCCCUAAUUUUAACAUGAAGGGCACAUGGGUGAAGCGAAUUAUGUGCUCGGAGUUAGAUCCUACGAGAUCGUUCAAGAACUUUUUGUCUGAUGCUAGAGACCUUUACCUAAGAAAAGAUUAUAAGAACGAAUUUCAGAUCAAAAUUUGCAAAACCAUGAAAUCCUAUUGGCUAAAGGUGAGAGUUUGGACCUACAGUGCCUAAAACUUUUGAGAGGGAAAGGACAAGAUGAAUCGGAAUUCAUAUGCUAAUGCGCUGGAGCUUGAUCGUAUGCUAUAGAUGUAUAUCCGCCAGCCUGAUCAUAUGUAUGCGUGGGCUUGUUAGCCAUUUUCGAGUCCAAUCUGGGAUUGGACCACUGAUGUGCAGGGGGCGCAGCAAGAAAAUAAUCUUGUGACACUAUCUAGAAGUCGACGGUGGUUUUUGGCUCAUGUUAAAAUUACUCUUGAACUCCACUUAGGAUAAUUGAUUGUGUAGACAGUCGAUUAUUUUUUUUUGUAAUUUCUUGGUUAUUUAAUUAACAAUUUAUUUAUUUUUGGAAAAGAUAUCUUUGUAACUUGGGUAAAUGCUUGUUAUUAAACUGAUUGAUAGCUAUGUCACAGCGCUGAUUGGCCUCUACACACGGCAACCUUCUUUUCGGCUGUAGAGAGCGGAGCGAAAAUUGAACGCAUUAGAUGAAGGUCCGCCUAUGGUUGGCACAGAUGAGCGUCAUUAAUGGCGGACCGCAUAACGAAUAGUCCGAUUCGUAGGGCUGCUAUGAGGGAGCGGAUGUGAGCUCACCGUAUUGACGUUUGAGAUUAGCGAGCAAAAUGGAGAACUCAGGCUAACACUCCAGGGGCAGUGAUGAGCUAAGAUCCGGCCUUAUGACCUUGAGAACGACAUACGCUUAUGUUGGAUUCUCUGUAUAGCAUUGUAUUUAUUUACUACAUGUGCUGGGCGGACUAAUAAAGAGAUGAGUGAAUGGGAUUCCUGCUUCCUCAUGUGUGAUUCUUACGGGAUUUUUUUUUGAGACGAUGUCCUGAUAUAUGAUAAUGCCCCUAAUGACUUUUGACAUUAUGUCUUUAAGUGUAAUACACUGGACUUUCGCAAAUUGCAGAGUUCGAUGUGUGGAAGAAGUGUGGACUAUUUCACAUGUUCUAAAUGCUUGGAAAGUGUUUGAAGUAAGUUAGAGAGGUGAUUGGAGGUUGUUUAAAGGAGAAAUUGAUUGAUCUUGAGCAGAAACUCAGGGUUUUCUGACUUGCUGUACGUCACAGCAUCACCUUCUACGGCUACGCAUUGGCAAGAUUGUCAUCGCGGCCAGCAGUGGCUUUUUGGUAUUUCACAUUAUGGAUCCUAUUAUUGACCCCAGCUCGACUGGGUGUUCAGAUAUGAUGUUUGAAGCUCAGAGAAGUGCUCUGUCUUCUCUCUUUCUCUCUUCUCUCUAGGGUUUCUCUCUCUUACGAAGAAAUCGUGAUUUCGCUCGUUUGUCGCGGCUUAUUCCUCGCUGUUGCCGCAGCGUCGCGAGAGCCCUUUGGACGUCUGUGAGGAGCAGUGUUUGACGGGUUUUCGCAGCCCUGGACCAGCAGGUCACUGGUUGGAAGCUUGAGAGUAAUCACUCACUUUCGCGUUGAUCGGACUUCCUAUUGCGAUGGUGAGUAAUAAUUUCGGCGUUUUUGAUUCUUGCUGUCGCUAGGCUGAGAUUUCAGCAUUAAAGAUGAGUUAAAUAGAUGUCGAAUUUAACUCCUUAGACCAAGGGGAUAAGUCUUUUAAAGGCGUUAAAUUGGAAUUAUUAGCCAUUUUUUGAAGUUGAAUUAGAACAAUUGACUUAUUUGCACGAUUCGAAUUGACUUGCAAAUUAGGAAUUACCUACUUCGCAAGCAGAAGUCUUCGAGCCUUGUUCAGCUGACUUGUACCCAUGCGAAGUUUGGUUUGGAAAUAUAUCUAACCUGACGGUAAGCUAGGAAUUUCAUGUGUAUAAAACUGAAUGCAAGAUUCGGACUAUAUUAUGCUAUUAUAUGUUUGAUAUUGAUGCCGUCUCGAUGUUGUUCGCCAGCUGAGAAGUAGCGAACGAGCUUUGGGCAUCGUUCGUGAGCUGACUUGUUGAGAGCUCUUGGAGCGGCGUCUGCUUAGAGGUAUUACACUGUCCAAAACAGGGAUUUAGAUUACUUUGGUUUAGUGGAAUUUUAGGUCGAAUCGGAAUUUCGGCCGUAGAUUUAAUCGAUCUUGACGUCGUUUUUCGCAGCAGAUUGAGGUUCGUUGAGCCGUUGUGGACUUCUUUAGUGAGUAUAAUCGGAGCUAGUACUAGGUGGGUCGGACCUAACCGAGCAGUGAAGCCCUCUUAUGUUCUAUAUGUACUAUAUGAAAUUGAUUACAUGUUUACUUUUUUGUGAUUGAUACACAGAAAAUUGAGAACGAGUCACUUUAUAUGUAUUUGUGUUGAUAUGGUAUACAUAUGAUUGAAUAGAACCUCUAUGAAGUAGAGAGUACUCAUGCAUAAGUGUCUUUAUGCCUAUGUUUAUGUUCAUAUUUAGUUAAGAUAACUAAUGGACAUACUAAUGAUGCUUUAGUAGAGUAGAGAACAAUGAUAUUCUCGUGACUUUGUAGAGAACCAUGACAUUCUCUUGACUCUAACAUAGGGAACUAUGACAUGCUCAUGACUAUGUUGAUAGUGCCAUACUAGUGGAAAGAUUAUAAUGCUAUGUGAUUUAGCUUUACCCUUACAUGUUUACAAUCUAGUGGAUACUAGCUUUUGUUACUAUUCGUGUAUUGAUAUUCCGAUCAGAGGAUCGAGGGUUCUGAACUUUGUAUGUGAAAAUAUGAAAAUUGAGACAUGUGGAUAAUGGACUUUGCUCGCUUGCCAUCGUGCUCAUUCGCACACGCUUGUGAGGGUAGCUCCCUACAAGCCGGCACUCCGGAGUUGGCCUACGCGACAGUUGCUCGCCCGUGCGGGAUUGGGUGCCGAACUGGAUUGCCGUGGGGAGUGUAUACUACCACGGGGCCAUUAGGCGCGGCGCAAGCUGGGCUACCUUGAGUAGAUCCCUGUGAAUGAAAGGAAAGUGCUAAAGGAAAAUUGGACAGUAACGAAUAAUUACCAGUUACAGUGUACAGUAGUUACUUACACACUUAUGCUACGUUUAUGCUUAUAGUAGUAGCCAUGCUUCUAUCAUUCAGUUAAUUCAUUACUGUUGAUGCUAUGAUCACAUGUUGUUUACAUGUUCAUUAUUUGUUAACAUUGGCUUAUGAAUUGUUAGCAUUGAAAAUAUAUCAUGCAAAUUAUUGCUUUUAUUUCCAUUCUGUACAUCUCGAGCCUAGUGGUGUAAUUCGCCGAGGCUGGCGGCUUACCCACUGGGAACUAUUGUUAAUAGUUCUCACGCCCUUUUGGUGGUUGUUUUUACAGAGCCUGUUACAGGAGAGGCUAGGGAUCGUGGCAAGGGAGUCGCGCCUAGCUAGGGACUACUAGGAGCGUGCUAGUCGAUCACCUUGCUACUCGGACUACGGCCGAGGGUGAUGUCCCUUUGUAUAGAGAAACCACCAUUGUAUCUAUCCUAUUUUUGUAUACUCGUGAUGUAUAUGUACCACUUGGACCGUGAACUACAGUUGUGACACUUCUCUUCUGUCGAGAUUUUGGGUUUGUACACUUUUUGUUCUUUUGUUGAUAUAUAUCGACCUGUACAUUGCUCUGAUAUCAGGAUAGGACUUUCUUUGUUUUACUUCCUAUCGACUUGUUGCUUGUAGACGCCUUAUAUACUGCAGGUGUAUGGCGGGUCUGUGCACGUGCCGGAUAUGCUUCCGCUGGUACCCGGGCGUGACAUUAAGUGAAAGAAUUGAUGUUGCUACUUUGGCAUGUUUCCUACGGCCAUGAGUGAUGUGGCUUUAUGGGGCAUUGCUGGAAAAGCAAUCAGUUCUCAACUCAGUGGCAUGAGGGCUUAAGGAAGACUAGUUGAAUUACAUUAAAACACUUUGACUCAUUGUCGACAGGUUGUAUCGCUUCAGUAUAGCGAAACAAUCAUGAGUAUAGUGUCAUAAUGUGCGCAAUUGCGGUUAGCAUGGCUCUUUGAGGGAUUAGAGAUGCUGAACCUGAUGUAAUUCAAUGGUCUAGGGCAUCAGGAGUCUAAUAUUUUUUUUUUGAGGGUUGAUGUCUCUAUGCUGGCCGGAUGCGGUUUCUAGUAUAGAGCUCCCAAAAUGCAGGUUGAUUCGGCGGUCGCACUGUUCAUUUCCCUGUAUGAAUAGAAUUAAUAGUGGUGUGAUGUUGAGGAAGUGGUUACGAUGGCAUCGACCCCGUCAUGUGCGAGUGGGAGAUGUUGGCAUUCGGUUAAAUCGAAUCGGGUACGCCCAUAAGCGGGUUCGAUCCGACGGAUAUUAUGUUAUCUAAUUGGAUUGGAAUUAAUCUCGCUUUCAAAUUGAAAAGUUAUUUAGAGAUAAAUCCUAAUCAUAUUAGGAUAACAAUUUAUAACCGAUUUGGCCUUAUCUCUAACGCCAUAAGGAUUUUGGAAUUCCUUAUAAAUAUGCGGGCGAUCCCACAUAACGUAAUAUACGGAAAGAACGGAAAAAGAGAGAGAAUAAAAAAAUAAUAGAGAGCUGGUAUAAUAUAGUUUUAGCAGCAGUUAGCAUAACUGCUGGCUAAAAAACUGCUAGAACAAACCUUAUUUGUUGUAGUGAUACAAUGCUUCUUAUUCUACUCAUGCUGAUGACAAAAUUUGGACAGCAUGCUCCGCAUGCAACCAUUUACUUUCUUUCAUACCUUGAUAUAUGAGCAAAAUUUUCGCAUUUAAUUGAUAACUAAUGAUGUUGGGCAAACCUGAGCCUUAUAUAUAUAUAUAGAGAGAGAGAGAGUUGGGAUAGAAUACCAUUGAUAGCAAAAUGCCUUUUUUACCAUCAAGUUUUUAGCCUUUGAAUUAAUUGCUUUCAUUAUUUCUAACCAUUGGAUUAGAUAUUAUAACCCAGUGGGGACCACUCAACCCUAGGAAAACCAUUCAACUCUAAGUAACUAAUAUCAUCCUAACCCUAUAAUUUCCCAUCCAAUGGUUAAAAACUUGAUAGCAAAAAAGACAUUUUGAUAUCAAUAGUAUUCCAGCCUAGCUCUCUCUCUCUCUCUCUCUCUCUCUCUCUCUCUCUCUAUAUAUAUAUAUAUAUAUAUAUGUAUAUAAUUCUUCCACUUCUGCUUUCUCCAACUACAAUUUUUACUACUACUUUCAAUGUGGCUUGAAGCCUCAGUUUUCUGCUGAGGUGGUGUGUGCCUUGGUGUGCAGACCUUCUCCCUACCUCUCCCACCUUUUUAUUACCACGUCCACACCAAGCGGGAUGCGCCGCCCCGCCUUUCAUUUAAUGCGUUCGCACGCUGAACGCUUAUGGCCCGACCCUCUACAGUUCCUGCCCCCUCUAUGGCCGUCCUAUCGCCAUUGCAUCGUCGUCUACGUCGGCGCCAUGCCCGGCAAUGUCAUGUUGCGCUAACCGUACGGUCCCGGCUGUAAGGCCUCCUUCGCUCCUCCGGCCUUCGCUCCUCCGGGUUCGCGGUGCGUCCAGUCUCCCCCCUCCCCCACUGUCUCUGUUCGCUUCUUCCUUCCCUUUUUUUUUUUUACCCCUCUUUUUCCGACCCCACCUGCCUCGCUUCUUUUGUUUUCCCCCUUUUUUUUUUCUUGCCUUAGAUAAGGCAUUUCGGUACCGAGCAAGACUGCGUUGCUGUGCCAGAGGAAGGGUAGCUAUACUGAUUCGGUAUAGUCGAAAUACACCGUUGGUACAAAAUUGACGAUCUCACAAAGAUGCAAUAUCAGUAGUUUUCUAUUUACCGAUCCCAUCUUUCACGGAAUCGAUUCCCCAGGGUUGUUCUGUCAUUGCUUAGUUGUGUGCUGCCUGCUGAGUGCGGCCACUGUGUUGCUGCUUCUGUCACGUAUUUAUAUAGACCCUUGAGCACCCCUUCCCAUUCGGCUAAUUUGUCGUAAGGCGAUGAUGAUCAAUAAUUUAUGUUUGUUCCUUGAAAGGAUCAAUGAAAAUAUGAGUUUGUCCUGAUAAGAGGCGCUUCUCCUAUAUUGUAGCUAUUUCUAAAUCAAUAUUAAAUGUGUUAACGGCAAGGCAGCUUGGAUGGUCAAAGGCAACCGCUGCAGCCAUCAACACUUCAGCCAAUUAAUUUGUAUUCAAAGGGAAAAUCGCCUCAUGACAAAAGAAUAUAUUAUGAUCUGAGCAUUUCUUUACUAUUUUCAUUCUUGCCAUUUGAUAUGUAUCAGAACUUACAAAAAUGUUCAUUCUUACCAUUUGAUAUGCUUUAUGUAUUCGAACUUUCAUAUAUAUGCUUUAUGUAUUCGAACAUUAUUAUUUUGUUUUCAGCCAUAAUCAUGCUAUUGACAGUGAGUUGAUUCCAAUUAUUCAUCUUAAUUUUCAACUAUCUGCUCGACAUAAUUUUAACUUCACCCUGAUUUUUUUUCCUUACAAUUUCUUUCUCACGCAUUUGUGAUUUUUUCAUUCUUCACCUAUACAAAUGGCCCGCGGCAAUGCGCGGGACCUACACUAGUUGUGCAUGAUGAUAGACUUAUCAAACAGCCCUAUACACAUCUAUAGUCCUAUUUAGGGCACCUAAAAUCACGCAAAUUGUGCAUGGUGAUAGAUUUAUAUGCCUUGCCUUGCAACCCGGAACAACGGUAGUUUAUCUUUUUAUUUUAUAUAAAUUAGUGUCAAAUUUAUUGUUCAAAAACAACAACUAAAAGAUUUAUUCGAUAUAUAAAACAAAUCAUCGAGCGACAACAUGCUUUGCAUGGUUCUGAUUCCACUGUUAGAAAUUAUUUACCAAAUUAUGAUGAUAAAUUAUAUAGAUUUUUGCAAACCUUUUUGCUGCAGAAUUAAUGUUGCAAUUACUAGAAUAUGAUAUCGUCUUGUUUUACAAACUCCUUGAUCCGCUUAGAAUCUGUCUCAGAAUUUGUCUCGAUCUUUAGCACGUAUGUCGUUUUCAACGUUGUUCUUUCUUAUUGCAAUCUGACUAUCAGAGUCGAUCGCAACGCACCGCCCAAAUCUCUAGGAUUUUCAAUAAUGCUCUAGAGUGAACCCAAAAGAGAAAAUUUUAGUGGAGAGAUUAUUUUUAUUUUUCUUAUUUUUUGUAUGUAGCCAAUCCCUCAUAUACUUAUAGGCCAUGGGCCAUAGGAAGAUAUUAAUUCUAAUCCGAUUCUAACUAAAUUUCACAGGUAUAAGGAUUUAAACAAAAUAAGAUUUAUCUUUUUGAAUUUAUUUCUUAUCCUAUGCAUACUAGAAAUAUUUUAGAUAAGUUUCAAUAUGGACGAAUUCUAACACUAUAUUACAAAGAUCCUCCAUAAGCUCAACCAACUAUCAGAGAUUGGACAUGCCACUGCUAGAUCGUAUUUGCCAACAACGUUAAGUUGCCUACUCUCUGAAAACACAUACCGUUAUACAGGGUACGUGACAGAAUGAAAGCAUCCAUGAUGAGUCGCCAGCCAAAUUAUGAGAAAACGUAGAUAAAAUUAGAAAUUAACAAACUAAAGGGGUGUUUGCCCUAGCUUUUAAAAAGUGCUUUUGGGCUGAAAAGUGAUUUUCGGCUCAAUGGAGCGUUUGGCAACUCAUUUUUAAAAUCUGAUUCUGUUUUUCAGAAUCAGAAAACUGAUUUUGAAGGCCCUAGAAUUAGAAACAGAAAAAAGCUGCUGCUUGAAAUCUGAUUCUGAUUUUGGAUUUAAACUUCAAAUUUUUAUUUCUAUUUUUAUUUCAAUAUUUAAAUUUAAAUUUAAUUUUAAAUUUUAAAUUUCAGAUUCAUUUUUGAAUUUUUAAAUUUUAACUUUCAAAUUUAAAAUUUUGAAAAAUAGAUUUAAAACUUUAAAUUUUAAAUUUUAAAUUUAAAUUUCAAAUCUCAAAUUUUAGAUUUUAAANUUUAAUUUUAAAAAUUUAAAGUUUUAAUAUGUUUUAAAUUUUAAACUAUAAAAUUAAAUUUUUUAUUAAAUUUUAAAAUUUUUUAAAUUUUAAAUUUUAUUAAUACUUUAAAUUUUAAAUUUUUAUAUUUAUAUUUAAAUUUUUAUAUAUAUUAAUACUUAAAAUUUUAUAUUUUAAAUUAUAUAUCUUUAAAUUUAAUUUUCAUUAUAAAGUUUGAAAUUUAAACCUUUAAUUUUAAAUUUUAAAUUUCAGAUUUAAAUUUUAAACUUUAAAUUUUUAUUUUUAUAUUUAUUAAUACUUUAAAUUUUAUAUUUUAUAAUUAUAAAUUUUUAUAAAAAUUUAAAAUUUAAAGUUUUAAAUUUUAAAUUUUAAAUUUUAUUAAUACUUUAAAUUUUAAACUUAUAAAUUUUAUUAAUACUUUAAAUUUAAAAUUUAUAAGUUUAAAAUUUAAAAUUUAAAAUUUUAAUUCAAAUUUAAAUUUAGAUUUUAAAUUAUUUUAAAAUAAAAUUUAAUAAAAAUAUUAAUUUAUGCAAAUACCAAAAAAAAUUUGCCUGACAGUUUUUCAAAAUCACUUCAGAAAAAUCAUUUUUAUCUAAACUCUGCCAAGCGCUCUACAGCUUUUUAACAAAAAUCACUUCUCCAAACCAAAAUCACUUUUUCAGAAGGUAGGCCAAACCGGCCCUAAGUGACGGAGUUGCUCUGUUACUAAUCCUACGAGGACAAGUAAGCUGAACAACAUUAACAAUGCUGUUUCUAUCCAGGAAAACCAUAUAAGAAGAGGCAAAUGUAAAUUUUUUAAAACGUGAUACAACAACAGUAAUAAAUAGGAGCAUUUUUCACGACAGAAUGUCUCUCGGGCUUGCGCACGCCCCUCCUAAGUGAUGAGGAAAACUUUCCGUACAUCCGGAACUCCUCUUCUUCUGUAACGGGCCAAAGAAAAUAAAAAAAUUUCGGUGUAGCAGUCUUUAGUUUUCUUUUUUCUUGUUGCUAGAAAUGUACAUCGUGGGGUCUUUUGUUUCUUUUCCGUAAAUGUGAUUUAACUGUCAUGCCUGACUGGUGAAACAGGGAUUAAGGAACUACCGUUUCUAAAACAUGAGGAACAGUUACAGCACGAAUGAAGAUUACAAAUCAAACUUAAUUAAAAUUGCGAGCUUCGGUGCUGUUUGCAAAGCAAAGUUGAAAAUGUGAUAACUCAAAAACGCAAAAUAUUCUCUAGACGCAAUGUAUAGAUGUUUACAAAAGAUCCUGCAUAGAAACAGCAUGCAAAUUCUUAGCAAAAGAAAGGAUCCAGGUGCUGUUGCAAUAGAGUAUUACUGAAGGUGUGUACUAGAAACACGAUGCAGUUUCUAAGGUUGAUAAUGGAAAAGAUGAAAAUAAUAAUAAUAAUAAUAAUAAUAAUAAUAAUAAUAAUAAUAAUAAUAAUAACAGACUAUAUUUUGGCACAUAACCAAGACUUAAAAAGGUGUUUAAAGCAUCAGAGAACUCAACUUAGUGCUCUCUGUGCUGUAAAAAUUAGGCUGUUAAAACAAGGUCCGCACUAAACCUGACCUAGUUAGAUUAGUACUACCACUAUUACAUGAGAAUAUGCUUUCAAGCAUCGUUUCAAAGAAAAAUACUUACAUAAAUGCAAACACUUUGUUAGCCUUCCACCCAAGCAGAUCCAAUAUGAGCGAAUGUCCAAUUAACCACAGAUCCAAUUUUGGCUGCAAGCAUUGGAGAUACCAUCAUAUGAUUCAUUUGUAAUAUGCCUGCUCUUAGAGAAUUGCAUACUUAAGGAGGUGGUGGGGGAUCGGCCGACAAUGUACCUUCCAAAACCUUAACUACUUCCCCCAUCGAGGGCCGAAGCCGAGCAUCAGACUGGACACACCAAAAUGCGAUCCUCAACAUGCGUUCAACCUCAUCUACAUCAAAUUUAUCCCUAAUUCUCGAAUCCACAAGCUCCACACCUCGCCCCUCUGCCCACUCAUUAUGGGCCCAACAACAAAUAUUAGUGCCAGCAUGGCGUCCACUCACCAUUCUCAGUAUCAUCUCCCCAAAGCUCGCCACAUCAGCCUCAGCACCUUGCUCACUUUCGCUUGCCUUGCCGCUCAUUCUCUUCAAGCCAAAUUUUGUCACCUUUGCUUCGAGCUCUUCAUCCAGAAGCACAUUCUCCCAUUUCAAGUUCCCAUGAGCGACAAAUUCCCUGCAGCCAGAGUGCAAGUAGGAGAUGACUUUUGCCACUCCUACGCAUAUCUUUACCCUUCUUCUCCAUGUCAGCCUCCUGCUGAGUUUAGCUUCUGUAAUCCAUUUAUCAACUGAACCAUUCUUAUGAAACUCGUAUAACAAGAACCUUCGGUCGGAGCAGCAACAGUAGCCCUCCAAUUUCACCAAAUUCUUAUGGUGAAUUCCUCCUAAAGCAGAAAUCCAAGACCUAAACAGUUUCUCUCCUAUGAUUUCCCCACUUUGCAUCGCAUAUUUUAACUCCCACACUACAACAACUUUGUUCGACAGAAGCACACCUUUGUAUAGAUUUGUCCCAAGCUGGUCCUUGAAGUUACCGGUGAUAUUGAUCAACUCCGAGUAUGAUAAUGGAACCAAACCAAUAGAACUAGGACAAGGGCAGUAUGUUGCUCCCGUGCUCUUAACCUCAUUUUUUCUCUUCCAGAGGAAAAAAAGAAUACCAACUUGGAUCGCCACAAAUGCAAGGAGUGCGCCAGAUAUUGGUCCAAUGAUAGAAGGUAUGUAGAAUCUCUUGAUCUCUUUGUUUAAAGGAGCAGUGGAAGGAGAAGAUGCAGAGGCAUUUAAAGGAAAUGCGGCAAGUGGAUCUAAACAGAUCUUAACAUACGAUGUGUAUGGUAAGGAGGGGUUCCCAUGACCCGUAAUGAAUCUGGUCUUUUUGAUACGGCACUGAGCUUCACCGUCGUUGGUUGCAGUAGCAGCCAUGCAAUUAGGAUCUUGCAAGCACAAGUCCCUGCACUGCCUAGCACUGGACUGAAUAAUAGAAUCUUGUGGUGGAUAAAUACCGUACAAGAAAGUAUGCUUAAAUGCAACCAUAGUUGUUCCGGAGCUGCAAUGUUGAUAGUAUGGAGCCAAACAACUAGAAUUUGCAGCUAAACUUGAUGACCCGAAAGGGCAUUUACAGGUUGCAGUCCCCACUUGGGACAACGUGCACACCCCAGAUAACCCACAAGUAGCAAAGACGUUGCACUGGUUGGCCACAGCUUGCCACACCUUUCUCCAUAACUUUGAAGAGUCAUCCCACGAGUACAUUCGCAAAUUCCCAUCAGCAUCUAACCUUAGAAACCUAAAGACGACAGAGGAAUCGUUAUGAUCAACUGCAAACAUCGACCACACCGGCCUCGACAUUUGGUCGACUAGUUGAAAUGAUCCUUCUCUUGUGACGACAGCAGCGAGAGUGGGGAAUGUAGGGGCGACUUCAGCUUUCCAGUAAGUGACAUUCGUCUCCCAGCUGAGUUUCAGCAUGCCAGAAGCAUCCAUAGAUAGCGUAUAAUGACUCGAUACAGAAUUUCGGCUAGCAGCUCGAAGGGUCUCAAAUACUGUCAAAUUCUGGCCUGGGAGUAGCGUAUCAGUAGGUGUUCUAAAGCUUUGCCAAAUAACAUUGUGGUUUUGACCUAAGAGAACAAGAUUACCAUCAUCUAAGAGACUAGCAGAAGAUACAGAGGAGUUGCUAGUGUUGCUACUCCAAACAGUUGCCGCUGUUAAAGAGUCGAACAGAAUGAGGUCUCCAGUCUCAGUAAGGUGAAGAUAUGAAUCAGAACCGACAGAGAUUCCAGCUCCCGCAACCCAUAUGCGAGCUUGCUUAUCUGAUGGGAUUGAGGCUGAGCUGAAACGAAUGCCGACGCUGUAUUUGUUAGGGUCGUUGGAGUUGUUGAAGAAACCUAGGGCAAAGUUCCCAUUUGAAGAAACCCAGUAGUUGUGGUUUGAUGCAAACAGCUUGGAAUCUAGAGGGAUUUGCAAACCUUUGAUAUAAACUACGAAAAGAGAUAGUACUAAGACAAAGAACCGACAUGAUAUUGGUUUGAGCAUUUUGACAUCUAUGGCGGAGGUAAGAGUGGAAACAAUGCCCCCCUAAAAAAUGGGAUUUUAGAAUGCAAGGGAUGGAUACUAAUUUCAGCACUGAAAGAUCUUACAAGCUGGUUUUGAUGGUGAAUCAACACUCAUGAAGGUUAGGCAAUGUAGAGUCAAAGAGGGCAACAUUUUGCGCCUUUUCACCAGGUCUUUCGGCUUUUAGAAAAAGAAAAAGACCUUUUAGGUGGUGCCGAACUAAAUUAGCGUUCCAUGCACCAUGAAACUCCUAAGAACAAAAAAGAAGUAACAUAUAGAAAAAUUAAUAACACCCCCCCACAAGAAACAGAAUUGAAAAAAGAGUAGGACUUUGCAAGAGACAAGAUAUCCAAACUGGAAUUACAUGUUGAAUACCCAAAUUUAUGAAGUGGGCAUGUAAUGAGAACAAGCCUAAUUUCUUCUUCUUCCUCCUCUUGAGCCCUCAGAGCAGAAUCUUAGUGAAAGGACAGAUUUGAGAGCUAAAUGGUGGAAUUCUAAUGAAGCUCAAGAAAAUGGUUUGCCAAAAAUAGCACAUUAGGAAAGAAAAAGAAAUUAGAACAAUCAAAUCAGAAAUAUGGAGAACAGAAAUGGAUACUAGAAUAAAAUAACAAUGCCAGAUUUGAGAUUUGAAUGCUCAAAUCGAUGGUUGAAAAUGCUUACCUCCCGUUGAAGCUACUUGAGAAGGGAAAGAGAGAGUCGGAAAGGGAAAGCGAUGGGAGGGAAAAAUAAAAAAAAGGGGGAGGAAUAAAAGGAAAAAAAUAAAGAAAAUGAGGGGGUUUCAGAAAGAAUUUUUUUUAUAUAUAAAUAAUUGUGAAAGGGAAAUAGGAGGUGGAAUUAUGUGGGGGGUGAGGGUCAAAGGGAGUCCGCAGGCACAGUGAGUAAUUAAAGAAGCUCUGGAGGAAAGGCGGAAAGGAAACGGAAGAAAGUUGCGAGUGAGGUUUGGUAGGGGAAUGGGAUGGGGAGAGAAAGAGACUGUGGAUAGAAAAGAAGGAAGAAAAGAACGCGUGGGCUAGGGAAAAGGAUGUGAGGUGAAGAUAAAAAGGGAACGCGUGGGAUCGAAAAAUGAGAUGUCAGGUGAGGUUUUGCCUUUCAUAAACACAGAUAUACUCAUUGGUUUAGAGCGGAGAAAGGUUUAAUUGCAUUAUAUUAUUACUAUAUUUUACAGAUUUUUAUAUUUCCUAUCCUAUGCGAUUAUAUUUAAAUAAUUAAUUUUAUACAGAUACCUACAAAAAUCUCAAAUAGUAAAUAUAUUUUUACAAAAUUUAAAUUAUCAAAUUUAUUUUCUCAAAAAAUUUUUGAUUUGCAAAUAUAUCCCACAAAAAGUUUUGAUUCGUUCAUACAUGUUCCAGCCGUUUGAUUUAUUGUUAGUUUUUUAAUGAUGAGCGUAUAAAAUGACUAUUUUGUCAUUACAAUUUUGUUGAUGCAAAAUUUUUUUUUUUUUCUCUCUCUCUCCUUGCCUUCGCCGCAGUACGUGCGGCGUACUUUAUUUUUGUCACGGCCAAGCGCCUCGCCUUUGACGUUGCCGCUGCCAUAUGUGUCGUCAUUGUCUUGGAUAAAAAGGAUAGGGUAAGAAAGAUAACAAGAUUUAAUAUUUGUCAUGCCCCGGGGCCGAUUUUAAAAGCCUUUUUACAAUGAAUGCAAUUUUUGAAAUUAGAGUUACGAAAAACAUGUCAUUUCUUUCUUUUUUUUUUCAACCUGGCCUACCUGACUUACAGACCCGCUACAAAUAUAAAGUUUUUUUGUCCACUCGAACAAAAUCUCCUUUAUAUUUGCACGGCAUACCAACAAUACCUCAGGAUCACAACAACAACCUACAUUUACCAAUCCACAAUCAAUUCAUGCAAUACAUUUCCAUACAGCUAGCAAUCCUUAGAAAUGAUGCAUGCCUCUAAGCACUCCUUAGGCGCUGGAUGAUGCGAUGCACAGUACAACAAUCAUCCUAUUUAAAAGUGCUCCCCACUCGAAAACUUUAUUUUUAACUCUAUUCAUUCAUUUCAUAAAAAUCAUUCGAAAACCUUUUUAAAACUGUUUCCUACUCGGAAACUCUAUUUUGAAAACCGACAACCUCGAGGGGUAAAAAACCACGAUGCAUAAAUCCGGUACCAAAAAUCCGUAGAUCUCCAAUUGCAUGCAUAAAAGAAACACAUUAACUCAAACCAGUUCACAAGCAUCCAAACAUUCAUAGUGAUCAUCUAACUGAACCAUUUAAUUAUUAAAUUACUAAGUGCGAGAAUGAAACAUAACCAGGGUGAGGAUCGCUACUGCAGUCUAACUAGUAUGUCCUCCCGUCGCGCCAAAUGCAACUCCUUGCCCGAGUCACCUGAAAAAAUGGGGGGUGAGAAACCACAAUCAAGGUGUCACGCCUCGGGACCGAUACCAAUUUAGGUCGGUACCAAGUCCUUAUGUCUAACAACAUAGAAUAUGUCACAACUCUCUUAUAGGCCUAUCUCUAUGUCAUCAUGUCUAAAACAUGAAAAGUAGUAGAUGUCCAUGGCCUAUCUCUAAGUCUCAAUACAAUAGUCUCAUAGUGUGCUAGUCUAAGUGCACCUUUAUGACACUUUUAUUUACUAAGUCCAAGCUUAACUCAAAUGUUCAUAAAUACAUAAUUGAGCCACUUUAAACAUAUGAAGCAUGUUUCCAAACGACUAGUGCGAACACUACUCAAAUGCAUGUAACAAUACCCAGAAUGCUCUACUAUAUAGAGUGAAAAUUUUCUUAUACAUAACACAUGCAUUUUAAGUGUUCUAAAAUUCACAUAAAUUCCAUUUAGCAUAGAUUUGCAUUUAAAAUGACGUUACGACGAGUAUAGAAAGCAGGGGGGCCAUUUCGCCCCGUUUUCAUGAAGCCAAACCCACCACAACUCUUGCGCUACUUCGUUUGCUCCGACGAAGGUGUUCGCUAGUCUCCUAGCACCCUAAAGAUGUAGGAACAAGGGUUAAACGAACCUUACGAUCAACCCUAAGCUCAAUCAAUAAGUAACAUAGGCUAAGGUGGAGAAAACUCACUUCAAGUGAAGACAUCCUCUCUCAAGCUCCAAAUGGGAGUUAGAGUUCUUCAAAUUCAACCUAAAUAAAGGUUCUAAGCCAAUCAAUUGGGUCUCCAAGCCCUCAAAUCAAAAAUCCCCAAAAUAAACCCUAAAUCUCAUUUCUAGGGUUCCAUCUAGCCAAAUCUAGGAAAACAUGUAUCAAAAGGAGAAUACAUGCUACCGACCUCAAGGGGAGUCCCAAACCAAGCUCGAAAUGCUAAAAGGUAGAAGAUUGAUACUCCACAAAGUUUCAACCACGAGCUCCAAGCCACCAAGGUGAGAAAUGAGGUUGAGGAAGAUGCUCCAAGGUCUCCAAGCUAGCUCUUCUUCAACUCCUCCUUUUUCUUCUCCUUCUUCUUCUCUUUCUAGAGAGUGUAGAGAGAAUGUGAGGGAGAGAAAUGAGGGUGAGAGGAAGAGGAAAGGCUCUAUAAGCCUUCAAAUGUAACAAAAUCCACUUAAGUCCCUAAAAAAUCCAACAUGUGCACUGCCCGGGUCUGGGCAGUUUUCAGACUAAGGGACCGGUCUCCCCGACCUGGGACCGGUCUCUCAGUCUGCCCUGAAAAUCCAACGUUCGGGAAUCGGUCUCUCCCCGCAUGGGACCGGUCUCUCCCCGUGUAGUCGCGCUCGGGGACCGGUCUCACCUACCAGGGACCGAUUGCCUCUAGUCCUGCCGCAGCACUGUUCUAAGGGGACCGGUCUCUCCUAUCAGGGACCGGUCCCCGAGAGUGAAAACUCUCAGGACAUAGCCAAAACUCUAGAGAUCAAACUUUUAGGUCGGAAUACCAUCUACGACCUUCCACCAAGUGUGGAAAAGUUCGGAAUACUUAUCAAACACUCGAACCUCGCAAUUUGCACAGGUCCAGUGUGUUACAUUCACCCCUCCUAAAAAGGAGUUUCGUCCGCGAAACUCAAAAGCAAACACAUACCUCAAAGCUCCAUCUAAAAAAGAUGGGGAUAGCGCUCCCGCAGCGCGCUCUCAAGCUCCCACGUGGCCUCCCGCUGCCCGUGGUUGCUUCAAAGAACUUUCACAUACGGAAUAUCCCGAUUUCGCAGUUUCUUUACCUCGCGAGCCAAGAUCUUCAAGGGUUGCUCCUCGAAGCUCAAAUCAUCCCGUAACUCCAUAGGUGUAGCAUCCAACACAUGAGUUGGGUCGAAAACGUACUUCCGAAGGACCGAUACAUGAAAGACAUUGUGCACACCCGAUAGGUUUGGUGGUAGAGCAAGUCAAUACGCUACCAGACCUACACGCUCCAAGAUCUCAUAUGGUCCAAUGAAACGGGGGCUCAACUUACCCCGAAUCCCGAAUCUCUUGAUCCCUCUAGUCGGCGAGACCUUCAAGAAAACAUGGUCUCCAACUUGGAACUCCAAGUCUCGCCGUCGUCGAUCGACGUAGCUCCUCUGUCUACUCUGUGCCGUCAAAAGUCGCUCCCGAGCAAUUCGAACCUUGUCCUCAGCUUCCUAGAGCACAUCAGGGCCCAAUCCCAACCUCUCGCCGACUUCACUUCAAUGAAGUGGCGACCUACACUUCCGUCCAUAAAGUGCUUCGAAGGGCGCCAUCUUGAUGCUUGCUUGAUAACUGUUGUUAUAAGCAAACUCCGCCAUCGGUAGAUGCUGCGACCAUCCUCCCUGGAAGUCUAUCACAAAUGCUCGGAGCAUAUCCUCUAAAGUCUGAAUGGUGCGCUCCGACUGCCCAUCACUCUGAGGGUGGAAAGCAGUGCUGAAGUCCAGUCGGGUGCCUAGGGCGUUCAGCAAACUCCUCCAAAAAUGAGACACAAACCGAGUGUCUCGAUCCGAUACUAUCGACAUAGGCACUCUAUGAAGUUGCACAAUCUCAUCAAGGUACACUUGUGCGAGCUUCUCUCCGGUCCAAGUAGUAUGAAUAGGUAUGAAGUGCGCCGACUUCGUCAACCUAUCCGCCAUCACCCAUAUAGCAUCAUGCCCGGCCUUAGAGCGGGGCAAUCCAGUCACAAAAUCCAUGGUGAUCUUCUCCCACUUUCACACGGAAAUAGGCAAACUCUGAAGUUUUCCCGCGAGUAAUCGGUGCUCAGCCUUCACUUGUUGGCAAGUUAGACAACGAGCUACAAACUCGCCAACGUCCUUUUUCAUCCCCGGCCACCAAUAAAGCAACUUCAAGUCCUUAUACAUCUUGGUGCCUCCCGGAUGUAUAGCAUAGGGCGCUCGGUGCGCUUCUUGAAGAAUAUCCUCUUUAAUUCCCGAAUUCGCCGGUAUACAAAUUCGUCCACGAAAACGCAUCAAUCCUUGGUCAUCCACAAGGAAGUCGCCGGUGCAACUAUCAACCAUUUUAUCUCGAACCUUUUGCAACUCCACAUCGGAAGCUUGCUUCUCUUUAAUUAUAUCCAAGAGUGUAGGUUGCACCACCAAAGUCAUCAAUCUCAAAGACGUAUUUGGAAUCACCACCUCCAACUCCAACCGCUUCAUCUGCUCGAUCAACUGCGGUUGAGUAACAAUAUGCAUCGCUAAGUUUUCCGUUGAUUUUCUACUUAGCGCAUCAGCCACCACGUUAGCCUUGCCCGGGUGGUAAAAAAUAGUCAAAUCAUAAUCCUUGAGUAGCUCCAACCAUCUGCACUGUCUCAAGUUCAACUUCUUCUGAGUGAAUAGGUAUUUGAGGCUCUUGUGAUCCGUGUAUACUUCACACCGCUCGCCAUACAAGUAGUGGUGCCUAACUUCAAUGCGAAGACUACAGCCGCCAACUCCAAAUUGUGCGUAGGGUAAUUCUUUUCAUAUUCCUUUAGUUGGCGGGAAGCAUACGCGAUCACCUUGCCAUCCUCAAUCAAAACGCAACCCAAUCCAUUAAGAGAUGCAUCACUAUAAAUUACAUACCCUGCUCCAGCAACAGGUAGGGUCAGGAUUGGGGCGGUCGUCAGUCGUUGCUUCAACUCUUGGAAGCUUCUCUCGCACACAUCAUUCCAGAUGAACUUGACACCUAUAUUUGUGAGCCUCGUGAGAGGAGUAGGUAGCUUAGCGAACCCCUCGACAAAUCUCCAGUAGUAACCGGUCAGUCCAAGGAAACUACGAAUCUUCGUAACGCUCGUCGGUCUCGGCCAAUCCUUGAUAGCCUCAAUGUUCUUAGGAUCCACAGCUAUACCCGAUCCCGAUAUCAAAUGUCCAAGGAAGGCUAUCUCUCGAAACCAAAGUUCACACUUUUUCAGCUUGGCAUAAAGCUCAUUUUCCUGAAGUAUUUGAAGUACAAGCCUCAAAUGCUCCUCAUGAUCCGCAUCGCUUUGGGAAUAAACCAAAAUGUCGUCGAUGAACACCACGACGAACCUGUCCAGAUAAGGCUUGAAAACACGGUUUAUCAGAUCCAUAAAAGCUGCCGAGGCAUUAGUAAGCCCGAACGGCAUAACAGUGAACUCGUAAUGCCCAUACCGUGUUCUAAAGGCCGUCUUCGAUACAUCCUCGGGUUUGAUCUUCAUUGGUGGUAUCCCGACUGCAAGUCUAUCUUGGAAUACACACACGAUCCCUGAAGCUGAUCAAACAAGUCGUCGAUCCUCGGCAACGGAUACUUAUUCUUGAUCGUGACUUUAUUGAGUUCACGAUAGUCCACACAUAGGCGAAGUGAUCCGUCCUUUUUCUUGACGAACAGAACUGGCGCUCCCCACGGCGAGACGCUCGGACGAAUAAAGCCCUUGUCCAACAGAUCCUGUAGCUAUGCCCUCAGCUCCUUUAGUUCCGCCGGUGCCAUCCUAUAGGGUGCCUUCGAGAUUGGAGUAGUCCUAGGGACGAGAUCUACCACAAACUCGAUCUCCCUAUCGGGUGGCAUACCCGGUAGCUCAGCUGGAAACACGCCCUGAAACUCCCGUACCACUGGAAUAUCCUGAAUCCCAGGGGUGUCAUCCUCACCCCUCAACACAACACUAGCCAAGUAGGCUACACAUCCUCGGCUGAUCAGCUGCCUAGCUCGAGACGAGCUGAUCGACAUCGCAAAAAGCGAACUCCGGCAUCCUCUAAACACAAUCUCAGUCUGCCCCGGUUCUCUAAAAGUAAUCGUGCGAUUCUUGCAAUCAAUGGUGGCGUAAAACUUGGUCAGCCAAUCCAUACCCAAGACCACAUCGAAAUUCUCUAGCUUGCGCAGAGCUAGCAAAUCCACGGGCAUGAUCCAAUCUCCUACCCGAACAGGGCAAUUAGGGCAAUACUCUCUAAUAUCCAGAGUGUUGUCGGGUACUACAACAUGUCCCGGAUGCAACAAGGAAACCAAAGGGAUGCCAUGCAAUUCAGCAAACAGCCGGUCUAUAAAUGAAUGCGAUGCACCAGUAUCAAAUAAAGUACGAACUCUAAUGCCAUCAAGUAAAAUAAUACCUGCAACCACAUCCUCGGCUGCUGCCGCCUCCUCGGUCUGAGCAGCAUACAAACGCCCACUCAGGGCCUGUCGAGAACCCUCGCUCUGGCGCUGGACGGGCGGCCGCCCUGGCUGAUACUGCGCUGAUGGAGUCUCGUGACUGGCGGCUGGUAGAGCCGGUGCCGAUGCAGUCGACGGUGCCGGUGAUGAACCUCUCGGGCACUCAGUCCGAACGUGGCCCUCCUGGCCAUACUGGAAACACCUGCCCGCCCGAUGUGGACACUGCGGUGGGUAAUGAAGACCACCGCAGAUCACACACGGGGAAGGCCGGCGACGGUCAGAACCUCCUCGCUGCGCUGCUGAGCCGCGUCCAUGCUGCUGGUUCCUAGGAUACUUCAGCGGCCUCCUAGAGUGUGUCUGGCUCGCACCCUCUGCCGCAGGCCUCUUGGCCUUACCUUUGUCCAUCGCCUCUCGCCGCUCCUGGACAUCUGCCGCGCCGCUCUCCACUAUGAGUGCGCGAUCCACCAUCUCCCGGUAGGUUUGGAGGUUAGAGGAUUGCACAAACCGGAAGAUCGAUGGUCGCAACCCUUGCUCGAAGAUGCGGGCCUUGUUCUCGUCGUCCCGCACGACGAAAGGCAUGUAGUGAAGAAGCCGAGAAAACUCCCACUCGUACUCGGCUACAGUCCGAUCACCUUGACGCAAGUUGCGCAGAUCCUGCUCCAUCUUUCGCUUGACACUGGUCAGGAAGUAGUGCGCUAAUAGAAGCUCCUUGAACCUCUUCCAAGAUAUAGCCUCCAAGUCAGUGCUGGGGUUCUCCUGGAGAUCCAACGACCAGCGGUAGGCCUCGCCGUCCAAAUGGUGUGUGGCGAGCCAAACUCGAUCUCUCUCCUCCACGAAGGUGUCGCGGAAGAGCUUCUCCAUAUGCAUCAACCACUUCUCCACGAUCCAAUGGUCGACCUUCUCGCCGUCGAAGAUCCGGGGACUGUACCUCCUGAACUCAUUGAGGCGCUCUAUCAGUCGGCCCCGCUCCGCUCCCUCGACCAAGGUAGGGAAAGCUGCUCCAACCGCGGACCUCUGCACAGGUGGUACUGUGAUGGCCUCCUCCUGAGACACGGCAAUAGGCGCUGCUCACGAAGAACUAGGCGUGGGGGACGGCGCUCUAGGCGCGACGUCCACAACUGGUGCUGGCGGUGUAGGGGCCUGAGUCUCCCUAGAAACUGCUGCCUGCUGUAAAAGAAAGUCCUCCAGGCGCUUCAUCCGCGCCUUCUGUCAGCGCGCCGCCUCCGUCUGCUAUCGGGCCGCCUCCGCCUGCUGUGUCACCAAGUCGGUGAGAGCCGCAAGCUUGCUCCUCAACUCUCGGACCUCGCCGGAUCCGGAGGUAGUGGAGGUCUUGACCUCCUCAAGAUGUGCCGCAUUAUCCGCUCCGGCAGAUUGGGAGCGGGUGAUCGGCAUCUCACUACAACAUCAUAAAAGCGUAAGUUAGUAACCCACGCUAUCGUAUCCCCGCUCAAGCAGAUAAUACCCCAAAUCAUGCGAAAGUAAUGAAGUGUGCUUCACUACUAACUCCCGAUGUUACGUUGUCGGCUGCCGACGUAACCCUCCGUGAAGUUAGGAGCUAUACACUUCAAUUUAACUCCACUUUCUAGAGUUAUCAAGAUACCCAAUCACGAUACUUUCGCUUACAAGUCAAAUAGACCUCGUCUGUCACGAGCCUAUUUCCUAUAGUUCAACCGGCCUAAGGUUUGCUAGGUCCACUAAGACUCAACCCUAGGCUCUGAUACCAAACUAAUCUGUCACGCCCCGGGACCCAGCGGAAGCCCGCCCGGCGCGUGCCCAGACUCGCCAUAUGUCUAAAACGUAUAAGGCGUUUACAAUAAAACGAUAAAUAAGACAAUAAAAAGAACAUCUAGAAGCAUCAAAGCAAGGUAUAUCUAGAAGCUACAAUAAGGGUAAGGAAUAUAAAAGUAAAUCCACUAAGCAAAAACAUAAAGUGAAUACAAUAGGAAUCCCAAUACAAAAGCUAAACAAGUACAUAGGAGGUCUCUCUAUACAUGGUACUCAAAACUCUCUCUCUCACAAAAACCAAAAAGAAGAGAGUGACUACCUAGGAGCAACAGCAAGCUCCGCUAUCUAGCUAUGCGACUCCCUUGCCGCGAUCCCGUGCCUCCGCCGGUGCCGAAGGCUCUGAAAUAAAACCAUAAAACAGAGAGCGUGAGAACUAUUGAAUAAUAGUUCCCAGUGGGCAAUUACUGGCUUCAGUGAAAUGCACCACUAGGCCCGAACUAAAAAGGGGGUCAGUAAGCAGAUAUAAACAAAAACGAUAUGUACGACAAGUAAAUAAACAUGAAUAUUUGUUACUACCUGAUAUCUCUACUUAGCUUGAUUUAGCAUAAGAAAAGCUAUUCUCGUAUGAAUGUACCCAAGCAUCGCUAGUAUGAUGCCAUAAGUCAAAUAGUAAAGAUGUCGUUGUUUACUAUUCUAAUCAAUGUCCACAUGGCAUGAUAAAUGCUCAAAAUCAAAUCUGAAGAGACCCGCCCGAAGGCUGUCUGGCCCUGAGACCCACCCGUAGGCUAUUUGGCCGGUGCCGAGCCUAAUGGCCCCGUGAUAGUCAACAUCCCCACUCUAGAAAUAAGUCUUUUCCAUGGCAAUCCACUUCGGCACCCAAUCCCGCACGGCGAAUAUGUAUCACGAUGGCCAUCUCCGGAAUGCCGGCUUGUAGGGAGCGACCCUCACAAGCAUGUGCGAAUGAGCACAAUGGCAAGUAACAAAAGAUCCGUCUCAAGUACCAAGCUCUCAUGUCUAACAACAUGGAAUAUGUCACAACUCUCUCGUAGGCCUAUCUCUAUGUCAUCAUGUCUAAAACAUGAAAAGUAGUAGAUGUCCACGGCCUAUCUCUAAGUCUCAAUACAAUAGUCUCAUAGUGUGCUAGUCUAAGUGCCCCUUUAUGACACUUUCAUUUACUAAGUCCAAGCUUAACUCAAAUGUUCAUAAAUGCAUAAUUGAGCCACUUUAAACGUAUGAAGCAUGUUUCCAAACGACUAAUGCGAACACUACUCAAAUGCGUGUAACAAUACCCAGAAUGUUUUACUAUAUAGAGUGAAAAUUUUCUUAUACAUAACACAUGCAUUUUAAGUGUUAUAAAAUUCACAUAAAUUCCAUUUAGCAUAGAUUUGCAUUUAAAAUGACGUUACGAUGAGUAUAGAAAGUAUGGGGGCCAUUUCGCCCCGUUUUCAUGAAGCCAAACCCAUCACAACUCUUGCGCUCCUUCGUUUGCUCUGACGAAAGUGUCCAGUAGUCUCCUAGCACUCUAAAGAUGUAGGAACAAGGGUUAAACGAACCUUACGAUUAACCCUAAGCUCAAUCAAUAAGCAACAUAGGCUAAGGUGGCGAAAACUCACUUCAAGUGAAGAAAUCCUCUCUCAAGCUCCAAAUGGGAGUUAGAGUUCUUCAAAUCCAACCUAAAUAAAGGUUUUAAGCCAAUCAAUUGGGUCUCCAAGCCCUUAAAUAAAAAAUUCCCAAAAUAAACCCUAAAUCUCAUUUCUAGGGUUCCAUCUAGCCAAAUCUAGAAAAACAUGUAUCAAAAGGAGAAUACCUGCUACCAACCUCAAGGGGAGUCCCAAACCAAGCUCAAAAUUCUAAAAGGUAGAAGAUUGAUCCUCCACGAAGCUUCAACCACGAGCUCCAAGCCACCAAGGUGAGAAAUGAGGUUGAGGAAGAUGCUCCAAGGUCUCCAAGCUAGCUCUCCUUCAACUCCUCCUUCUUCUUCUCCUUCUUCUUUUCUUUCUAGAGAGUGUAGAGAGAAUGUGAGGGAGAGAAAUGAGGGUGAGAGGAAGAGGAAAGACUCUAUAAGCCUUCAAAUGUAACAAAAUCCACUUAAGUCCCUCAAAAAUCCAACCUGUGCACUGCCCGGGUCUGGGCAGUUUUCGGACUGAGGGAUCGGUAUCCCCGACCUAGGACAGGUCUUUCAGCCUGCCGCGAAAAUCCAACGUUCGGGAACCGGUUUCUCCCCACAUGGGAUCGGUCUCUCCGCGCGUAGUCGCGCUCGGGGACCGGUCUCACCCACCAGGGACCGGUUGCCUCAAGUCCUGCUGCAGCACUGUUCUGAGGGGACCGAUCUCUCCUAUCAGAGACCGGUCCCCGAGAGUGAAAACUCUCAGGACAUAGCCAAAACUCUAGAGAUCGAACUUUUAGGUCGGAAUACCAUCUACGACCUUCCAGCAACUGUGGAAAAGUUCGGAAUAUAUAUAAAACACUCGAACCUCGCAAUUUGCACAGGUCCAGUGUGUUACAUUCACCCCUCCUAAAAAGGAGUUUCGUCCGCGAAACUCAAAAGCAAACACAUACCUCAAAGCUCCAUCUGAAAGAGAUGGGGAUAGCGCUCCCGCAGCGCGCUCUCAAGCUCCCACGUCGCCUCCCGCUCCCCGUGGUUGCUUCAAAGAACCUUCACAUACGGAAUAUCCCGAUUCCGCAGUUUCUUCACCUCGCGAGCCAAGAUCUUCACGGGUUGCUCCUAGAAGCUCAAAUCAUCCCGUAACUCCAUAGGUGUAGCAACCAACACAUGAGUUGGGUCGAAAACAUACUUCCGAAGGACCGAUACAUGAAAGACGUUGUGCACGCCCGAUAGGUUUGGUGAUAGAGCAAGUCGAUACGCUACCAGACCUACACGUUCCAAGAUCUCAUAUGGUCCAAUAAAACGGGUGCUUAACUUACCCCGAAUCCCGAAUCUCUUGAUCCCUCUAGUCGGCGAGACCUUCAAGAAACAUGGUCUCCAACUUGGAACUCCAAAUCUCGCAGUCGUCGAUCGGUGUAGCUCCUCUGUCUACUUUGUGCCGUCAAAAGUCGCUCCUGAGCAAUUCGAACCUUAUCCUCAGCUUCCUGGAGCACAUCAGGGCCCAAUGCCAAUCUCUUGCCGACUUCACUCCAAUGAAGUGGUGACCUACACUUCCGUCCAUAAAGUAUUUCGAAGGGCGCCAUCUUGAUGCUUGUCUGAUAACUGUUGUUAUAAGCAAACUCUGCCAUCGGUAGAUGCUGCGACCAUCCUCCCUGGAAGUCUAUCACACAUGCUCGGAGCAUAUCCUCUAAAGUCUGAAUGGUGCGCUCCGACUGCCCAUCACUCUAAGGGUGGAAAGCAGUGCUGAAGUCCAGUCGGGUGCCUAGGGUGUCCUACAGACUCCUCCAAAAAUGAGACACAAACCAAGUGUCUCGAUCCGAUACUAUCGAUGUAGGCACUCCUGAAGUCGCACAAUCUCAUCAAGGUACACUUGUGCGAGCUUCUCUCCGGUCCAGGUAGUAUGAAUAGGUAUGAAGUGCGCCGACUUCGUUAACCUAUCCACGAUCACCCAUAUAGCAUCAUGCCCGGCCUUAGAGCGGGGCAAUCCAGUCACAAAAUUCAUGGUGAUCUUCUCCUACUUCCACACGGGAAUAGGCAAACUCUGAACUUUUCCCGCGGGUAAUCGGUGCUGUCAUGCCCCGAGCUCCGCCAAUUUGGUCGGAUUCGAGCACACGACAGACGCCGAACGGACAGUACCUCCCCUGUCUGCCCAAGGCUCCAACAACAAGUAUAUUACAAGCAAAUCAAUAAGGAGAAUUGCGAGAUAUACGAGGUUUGCACAAGGGCAAACAACAACCACAAGUGAAAGCAUCGAAACUAAACAAAACAUCCAAUAGACAUGUCAUUUGAUUUCAUUUGAAUCAAAUACAAGUAGUCUAUUUCAUUCAUUUACAUCACGAUUUCUUUUAACCAUAAUAUAAUUUGCAUCAUCUUUAUAUUACAUCAUUUUACAAUUUCAACAUACAAAAGUUGAGUACACCAAGUGUAGGGUAUGCCUAUAUGACUCUGAGGCCGCUAACUACGGCGCGACUCCCUUGCCUCGAUCCUCCGCCGCCCCGCUCGCGUAGGGAUCUGCAGGGUUAGUGGUAAUGAGAACUAGAACGAAGUUCCCAGUGGGUUCGGCCGCCGACCACGCCGAUUCGCCCACUAGGUCUAAUUCAGGCAUAUGUAUUUCAAUAAAAGAAGAAUAAAUAACAAACCAACUAAAUGCACUCUACAUACAAUGCCUGCAAAGAAAGCAAUCCACAGAUAGAUAUUCAAUAUUCAGAUACAUGAUAAUUAAUGCAUGCUUGUCCAUUUUCACUGUCCUUUGGCCUUUACCCAAUCCACCCUAGGGUGCUCCUGGUUUACCCAACUCACAGUACACAUAUUCCUGGUCUAACGGGGAGGCCAAGGCACAACCACUCGAAAGAUCUUCGCUGGGUCACUUUCACCCAUAGUGCUUUUCUUCCCGGAGUACACCGCUCGUGGGAGGAGCGACCUCGCACAAAGCCGGUAACCAAACAUGUGAGUAUGAUCCAUCCUCAAUUUGAGGAGGUUUGGCCAACCUGUCCACAAUUCUCACUGUCUCAAUGCCGAUGAAUGGUUAAUAACUAUUCAUUGCACAUUAUCUAUCACCGCCAACGUCAUGGUGGUCCUAAUGCCACAGUACACAUAAUGUCACUCGGGUUAAACCUUGUUUAACAAUCCUCUUUUCGAUGUCAAUCGAGUCAUUAAUGUCAAUGCGCCUUUGUUUACUACGGUACAGUCAUUUCUCACAUUCACAUGCAUAUAGGGUUCUUUCAUAUCUUUGUUCACAUGGUUCUAUAUCAUUACAAUAAUCUUACACAGAUAAUUGUUACAAUCAUAUAUACUUUCAUUACAUGUCACGCCCGGGGUACCAGCGAAGCAUAUCCGGCACGUGCACAGACCAGCCAUACACCUGCAGUAUAUAAGGCGUCUACAAGCAACAUCGAUAGGAAGUAAAACAAAGAAAGUCCUAUCCUGAUAUCAGAGCAAUGUACAAGUCGAUAUAUAUCAACAAAAGAACAAAGAGUGUACAACCCCAAAAUCUCGACAGAAGAGAAGUAUCACAACUAUAGUGACGGUCCAAAAGUACAUAUACAUCACCGGGGAACAAAAGAAUAGGUACAACGGUGGUCUCCUCUAUACAUAGGGACAUCACCUCGGCCGUAGCCGAGUAGCAAGGUGAUCGACUAGCACGCUCCUGUAGUCCCUAGCUAGGCGCGACUCCCUAUGCCACGAUCCCUAGCCUCUCCUGUAACAGGCUCUGUAAAAACAACCACCAAAAGGGCGUGAGAACUAUAAAACAAUAGUUCCGCCCAGUGGGUAAGCCGCCACCCUCGGCGAAUUACACCACUAGGCUCAUGAUGUACUAAUUGAAAGCAAUAACGAUAAUUGCAUAAUUUAUAAGCAUGAUGCUAACCAGUAAUGAGCAUCGUAAUCAACAUGUAAUACAUUCUGCAGUAAUGAAUCAUUUGCAUAAUGGGGAUAUGGCAAUUUCUGUAUCAUGAACAUUAGACAUGAAUAUAAGCACAAACAUGAAGUGACUACUGUACACUUUGAGUAGAAUAAGCAUUCAUUACUUGUCUUUUUCAUUAAGUACUAUCCUUUCAUUCACAGGGAACCAACCAAGGUAGUCCAGCUUUGCGCGCGCCUAAUGGCUCCGUGGUAGUAUACACUCCCCACCCGGCAAUCCACUUCGGCACCACAUUCCCGCACGGCGAGCAACUGUCGCGUAGGCCAACUCCGGAGUGCGGGCUUGUAGGGAGCUACCUCACAAGCGUGUGCGAAUGAGACCGAUGGCAAGCAAAGCAAAAUCUAUGUCCACAUACCUCAGUUUUCAUAUUUUAUUGCGAAGUUCUUACCCUCGAUCCUUUGAUCGGAAUAUUCAAUACACAAAUAAGCUCUAGUAUCCACUAGAUUGUAAACAUGUAUGGGUAAAGCUAAAUCACAUAGCAUUAAUAAUCUUUCCACUAGUAUGGCACUAUCAAAUAGUCAUGAGCAUGUCAUAGUCUCCUACGUAGAGUCAAGAGAAUGUCAUUGUUCUCUACUUUAAGUGCAUCAUACACUUAUUCAUAAGUCAUUCAACUGAAUUGAAUGUAAAUGGAAAUACUGUCAUGUAUAUAUGUUUCUCUAUAUCAUAGAAACAUAAUAAACUGAUCUCCUAAUUGUUCUACUGAAUUAAACAAGAUUGUCUUAAUGCAUGAACACUUUUAUGCAUGAACACUCAUUUCACAUAAGGUAAAGUCAUGAUGACGAAAUCCGAGUCCCUUAACCAUCACAUAGGCAUAUAAUUAAACCACGUCUAUAAUACAUAUAGAACAUAGGGGAGCUUCACUUGCUCUGGUUAGGUCCGACCCACCUAGUACUAGCUCCAAAACAGUCCAAGGAGUUCCAAAGAUCAGCUCACUAGGUCGCAAUCCUGCUGAGCACGAAGCAUACAUAUCGUAUCAAAAAAUUACGAUCGAAAAGGCCAAUUUCGGCGCAAUUACACUUCGUACAUUGGAAUAGCUUAAAUCCCUGUUUUGUUAGCUUAAUACCUCACGUUAAGCUUCCAGAAGGCCCUCCAAGGCCAAACGAAGGCGGUCCAGGGUCAACACCCUCUCGGCUGCGAACACACCAACACGACAUCAAAAUCAUCAAUAUUAUUAGCAAAUAUAGUCGAAUCUUGCGAAUUCAGUUUUCUAACUGAAAUCCCUGCUUACCUCAGGUUAGAAUACCUUCCCAAACCAGCUUCUAAGAGUACAGUUUCAGCUCAAACGAGACUCGAAGACCUGCUGCGAAGAGAAAAUUCCAAAUUGCAUCAAUAAUCCGCGUAUAGUUCCGAUUAAGCUUCCGAAAUGGCUUAAUUCUUCCAAUUAAGCUUCAAAGUAGCUUAUCCCUGGUCUACUGAGAUUAAUUCACAGUUAAAUAACUCAUCUUCUUUAAGUGCUAAAACCUCAGUUUAAAACAGCUAGAAGCAACAACUCCAAAAACUAUACAUAAUUCGUCCAAGAAAUUGCCGAAAAUGGAAAACGCUGAGCUGCUUACCUCGCAAGCUCCAACCAGUCAGCUCGCUGGUCCAGAGCCUCGAAAAGACUUCCAAAGUAUUCUCUCACACGUUUCACAAGUGCUCCGUAACACUCGCACAAGCGACGAACAAGCGAGGCGACGAAAACGAGCAAAUCGUCGAUUUCUAUAUAAGAGAGAGAAAAACUAAGAGAGAGAGAGAGGAGAAGGUGGAAGACAAUCCGCCUGAGCUCCAGCAACCUUCACUAAAGCCCCCAGAGUCGUGCUGGGUUCAAAUAGAUAGGUGUCAAAAGUGAAAUGACAAAAUACCCAAGCUGCACGAAUCCUGCCAGCUUGUACCCGUACAAGGUGAUGUCUGUACCGGUACAGCAAGCAGCAAAAGCGCUGAUUUUCGCCAGUUUGAUGCAAUUUCUCACCUUUUAACAUUCCAAGCAUCCUCUAACUUAUCCAACACUUGUUCUAACUUUUUAGAACAUGUAGGAGUGAUCCACACACCAUUCCACAUACUCGAACUCGCAAUUUGCAAAAGUUCAGUGUAUUACAUUCACCCCUCCUAAAAAGAAGUUUCGUCCGCGAAACUUGUGAACACUUACCUCACGAUUCCAUCGAGAAUAGAUAGGGAAUGCUCUUGCAUUGCACUCUCCAGUUCCCAAGUGGCUUCUUGUUCCUCGUGAUUACUCCAAAGGAUCUUCACGUAGGGUAUUUCGGAUUUCGAAGCCUUUUUACUUCCCGAGCUAGGAUUUUACUGAUGCUCCUCAAAGCUCAAAUCUUCAUGUAAAUCCACUUGGGUACUCUCCAAUAUGUGAGUUGGAUCAAAAACAUAUUUCGUAGUGUGGAUACAUGAAAACACAUUGUGGAUUCCCGAAUGGUUCGGCGGUAAGGCAAGCCGAUAACUACGGGCCUAUUCGUUCCAACACCUCGUAGGGUCCAAUAAAUCGAGGACUCAACUUUCCCUCGAAUGCCAAAUCUCUUAACUCCUUUCGUCGGGGAAACUUUAGGAAUACAUGAUCGCCAACUUGAAAUUCCAAUUCUGCCGACGUGUUUGUCCGCAAACUCUUUGUCGACUUUGAGCUGUCAGUAGACGUUCCUCGAGCAAGCGAACUUUAGCUUCAGCCUCUUGUAAUACAUCUGGACUCAACACCAAUCUCUCACCCACUUCAUCCAAUGAAGUGGUGAUCUCUACACUUUCUACCAUACAGGGCUUCAAACGGUGCCAUCAGAAUACUUGCGUGAUAACUGUUGUUAUAAGCAAAUUCAGCCAUAGGCAAAAACUGUGGCCAACUGCCCUGGUAAUCAUCACACACAGGCCCGUAACAUAUCCUCCAAGGGUCUGGAUAUAGUCGCUCGGACUGCCCAUCACUCUGGGGGUGGAAAGCAGUACUAAAAUCCAAUCGGGUACCCAAGGCCUCCUGUAAACUUCUUCAAAAAAUGUGAAACGAAUCGGGUGUCUCGGUCCGAAACAAUGGAAGCAGGUACUCCAUGUAAUCGCACAAUUUCAUCAAGAUAUACACUUGGUGCGAGUUUUUCUCUCUGACCAAGUCGUGUGGAUUGGAAUAAAGUGGCAGAUUUAGUCAAUCGAUCAACAAUUACCCAAAUUGCAUCGUGACCUGCUUGUGAGCGAGGUAAUCCAACGAUGAAAUCCAUAGUGACCUCUCCCCACUUCCACACUGUAUGGGUAAGCUCUGAAGUUUUCCCGCAGGAAGUCGAUGUUCAGCUUUAACCUGCUGACAGGUUAAGCACUUAGCUACGAAUCUGCAACUUCCCUUUUCAUUUCAGGCCACCAAUAGGUCAACUCAAAUCUUUAUAACAUUUUCGUAUCCCAGGGUGUACAGUAUACGUGCCCGAUGUGCUUCUUUUAAAAUCUCCUCUUUAAUGUCUGGAUCUGCCGGCAACAAAGCCUAUCACGAAAUCUUAACAGUUCUUGAAUUAUCCACUCGAAACUCACUACCAUCCCGAUCAGCAGUGAUCUUUGCUCGAAUCUUUUGCAGGAAUUCAUCUUGAGCUUGCUUUUCUUUAAUUCGAUCGAUCAGGGUAGGUUGCACCAAGUAANNNNNNNNNNNNNNNNNNNNNNNNNNNNNNNNNNNNNNNNNNNNNNNNNNNNNNNNNNNNNNNNNNNNNNNNNNNNNNNNNNNNNNNNNNNNNNNNNNNNGAAUCUUGCGAUUUGCUAAGAUCCAGUGUAUUACAUAGUCGCAAUGCCAAUGUCACGAUAGGUCUCUACCUAUUCAUUCUUGCCACUCUCAAGGCUUUACCUUUGACGAUGUCGAAAUGGGUUAAACUUUAUUUAACGGUUCAUCUCUCAAUGCAACUCUUGUUUCUAUGUCAAUGUCACCCUUGUUUUCUAUUGUCCAAGUCUAUUCUCACAUUCAUACAACUUGAGGGUCCAAUCACACAUGUCAUUUUGGUUCUAUCAUUCUCUAUGUUCAACUACGUUAGAAGCAUAUAAAUGAAGUCAAACCAAGUCCCACAUGUAACUACCCUACUAUGCAUGAAUGGGUAUAUAUAAAACAUAUAUGCUCAAGAAUAGAGAAAACAGACAUAGAAGGGAAUCCAACGAUUCCGGCGUGCACCCCCCACCUCUAUUGGUUGUGUGGGUGAAGAUUACGAAGGCUCCCGCACUUUACGAAAGCCGAUUCCGCGCCCUAUAAUCAAAAUAGUGCCAUAUUAGGCCUUUUUGUACAUGAACUAUGUUCUAACAUUUUCGUAAUGUUAAACGGAGUUGUCCAACGUGUUUAGGGCACCCCCAAUUAGGUUUCUACGGGGUUAAUUUGUCCCCAAAAAAUCCUAGGGCAAAAACCCCAAAUCCAAGCCCUAAUAUUGUCAUUUAGGGUUUUCCCAUAACUCGAUCCCAAUCCUAAGCAAACGAUAGCUUAGAAUCAUCUAAGAAGUACUCUAGUGAGGUUUCUAGACCUUUGGUAUCAACCCUAGGGCUCCAAACACCACUUCCAAGGAUUCACCAUGAGAGCACCUUGAGCUCUCAUGGGUACCAUGGUAUUCAUGGCUCAAAAGAGCCCCUAAAGCCUCUAAGGAGCACAAAGCUCCAAAUCCCUAAGCCAAAAUCCAAACCCUAGAGGAAAAACUUACAAAACUUACCUCUAGUCCAAGCUCCACCAAGAAUCUUCUUGUUGGAGAGCCCCUAGAACCUCCAAAGCAUCAAAUCCACCUUCUUCCCCAAGUUCUUCUUCUUCUUCUUCUCCAAGCCCUAGAGGGAUUCUAGAGAGAGAAAGUGAGGAAAUAAGAGAGGAGGAGGAGAAUGGCUGUGGGAGAGAGGGAUUGGGCCAUAUAUAGUGUUGUAACAAUUGCACUUAAGCCCCUCCACAUGUUUCCUCUUGAACUGCCCAGACUGGGCAUUUUUCGCCUUCGGUGACCGAUCUCCCCGACCAGGGACUGGUUCCCGAACGGGGGUUUUCCAGGACUUAGCCAAAUUUUUGAGUCUCUCAACUGUUGCGCAGCGAGGGACCGGUCUGCCCGUCAGGGACCGGUCUCCCGAGGACCGGUCUCACCACCAGGGACCGGAUGCCUCAGGAUUUCCUGGCAGGCUACGCGCACGGGGACCGAUCUCUCUCCUUCAGGGACCGGUCCCCGAGAGCUCAAAAUCUGGGACUUAGCCAGAUUUUCAAAUUUGCUCUCCGGGUCCCUUUUUGCUCUGUUUACGAACUCUAAUGCACUUAGGGCCCAUUUUAACUCGUCCAAUCCCGCGUUCCGCUCGUUUUGACGGGACUCGGCACGAUUUACGAGGGAUGUGGUAUGUUACAUAUGUAGUAGCUCAUGUAUUUCGGAUAUGGUAUUUGGAUAUUUGAGGCAUAGUAGCAUGUUGCAGGAUACAUUACUAUGUAGUAGCGCAUCCAUUUGACAUUUGAGGCAUAGUAGCAUGUAUAGAUUGCAUACUAUGUAGUUGCUCAUACAUUUGAUUAUUGAGGCAUAGAUCAUAUACUAUGUUGUAGCUCAUUCCAUUGGUUAUUGAAGGCAUGGUAGAAUGUUGCAGAUUACUUUACUAUAUUGCACUUCAAUUUCAUAUCUAUCUAUCUAUCUAUCUGCUUCUGCCUGCUUGGACCUAGUGGGAAGAUCGGCGGAGUCGGCGGCCGAACCCAUUGGGAACUAUAUUAUAUAGUUCUCACCCCACUUUGUUGCAGGGCCUAGCGAGAGAGUACCGGCAGAGAACCGUGGUAAGAGCAUAGUGCCUUAGUUAGCUAGCAGCUUCCAUCUUGUAUUUAGAGUACCCUCGUGUACAUGGUUAGUGGAUGUUAUAUUUUGGGAGCUAGCAUGUAUUCAUUUUAGGAGAUAAAAUUGUAAACUCAUGUAUUCAUUUUGAAGGACAAAAAUGUAAAUCAAUAUGUAAUGGUUGAAUGAUUGUAAUAACUAGAAUUAUCUCUCUCCUUAUUCACUUGUAUGUACUCGUGACUCUUGCUCUUACUUGUUGGCACUUGUAGUGCCCCUGGUUGAUCAUGUAUGUAUUGAAUUUCUUUUCCUGGGCAAAUUCUUGUACUCGAUCAUGUUGUUUAGCCUAGGACGGACAGGGGAGGUGCUGUCCGUUCGGCGUCUGUUCGACGCGCCCGAACCGGACCAAAUUGGUGGCGGUCUCGGGGCGUGACAGAUCAGGUCGGUGCAGAUUAGUUACAGGCAACGCUUGAGGUCUGCGGACCAAUAUAGCAGGCACAGAUUGGGUACAGUUUCAGUUUGGUUACUUUGAGGCAUUCUUAGCAAUAUUUUCUAUACAGUAGCAGGUUUAUUUAUUGCUCCUUAUUUAUCUCUUAUAGCUACUGUAGUUUCUUCAUAUCAGCAUAUAUAUUGUUUACCUAUCUCCUUUGGUUUUCGGUGAUUACGGCUUGCCUUCGUGACUCUGUCAUACCCACUGGAAAACCUUGAUUGCGGUUUUUCACCCCCCAUUUUCCCAGGUGAUUCGGGCAUGGAGUUGGCUUUUUGGCAUGACGAGAGGACGAUCUAGCUAGCUUGUCGUAGCGACCGUCACCCUGGUUAUGUUUUGUUUCUGCAUUUAGUAACUUAAUAAAUAAAUGGUUCAGUUAGAUGAUCUCUAUGAUUGUUUGAAUGUUCGUGAAUUGGUUUCGGUGGAUCAAUGGAUGUUUUCGUUAUUCAUACAUAUGAUCAGAGGUUUGUGGAUCUGUAGUUUUGGUAUUUUGGAUUCUUGAUUCUUGUAUUUACACAUCGUGGUUUUCUACCCCUCAAGGUAGUCGGUUUUUAAAAUGGAGUUUCCGUGUGGGAAACAGUUUUAAAAAGGCUUUCGAAUGGUUUUAUAAAUGAUUGAAUUAGAGUUUAAAAACAAAGCUUCCGAGUGGGGAGCACUUUUAAAUAGGAUGAUUGAUGUACUGUGCAUUGCAUCAUCCAGCACCUAAGAAGUGUUUAGAGACAUGCAUCAUUUCUAAGGAUUGUUAGCUGUAUGGAAAUGCAUGGCAUGAAUUGAUUGUUUAUUGGUAAAUGUAGAUUGUGGUUGAGAUCUUAAUGUAACUGUUGGUACGCCGUGCAAAUACAAAGGAGACUCUGUUCGAAUAAACAGAGGAACAUGGUAUUUGUGGCGGGUCUAUACGUCACGUGGGCCAGGUUGAAAAAAAAGGCACGUUUUCCGCAACUCUAAUUUCAAAAAUAGUAAUCGUUUUAAAAAGGCUUUUAAAACCGGCCCCAGGGCGUGACAGAUUAAGAUGGUAUCAAAGAGUGAAACAAUUACAACUACAUUUGCAAUCUUUCUAACUAAACCAUUGGUUAGGUCGACCAUAGGAUGACCAUGAUCGUAGGCACGUGCGAGCGCGGGGUAUUCGAGAUUUAGUCUCGAGGUUAUCAAGCUAGGAGGCUCGAAGGGUGAUUUGUGUUUAUUAUUUCAUGUUUCUUGUGCUGCAAGAUAUGACAUGUGCUCGUUUUGGUGUUAGGAGUGGGGGGCAGUGAGUGGACUAGCUCUGAGCAGUGAGAUGUCGUCAGACUGCUUUUACUAUUGUUAUCGCCCUACCUCCAACGCGGGACAUAGAAGCCUUUGUAGGUCAAUCCACAGGCACAUAGGGUUCAUCUUUUGAGCUAUGUGGGAUGGUUUUUGCUGGUGGAGUUACUGUAGCACACUGGACCUUUGCAAAUUGUGAGGUUCGAGUGUUUGAUGUGUACUCCGAACUUUUCCACACUUGGUGGAAGGUCGUAGAUGGUAUUCUUGCCUAAAAGUUCGAUCUUUAGAGUUUUGGCAAGUCUUGAGAGUUUUCACUCUCGGGGACCGGUUCCUGAUAUGAGAGAUCGGUCCCCUCAGAACAGUGCUGCGGCAGGGCUUGAGGCAACCGGUCCCUGGCUGGGAAAGACCGGUUUCCGAAAGUGUAUUUUGCGAGAAGGGUCCGAGAGACCAGUCCCUAGCGGGGAGAGACUAGUUCCCGAACGUUGGUUUUGCGGGACGAACUGAGAGAUCGGUCCCAGGUGUCGGGAGACCGGUCCCUCAGCGCGAAAACUGCCCAGACCGGGUAGUGCACAGGUUGCAUUUUAGAGGGACCUAAGUGGAUUUUGUUACAUUUGAAGGCUUAUAGAGCCUCUCUCCUCUCCUUCUCAUCCUUAUUUUCUUUCCCUCACACCCUCCUUACACUUCUAGAGAGAGAAGAAGAAGGAGAAGAAGAAGGAGAAGUUGGAGAGCAAGCUUGAGGGAGCUUGGGAGCAUCUUCCUCUUUCCUAUUUCUCACUUUUGAAGGCUUAGAGCUUGGACUUGGAGCGUUGCGGUGGAUUUAUCUACAACCCUAAAGCAUUUGGAGCUUGGUUUGGAUCUUCUCUUCAGGUUAGUUGCUCAUUUCUCCCCUCUAGACCUAUUUUUGGUAGAUUUUGGGAGAUGAAACCCUAGAUUUAGAUUUUAGGGUUAGAUUUGGGGAUUUUCAAUUUGAGGGCUUUGAGACCCAAUUGAUUGACUUAGAACCUUCCUCUAAGUUGGAUUGGAAGGGUUCUUGCCCCCAUUUGGAGCUUGAGAGAGGAUUUCGUCACUUGAGGUGAGUCUCCUCCACCUUAGCCUAGGUUGCUUGUUGAUUGAGUUUAGGGUUGAUCGUAAGGUUCAUUAACCCUUGUUCCAACAUCUUUAGGGUGCUAGGAGGCUAGUGGACACCUUCGUCGGAGCUUACAAAGGGUUUCGGUAUCAUCGGUGGGUUUUGCUUCAUGAACACGGGGCAAAAUGGCCCCUAUGUUUUCUAUACUUGUCGUAAAGUAUUUUUUGUGAAUGCAAAUCCAUGCUAAAUAUGAAUCAUGUGAAUUUUGGAACACAUAAAAUGCAUGCAUUAUGUAUGAUGAAAAUUUCACUCUAUAUAGUAGAGCCUUAUGGAUAUGCUGCAUGCAUGUGAAAAGUAAUCGCAUUAGCGAGUGGAAAACUACUCUUCUAUGUUUAAAAUGACUCAUAUUAUGCAUUCGGGAACAUAGUUACCAUGCUUGGAUGUAUUGAACAAAGUGUCAUAAAGGGGCACUUGAAACUAGUAAACUAUGAAAAUGCAACAUAGAGACAUAGUGAUAGGCCAUUGCACAUCGACUAUAUUCCAUGUUAGAGACAUGACGACAUAGUGAUAGGCCUUUGUGACAUUCGAUAUAUUCCAUGUUCUUAGACAUGAGGACAUGAGACUUGAGACAAACUUAUACGCAUGCUUGCCAUUGUGCUCAUUCGCACAUGCUUGUAAGAGUCGCUCCCUACAAGCCGGCACUCCGGAGUUGGCCAUCGCGAUACGUUCGCCGUGCAGGAUUGGGCGCCGAAGUGGAUUGCCGUAGGAAAUGCUCAUUCCUAGGAUGGGGAUGUUGACUACCACGGGGCCAUUAGGCACGGUAAAGCCAGACAGCCUUCGGAUGGGUCUUAUGCCAGACAGCCUUCGGGUGGGUCUUAUCAGAGUUGAACUUUAAACAGUUAAAGUGACAAGUGGACAUUGACUAGAAUAGUGAACAAUGACAUUAUUGCUAUUCACAUUGUGGACAUUGGGAUAGUUGCAUAGUCAUGCAUUUACAUAUUGGUUACUCUCAUGUACAUACCUGUGGUAGUUGUUUUAUUACUUAUGCAAAUCAUGCUAAGUAGAGACAUCAUGGUUGAGUAGUAAUCAUCUUUACUUAUCGUUGUGUUUAUCGCUUUUGCUUAUGCUUAUACACUACCCCCUUUUUGUAGUUUUGGGCCUAGUGGCGCAUUUCACUAAAGUCAGUAAUUGCCCACUGGGAACUAUUAUUUAAUAGUUCUCACGCCCCUGAAAAGAACUAUUAUUCUUUUCAGAGCCUUCGGCACCGGCGGAGGCACGGGAUCGCGGCAAGGGCGUCGCGUAGCUAGCUCGAAGAGAGUCCGUUUUGCUAUAGGUGGUUACUCCUUCUUUGGUUUGUGUUAGAGAGAGGGAGAGAUUUUGGGGUUUAGGGUUUAGGGUUUAGGAGAGAUUUUGCACCAUGUAUAGAGAGACCACCUUGUAUUCAGAUUAGUACUUGUUAUGGGACUCCUUUUGUAUUAUCUUAUGUUUUACUUAGUGGAUUAUCAGUUUUAUGUUCUUCUCCAUGUUGUAGCACUUUGUAGCAUUUUGCUCUGAUACUCCUGGAUGCUUCCUUUUAUUGCUUUAUUUACCGCUUCAUUUUAGACGCCUUGUAUGUUUUAAACGUACGGCGGGUCUGUGCACGUGCCGGGUGGGCUUCCGCUGGGUCCCCGGGCAUGACAGAUUAGUUUGGUAUCAGAGCCUAGGGUUGAGUCUUAGUGGACCUAGCAAACCUUUGGCCGGUUGGACUAUAGGAAAUAGGCUCGUGAGAGACGAGGUCUAUUCGACUUGUAAGCGAAAGUAUCUUGAUUGGGUAUCUUUGAUAACUCUAGAAAGUGGAGUUAAAUUGAAGUGUAUAGCUUCUAACUUCGCGGAGGGUUACGUUGGCGGCCGACAACGUAACAUCGGGAGUUAGUAGUGAAGCACACUUCAUUACUUUCGCAUGAUUUGGGGUAUUACCUUCUUGAGUGGGGAUUCGAUGGCGUGAGUUUACUAACUUACGCUUUUAUGAUAUUGUAGUGUGAUGCCGAUUACACGCUCCCAAUCUGCCGGAGCGGAAAACGCAGCAAAUCUGGAGAAGGUUGAGACCUUCACUACCUCCAGAUUCGGCGAGGUCCGAGAGUUGAGGGGCCAGCUUGCGGCCCUCACUUAUAUGGUGGCACAGCAGACUGAGGCGGCGCGCCGACAGGAGGCGCGGAUGAAGCGUCUGGAGGAUCUCCUACUGCAGCAGGCGGAGGCUCGGGAGACUCAGGUCCCUACACCGCCAGCACCAGUCGUGGACAUCGCACCGAGAGCCCCAUCCCCCGCGCCCAGUUCUUCGCGAGCAGCACCCGCGGUAGCGCCUCAGGAGGAGACUAUUGCGGCACCACCUGUGCAGAGGCCUCCGGUGGGAGUGGUCUUCCCCGUGAUGGCCGAGGGAGCAGAGCGGGACAGACUGAUGGAACGCCUCAAUGAGUUCAGGAGGUGCAGCCCUAGGAUUUUCGAUGGCGAGAAGGUCGACCACUGGAUCGUGAAAAAGUGCUUGAUGCAUAUGGAGAAACUCUUCCGCGACACCUUCGUGGAGGAGAGAGAUCGAGUUUGACUCGCCACUCAUCAUCUGGACGGCGAGGCCUAUCGUUGGUGGUUGGAUCUUCAGGAGAACCCCAGCACCGACCUGGCGGCUAUUACAUGGAAGAAGUUCAAAGAGCUUCUACUGGCGUACUACUUUCCGACCAGCGUCAAGAGGAAGAUGGAGCAGGAUCUGCGCAACUUGCGCCAAGGUGAUCGGACUGUGGCCGAGUACGAGCGGGAGUUUUCUCGGCUUCUUCACUGCGUGUCUUUCGUCAUGCGGGGCGACGAAGACAAGACCCGCAUCUUCGAGCGAGGGUUGCGACCGUCGAUCUUCCGGUUUGUGCAAUUCUCUAACCUCCAAAUCUACCGGGAGGUGGUGGAUCGCGCGCUCAUAGUGGAGAGCAGCGCGACAGAUGUCCAGGAGCGACGAGAGGCGAUGGACAAAGGUAAGGCCAAAAGGCCUCCGGCUGAGGGUGCUAGCGAAAUGCACUCUAGGAGGCCGCCGAAGCAUCCGAAGAGCCAGCAGCGUGGACGCGGCUCAGCAGCGCAGCGAGGAGGUCCUUACCGUCGCCGGCCUUCCUCGUGUGUGAUAUGCGGUGGCCCUCAUCACCCACCGCAGUGCCCGCAGGAGGCGGGCAGGUGCUUCUACUGUGGCCAGGAGGGCCACGUGCGGACUGAAUGCCCGAGAGGUACUUCACCGGCACCGUCGUCUGCAUCGUCACCGGCUUUACCAGUCGCCAACCACGGGACUCCGUCGACACCGUACCAGCCUGGGCGGCCACCCGUCCAGUGGCAGAACGAGGAUUUUCGACAGGCCCCAAGUGGGCGCAUGUAUGCCGCUCAGACCGAGGAGGCGGCAGCCGCCGAGGAUGUGGUUGCAGGUAUCAUGUUACUUGAUGGCAUUAGAGUUCGUGCAUUAUUCGAUACUGGUGCAUCGCAUUCAUUUAUAGAUCGGCUGUUUGCCGAGUUGCAUGGCAUCCCUUUGGUCUCCUUGUUGCAUCCGGGACAUGUUGUAGUACCCGACCACACCCUAGAUAUUAGAGAGUAUUGCCCUAGUUGCCCUGUUCGGGCAGGAGAUUGGAUCAUACCUGUAGAUUUGCUAGCCCUGCGCAAGCUAGGGGAUUUCGAUGUGGUCUUGGGUAUGGAUUGGCUAACCAAGUAUUAUGCCACCAUCGAUUGCAAGAAUCGCACGGUUACUUUUAGAGAACCGGGGCAGGCUGAGGUUGUCUUUAGUGGAUGCCGGAGUUCGCUGUUUGCGAUGACGAUCAGCUCGUCACGAGCUAGGCAGUUGAUCAGCAGAGGCUGUGUAGCCUAUUUGGCUAGUGUUGUGCUGAGGAGCGUAGGUGACACCCCUAGGAUUAAGGAUAUUCCGGUGGUACGGGAGUUCCAGGACGUGUUUCCAGCUAAGUUACCGGGUAUGCCACCCGAUAGGGAGAUCGAGUUUGUGGUAGAUCUUGUUCUUGGGACUACCCCAAUCUCAAAGGCACCCUAUAGGAUGGCACUGGCGGAACCGAGCUGAGGGCACAGCUACAGGAUUUGUUGGACAAAGGCUUCAUUCGACCGAGCGUUUUGCCGUGGGGAGCGCCGGUUUUGUUCGUCAAGAAAAAGGACGGAUAACUUCGCCUAUGCGUGGAUUAUCGUGAACUUAAUAAAGUCACGAUAAAAAAUAAGUAUCCGUUGCCGAGGAUCGACGACUUGUUUGAUCAGCUUCAAGGAUCAUGUGUGUAUUCCUAGAUAGACUUGCAGUCGGGAUACCACCAGUUAAAGAUCAAACCCGAGGAUGUAUCGAAGACGGCCUUUAGAACACAGUAUGGACAUUAUUAGUUCACAGUGAUGCCGUUCGGGCUUACUAACGCCCCGGCAGCUUUUAUGGAUCUGAUAAACCAUGUUUUCAAGCCUUACCUCGACAGAUUUGUCGUGGUGUUCAUUGACGACAUUUUGGUUUAUUCCCGGAGUGAUGCGGAUCACGAGGAGCAUUUGAGGCUUGUACUUCAAAUGCUUCGGGAAAAGGAGCUUUAUGCCAAGCUGAAAAAGUGUGAAUUUUGGCUUCGAGAGGUAGCCUUUCUUGGACAUUUGAUAUCGGAAUCGGGUAUAGUCGUGGAUCCCAAGAAGAUUGAGGCUAUCAGGGAUUGGCCGAGACCGACGAGCGUCACGGAGAUUCGGAGUUUUCUUGGAUUGGCCGGCUACUACCGGAGAUUUGUCGAGGGGUUUGCCAAGUUAUCUACUCCCCUCACGAGGCUCACGCACAAAGGUGUUAAGUUCAUUUGGAAUGACGCGUGCGAGCGAAGCUUCCAGGAGUUGAAGCAAAGAUUGACGACCGCCCCAAUCCUAACCAUGCCGAUGGCUGGAGUAGGGUAUGUGGUUUAUAGUGAUGCUUCACUUAAUUGAUUGAGCUGCGUUUUGAUGCAGGAUGGCCAGGUGAUCGCGUAUGCUUCGCGCCAACUAAAGGAUUAUGAAAAGAACUAUCCGACGCAUGAUUUGGAGUUGGCGGCUGUAGUCUUCGCCUUGAAAUUAUGGCGCCACUACUUGUAUGGCGAGCGAUGUGAAGUAUAUACGGAUCACAAGAGCUUAAAGUACCUGUUUACUCAGAAGGAGUUGAAUUUGAGAUAGCGCAGAUGGUUGGAGCUACUAAAGGAUUACGACCUGACGAUUCUAUACCACCCCGGCAAGGAUAACGUGGUGGCUGAUGCGCUAAGUCGGAAAUCAAAGGAAAACUUAGCGAUGCAUGUUAUUACUCAACCGCAGUUGAUCGAGCAGAUGAAGCGGUUGGAGUUCGAGGUGGUGACUCCUGACACGCCUUUGAGGUUGAUGACCUUGGUAGUGCAACCUAUACUCUUGAAUAGAAUUAAAGAGAAGCAAGCUUCCGAUGUGGAGUUGCAAAAGACUAAAAGUAAAAUGGUUGAUGGUUGUACCGGCGAUUUUCUUGUGGAUGACCAAGGAUUGAUGCAUUUUCGUGGACGGAAUUGUGUACCGGCUGAUUCGGGAAUUAAAGAGGAUAUUCUUCAAGAAGCGCACCGAGCGCCCUACGCUAUACAUCCGGGAGGCACCAAGAUGUAUAAGAACUUGAAGUUGCUUUAUUGGUGGCCCGGGAUGAAAAAGGACGUUGGCGAGUUUGUAGCUAGAUGUUUGACUUGCCAACAAGUGAAGGCUGAGCACCGAGUUCCCGCGGAAAAACUUCAGAGUUUGCCUAUUCCCGUGUGGAAGUGGGAGAAGAUCACCAUGGAUUUCGUGAUUGGAUUGCCCCGCUCUCAGGCCGGGCAUGAUGCUAUUUGGGUGAUCGUGGAUAGGUUGAUGAAGUCGGCGCACUUCAUAUCUAUUCAUACUACUUGGAUUGGGGAGAAGCUCGUACAAAUGUACCUAGAUGAGAUUGUGCGACUUUAUGGAGUGCCUACCUCGAUUGUAUCGGAUCGAGACACUCGGUUUGUGUCUCACUUUUGGAGGAGUCUACAGGACGCCAUGGGCACCCGACUCGACUUCAGCACUGCUUUCCACCCUCAGAGCCAUGGGCAGACGGAGCGCACCAUUCGGACUUUAGAGGAUAUGCUCCGAGCUUGUGUAGUAGACUUCCACGGAAGAUGGUCGCAGCAUCUAUCGAUGGCGGAGUUUGCUUAUAACAACAGUUAUCAAGCAAGCAUUAAGAUGGCGCCAUUUAAAGCACUUUAUGGAUGGAAGUGUAGAUCGCCACUUCAUUGGAGUGAAGUCGGCGAGAGAUUGGCAUUAGGCCCUGACGUGCUCCAGGAAGUUGAGGACAAGGUUCGAAUUACUCGGGAGCGACUUUUGAUGGCGCAGAGUAGACAGAGGAGCUACGCCGACCGACGACGGCGAGACUUUGAGUUCCAAGUGGGAGACCAUGUUUUCAUGAAGGUCUCGCCUACUAGAGGGAUCAAGAGAUUUGGGAUUCAGGGUAAGUUGAGCCCCCAUUUCAUUGGACCGUAUGAGAUCUUGGAACGCGUAGGUCCGGUAGCGUAUCGACUUGCUCUACCACCGAACCUAUCUGGCGUGCACAACGUCUUUCAUGUAUCGGUCCUUCGAAAGUAUGUCUUCGACCCGACUCAUGUGUUGGAUGCUACACCUGUGGAGUUGCGGGACGACUUGAGCUUCGAGGAGCAACCAGUGAGGAUUUUGGCUCGCGAGGUGCGGAAACUGCGGAAUCGGAAUAUUCCGUACGUGAAGGUUCUUUGGAGCAACCACGGGGAGCGGGAGGCCACGUGGGAGCUAGAGAGCACGCUGUGGGAGCGCUAUCCUCAUCUUUUUUAGAUGGAGCUUUGAGGUAUGUGUUGUCGUUUGAGUUUCACGGACGAAACUCCUUUUUAGGAGGGGUGAAUUUAGCACACUGGACCUUUGCAAAUUGUGAGGUUCGAGUGUUUGAUGUGUACUCCGAACUUUUCCAUACUUGGUACAAGACCAUAGAUGGUAUUCCGGCCUAAAAGUUCGAUCUCUAGAGUUUUGGCAAGUCCUGAGAGUUUUCACUCUCGGGGACCGGUCCCUGAUAUGAGAGACCGGUCCCCGCAGAACAGUGCUGCGGCAGGGCUUGAGGCAACCGGUCCCUGGCUGGGAGAGACCGGUUCCCGAACGCGUAUUUUGCGAGAAGGGUCCGAGAGACCGGUCCCUGGCGUGGAGAGACCGGUUCCCGAACGUUGGUUUUGCGGGACGAACUGAGAGACCGGUCCCAGGUGUCGGGGAGACCGGUCCCUCAGCGCGAAAACUGCCCAGACUGGGCAGUGCACAGGUUGCAUUUUAGAGCGACCUAAGUGGAUUUUGUUAUAUUUGAAGGCUUAUAGAGCCUCUCCUCUCCCUCUCAUCCUAAUUUUCUUUCCCUCACACCCUCCUUACACUUCUAGAGAGAGAAGAAGAAGGAGAAGAAGAAGGAGAAGUUGGAGAGCAAGCUUGAGGGAGCUUGGGAGGAUCUUCCUCUUUCCCAUUUCUCACUUUUGGAGGCUUAGAGCUCGGACUUGGAGCAUUGUGGUGGAUUUAUCUACAACCCUAGAGCAUUUGGAGCUUGGUUUGGAUCUUCUCUUGAGGUUAGUUGCUCAUUUCUCCCCUCUAGACCUAUUUUUAGUAGAUUUUGGGAGACGAAACCCUAGAUUUGGAUUUUAGGGUUAGAUUUGGGGAUUUUCAAUUUGAGGGCUUUGUGUAAUAUACCAGAUUUUGGUAUAAAAAUAAAAAAUAAAUAAAAAUAGUGUGGGAUACUAUUUUUAUUGGAUUUAGAGAAGUAAAACAUAAGUCAGAAGUGACUUGUGCUGAAAUCGGAAUUAAAAUAGAAGAUCUAAAAUUUUCUGUUGGAAACGGGACAGAUAAAUUAGCAGAAAAUGCACAGUCUCAGAAAAUUAUGAAAAUUGGCAGAGAUGUCAGAAAUAUUUUUGUGAGGCUAGAUUUAAAGUUUCAUAUUUUUCUGACACCCGAAAGGUGGGAAAUAAAAUCCCACAGCUAUCUGUUAAAGAUUACAGUUCGGUACAGUUUUCGGUAACCGAACGGGGUCGAAACUGAACCAGUGAUCGUCAGCUUGUUAAGUUAAGUAAAACCGAGCAUGACUGUCAAGUUUGAGCUCAAACGGACAUUCAGAGAGCUCCGGUGAAAGAUAUCAGAUUUUAAGUUGCCUGGAGUGAAUAGUGUUCGAGGGGUAUUAUAAAGAAGCUGAUGCUUCUUCUUCUCCUUCGGCCGCACCCCACGCACGCACACGACACACACACACACGCAAGGAAAGGAAAAGAGAGAAAGCCCCUUUUCUCUCUCUAAAUCUCUCCCAAAAUUGAUGAAAUUGGAGGAGAAGCAAGAUUGGAAGUUGAUUUUCAUCUCUUUUAUCAUCUUCCUCUCCAUUAGAGCAAGCUUUGAAGGUAACGAAACGCGUUGGCGAAGACGGUUCGGCAAUCCGACGAGCCGUUACAAAGUUAUUAAAGAAACGGACGUUUAGGCUUCGUUACCGCUUGGAGGGCCGAGGCGACGUCGUAAAAUCAUGGAAAUGAAUUUGAAGCACCGUGGCACAUAACCGAAGACCUUUAAUUUUCGGAUCGUGGAUCGGAGGCCGUUCGGGUGGUCGCGCAAAAGAUCGGGCCAAACCGGGUUACGGGUGCCGCGGGAGGCCGAUUGCAAGUGUCGACAAGCAAUCGGAAAGCGUUUUGAGGUGGGUUGUGCUCACCGAAGCGAUUAGGUCGCUUUCCAUGCUAAAGUGUAGUAUGUUUACUAUUGAUGCAUGAUAAAGUAUGCUAUUUAAGAA
rnacentral:lncRNA from 1 species